rnacentral:lncRNA from 1 species
CCUAUUCGUCGAGCCCGACAAGAACGAGGACAACUAUGGCGACUGCGACAAGCUGGCCAAAACUUUCCUACAAGAGCUCAGCACCUUCAAGAUUCCGCUCCUCAAGAGCAAAGCGGUUGUGGAUGCGAAUCUGAGAGAGAAGCACAAUUUCGACGAGUUGAGGGAGGAGAUUAAUCGGCACAUAGUGCAAGAGCAGACCGAAUUGAAUUGCUGAAGAAGCAGCUUGAGGAGAGUAAAAUCGAAAGAAGACAUAAGGAGGAGUGUGCGGCGAUCAGGAAAUGAUCGCUACACAACCGCCUCGGUCCUAAACGCUCAAAAUCAUAUCCGAUUUAGAGAAAGAUAUUGCCACUUUGGACGCAGAGAACACGGCAAGUUCAAGGAUGCUGGAGCUCCGAAAGAAGCAGUUUGCUCUGCUCUUGCAUGUGGUAUGCGGCUCUGUUCCAUUCCCCAAUUUUCGAUUAUGUUUCUUGCGUUAAGCAGUAGAAACCUUUUGAAAUUAGAUUUAAUUUUGGUUGUAUUUGAUGUUUUUGCAGGUGGAUGAGUUGCAGAACACCAUAGAGGAAGAGCAGAAGAGUUUGAUUGAGGAGAAAGAGCACAAACACGGAAUGUAGGAUGCAAGUGGGGCCUCGGAACCCAUGCAUGUUGAUUACAGUAUGCAUCUCUUGGAUUUGCAAUUGUAAGAUUGUGUUUUCACGAAUGGGUUUCUGUCUAUGCAUGAUCUCUUGUGAUUUACAGAAACAGGAAUGUAGAGUGGUGCUCUGCAGUUGCAAUAUGUCAGCGAUAUUUUGAAUUUCUUAAUUUUGUGCAACUUGUAGAUUUUCUUGCGUACUGCUUCACCAAGUUCACAUGAUGGGUAGAACUUUGCCAGAACUUCUUUCUGGAUCAAUUUCAAUGUUGUUAAUUGUAUAAGCCUAAUGCUUGUGUACAGUGCAUUUGAGUGUAAUAUUACAGUUUGCAUCCAGAUAAAUAUUGAGAAGUCGGAAAUGCAUACUUUUUUUGUUUUGCCUUGAAUAAUCUAUUAAAAAAUGAAAUUGAAAAUGCUAGAAAAUAUAAAUAAAUAAAAUUAAUUUAAUUUAAUAAAAUGGGAACUAGAAAUUUUUUACCUCGUCGUCAAGAUUUUAACCGCUUUAAACAUUUGUCCACUGCCCUCCGGCUUCAAUGGAAGAGGCCAUAUGUAUUUUUACACAAAUGAAAUUUAGUAGUAGAAACUUUGGUAUGGAAAGUGAAUAAUAUUAGAAGGAGAAGAAUUUGUAUGAAGAUUUGGUGUGGAAAUUGAAUAAUAUUGGUAGGUAUUUAUAGAAAAAAAAAAUAGAAUUUUUUUGUAUUUUUUCCCCAUUUUUUUCAAAUUUUUUGAACAAAAUCAAAGGCAGCCAUUGGAUUGGAAGAUAAAAAACAAUCGGACAACUCUGGACAAGCCACAUGGCUUUUAGCCGUUGACGGAAAUCAAGGCUGACGUCAGCCUGGAGUCAACGCCUGGAAUGUCUAUUUUUAUUUUUAUUUUUUCCCGUUGGCGCGUGCACCAUACACGCCAACGGUAAAAAAAAAAUUUAAAUCCAGGCGUUGACGCUAGGUUGGCGUCAACAGCCCCUAGGCACGAGCUCAAGCUCAUUUUGCGUGGGCUUGCCCGAUUUACUGGGACCCAUCUCCUACCCGGGCCACACCUGCGCGUUGCAAGCUCGAAAUGGGGCUUGGGCUCCCUCUUGCCCAGGCCAAACCCUUGCUGUGGAAGUGCCCUUAUAACCCUUUCAAUGCGUUAGUGUGUUAAGCGUUACCUAAUAUGUAUAACAAAUUUAGUAAACAGAAAAAUCAUUUCACAGUAAUCUGUCAAAGAAUUUGAGCUUAAGAGUUGGAUGUAUUAAUUGCUUUACAUUUCAGCUUCGACUAUUCGAAUAAGAACUUUAUCUACAGUGAUUUUGUAAUCUAGCUAUAUAUUUCUUAGUAUGAAAUCUAGCUUUAUCUACAGUGAUGAUUAAAAAAAAAGUAUAUUUAAUUAUAUACCCAUUUUUAAUACUGGUGAUAUAAAUAAACUCUACACCAUUUAAUUUCUAUAAACAAACUAAAUAAAAUCUCAAAAAAUGACAGUUGGCCUUAUGAAUUUAAUUUUUAUUGUUAAAUUACUUUGAUGCCCUAUUGAGUGUUUUGAGUUUUUUUUUUAUGAGGUUUUUGGAUUGGGCUUGUUUUAAGAAAUUGAUGGUAGUUUUGUAAUUUGUAGGAAGUUUGAAGCCUAUUUGUUAUAUUGUAAAUGGGUUUUGGGUGUAUUUCUAAAGUCCAUUUCAUAUAUAUAUAUAUAUAUAUUAAUAAUUUGGGCCUCUAUAUUGGGUAUAAUAGUGAAUCUUCCUUAAAAAAUACACCCAAAAAAAAACCUAUCUAUAAUAAUUUAGGGGUCGUUUGGUACGGCGGACUGUCAUGGACUGGACUAAAUCCUGAGAUUGUCUUGGAUUAGCUCGGAUUGGCCUAAGCUGGAUUAAGUACUGGCCUACGUUUGGUGAUGCGUCGGAUUAAGAAGAUGGAUUGUAAAAAUAGUGAAAACCUAUAUUUGGUACUGUGUUGGACUAAAAAAAUUAUUUAAAUAUUUAAAAUUAAUUUGGGAUUUUGACCUAAAACUAAAUAAAUACUACAAAGAAACCAAUGAGAUAUGUAUAGUUUAUUAUAUUAAAAAAAAUUUAAAAUAUUUUUUAAAGACAAACUAUCUUUAUCUUUUAUCUUUUAUCUUUUUUCUAUUUUUUCUUUCUUUCUUCCUUUUCUCUCCUUCUCUUUUCUUCUUCCUUCCCAGCCCUGUUUCUUUUUUCUCUUUUCUUUCUCCCUCCCGAUCUCUCUCUGGUUCUCUCUCUUUUUUUCUCCAAUAUUGACACAACAUUGGUAUCCUUUUUUUUUUUUUUUUUUUUUUUUUUAAUAUUCCCCUCCCAAACCCUUCUCUGCUUCCCUCUCAUUUUCUCUCUAUUCUUCCCCCUUCUUCCCCUCGCCCCCUCUUCCUUUUUUGUUGUUGUUGUUACAGAGGGGGUAAACGCCCCAAAACAAAAACAAUUAAAUAUGACAAGGGGAGGUUUGGCAGGACCUUGAGCAUCAACAUCUAAAAUGGCUCUAAGGAAGGCAGGAGUUUCUUCAAAAACAUCGAGGCCAUGAUUAAACUUGUGAUUGGCAGCCAAGGUCUCUUGUUCCCUUUGAAGUCACAGAUCCUCAUCUUCUUCAAAGUCACAAAUCUCCAUUUGGUUUCACUGAGCCACGGUCAAUGGUUGGUAAUUUUUCGAAAGGUUCAAUUGGGUUGUGGUUCCAUUGAGUUUGAUUUGGUGGUGGUUGAUUCAAGUGGUUGAGUUUGAAUUGGUGGUGGUUGGUUGGUGUGACUGGGUUUAUGGUGGUGAUAAUUCUAGGUGAAGAAGAAGAAGAAAUUGAUUCUUGAAGCUUGGAUAUGGAUUUGGUCUUGCAAUUGGAUUAGUCGGACUUGCGCAUCAAAAUAGCACGCUCGCUAUUUUGCGAACUGCAUUUCAGCCUCUCUGUAUAAGGAGAGCGAGUGAGGAGGUUUUUUAACUGUUGGACUCCACAAUCCCAUUUAACUUAGUCCCCCAUUUUACCAAACAUGGGUUUCAAGGCUUAUUUAGCAUAAUUCAGUCUAGUGAGGCAUACCAAACACACUCUUAGAGUCUAAUUAUUAAGAUUUCCUUCUUUUUCAGUCUAGCUGUUCUCAUGUUUUUGAAGAGAUGAAAAAUUACGUCAUAUGCGUCGGAGAUGAAUAACUUUCCUUCAAGCAAUCGUCACAAAUAAUGCUUGCCCUCGAGUUCUACAUAUCAGUUGGAUGAAAUUCACUUCACAAAUAAUGCAUUGUUAUCUGUUUCUCAGUUAUGCAAAGACUACAACUGAGUCUAAUGUGUAUAUGCAGGGCAAGGCAACAAACAAGUACACUAGUUAUUUACCAAGGAAAAAGUAGCUGAGGGUUAUAUCCCACAUGAUUGGUUGUUGAAAUAUUUGCUCCCACAUGAUGCUGAUGGAGAAAUUAUAGAAUGAUACAGUAUCACCACGUUAGCUGGUGAUACUUUCAUUCAUAUUGACAUGUGUCUUUUUUCCCUCCAUUAAUUAAAUUAUUUUCCAGCUAGACAUUAGGUUUCAAUUUUACCCUUGAAACAAAAUUAAUUCAAAAAAAGAAAGAAGACGACCGCAGACCUUGGCUGCUUUGCCUCUACCUCCUUGUUGCUGCCCCUCCCUUUCUUUUCCUUCAUAUAUAUAUAUAUAUAUAUAUAUAUAUAUAUAUAUAUCUCUCUCUAAAUCACUUUAUUUAAUAGUUGGCUUUUAUCAUCACAUUCCAUGGGUCCAAAACCUUAUCUCUGCGAAUCAAGAAUUUCUUGGGGUCUUUUAGGUUAAGUUUGCUUUGCAAAACUUUCUGAAUGCAUGUAUCUGAUCAUCUCUUGUCAAGGCAUUGCGGGAUUGAGAGCAAAGUUGGAUAAAGAGAACUCGGAUAUGGAGGUUUUGAGGGAAAUGAAAGCAAUCUAGAUAAGGAGAUUGAAGGAUUGGGGAAAGGAAUACAAACAGGGAGGGAGGGUGCUGUAGAGAGGGACUGUGAACUGGACGGAGGUGGGAGGGACGACGUAGCGGAGGGGGCUGCGAACUGGACAGAGGUGGGAGGCUGUGACACAAUUUUUUUUCUUUUUUAAUUUUGAUGUAGGGUAAAAUUAGAACCCAAUGUCUAGCUGAAAAAGCAGUAUAAAUUUUCUUUUAAAAAAUACAUGUGGCAAAUUCUAAAUAGAAGUAUCACCCUCUGAUGUGGUGAUACUGUACCAUUCUCUUUAGUUGCCACGACCACCAACCAAAAACACAAUCGGCACCGCCUCCAUGUCGCCUCUAAAGCAUAGAUCAGACCCACGCCACUGCCUCAGCUACCGACAAACAUCUCCCUCAGCCUCUUCACGUAGCUUGAACUCUCUCUGUUCGACGCCACUACCGUUCACGACCUCCACCUAAACCUGAACCUCCAGAUUUAUAACUCAUCUCCUCCAAAGAUCUAUCAUAUGUACUGGCAGUGGCAGACCUGUGCAGGUGCAAGGAGGUGCACCUGCACCUCCGGUCGCUAGAGAAGUUCAUUACAAGAGCUGGAAUUGCACCUCUGCUUCAGAAAUGAGAUGCACAGAACCUGUUCAACGAAAUGCCCAAACCACCUGGGCUGGGACAUUUUAUCGCUGCGCGCUUGUUUUUUUUUUAAACACAGCCUGGCCAAAACGAUGUCGUUUUGGACCAGGCUUUAAAAGAGGCGCUGAUGUGUUUUUAUUUAUUUUAUAUUUAUUUUAAUCAUGGCCAAAACGACGUCGUUUUGGACCAGGAUUUUGAUAAAUAAAAAAAACGUAAAAAUAUAAGGAAACUGUUGUGCUGCUGGGCCAUUUUAUUGGGCUUUUUAAUUUAUAUUAUUCCUUACUUAAUUGGGUUUCCAUUUUUUAUAAUUCCUUACUUAAUUGGAUUUUAAGUGAGAUUUAUCUUUAUUCAAUUGGGUUUUGGGAAUUCCUUAUUUAAUUGGGUUUCCAUUUUUUAUAAUUCCUUACUUAAUUGGGUUUUAAGUGAGAGUUAUCUUUAUUCAAUUGGGUUUUGGGAAUUCCUUAUUUAAUUGGGAUUGGAAUUCUCUAUAUAAAGGACCAAUUUAUUCAAUUGUGUAUACAUCACAAGAAUCCUACGUCUUUUCUUCUUCUUGAGUAACGGAACAGUACUUUCAGAGAAAGAGUAUAAAUCCUCCUUCAAAUAAUCCGAGUAGUUCAAAUCCUCCCUCAAAUAAUCCAAAUAGUUCCAACCCUCCUUCAAAUAAUCCAGCUAGUUCAAAUCAACCUUCAAAUAAUCCGCCUACUUCACAUCCUCCCUUGAAUUAUUCGGGUAGUCCAAAACAUUCACAAGUCACUGAGUUGGAUGAAAUAUUGGCUAAUCUUCCUACAUACCCUGGACUUAGACCUCCAAUGAAUUAUUAUAAUCCCAAUGUUCGAGAACAAAUUCGAAGAGCCUAUCUGCAAAAGGGUCCUUGUCAGCCUAAAAGCCAAAACGACAUGCCUCAAACACUUAUGAGGGAGAGUAAUCGACGCUUUCUUGUGAAAUGGUUUGAUUCAUUUGUUUGGUUAGAGUAUAGUAAAGAGAAAGAUGCUGCAUUUUGUUUUCAUUGUUAUCUUUUUAAAUGCGACUUUGAUAAACAAGGAAAGGCUGGAAGCGAUGUCUUCACUGAGAAAGGGUUUAAACAUUGGAGGAAGGGUUUAAAAAUUGGAGGCUCGUAUUAAUUAUCGCACUCUAUUAAUUGCCGCACUUGAUUGCACUAGAUAUUCAUUGCGACAAGGUCUUCCUUUUCGUGGCCAUGAUGAAAGCGAAACAUCUAGCAAUAAGGGUAAUUAUGUGGAGCUUUUGCAAUUUCUUGCCGAUCAUGAUGAGAAAGUUCGUGCCGUUGUGUUUGAAAACGCUCCAAGGAAUCUCAAGUAUAUUGCUCCUACAAUUCAAAAAGAUCUUAUCAAUUCUUGUGCCGCUGAAACCAUUGAUGCAAUUAUUAGUGAUAUGGACUAGAUAUUCAUUGCGACAAGGUCUUCCUUUUCGUGGCCAUGAUGAAAGCGAAACAUCUAGCAAUAAGGGUAAUUAUGUGGAGCUUUUGCAAUUUCUUGCCGAUGAUGAUGAGAAAGUUCGUGCCGUUGUGUUUGAAAACGCUCCAAGGAAUCUCAAGUAUAUUGCUCCUACAAUUCAAAAAGAUCUUAUCAAUUCUUGUGCCGCUGAAACCAUUGAUGCAAUUAUUAGUGAUAUGGACGAUGCAUUCUUUUCUAUAUUGGUAGAUGAAUCACGUGAUGUUUCAAUAAGAGAGCAAAUGGCAGUGGUGUUGCGUUAUGUGAACAAAAAAGGGCAAGUAAUUGUAAGGUUUGUGGGUGUCUGAUACAACUAAUAGCAAAUUGAAAGAGGCAAUUGAGCAGUUGAAUUCUUCAACAAAUUUGAGCAUGUCCAGGCUACGAGGACAGGGGUAUGAUGACGCUAGUAAAGGUGAGCUCAAUGGUCUUAAAACACAGAUUUUGAGAGAAUAUCCUCAAGCAUAUUAUGCCCGUUGUUUUGCACAUCAACUACAACUAGCUCUUGUAGCCGUGGCAAAUGGAAAUGAAAACAUUGCUACUUUCUUCACAACAGCUAAUAGUGUCGUUAAUAUUAUUGGAGCACUGUGUCAGCGUCGUGAUGCACUUAGAGAGCAACAACAACAAGAUAUUAUGGAAACUCUUGAAAUUGAUGGUCUUGAAAUGGGGCGAGGGUUAAAUCAAGAGACUACUCUCAAACGUCCUUGUGAUACACGUUGGAACUCACAUUAUGAUACUUUACUUAGUAUUAAUAUUAUGUUUCAUCCCGUGGUGACUUUGUGUUUUACUUAUAUUUGAUGAGAUUUAUAUUGGGAAUCACAAAUGAUUUGUUAAAAGCAUUACAAAAGAAAGAUCAAGAUAUUGUGAAUGCGAUGAUAUUGGUCCAAAGAUGUAAGCAAAAGCUACAAUCCAUGAGGGAUGAUGACUUUGAUGAUUUGCUCAGGGAAGUAUCAAUAUUUUGUGGUAAAAAUGAUAUUGACGCUCCUAACAUGGAUGAUUUAUUUGUACCACAAGGGAGAUCAAGACGUAAAGCUCAGAAAAUCACAAACCGCCAGUAUUAUCGUGUGGACUUAUUUCUUACUAUCAUUGAUAAGCAACUAGUGGAAUUGAAUAAUCGCUUCACUGAGAUAAAUACUGAAUUGCUUCUUUGUAUGACAUGUUUGAGUCCGGCUUAUAAUUUUGCAGCUUUUGACAAACAGAAAAUACUUCGUUUUGCUAAAUUUUACCCUCAAGAAUUUAAUGACCGAGACCUCAUGAAGCUUGAAGAUUAACUUGGGCUUUAUAUUGUUGAUAUGCAGAGCAUCACAGAGUUUUCAUCAUUGAACGGAAUUACUGAUCUGGCAGAAAAAUUGGUGAAUACAGGAAGGAGUAGAAUAUACAACUAUGUGUAUUUACUUCUUACAUUGGCUUUAGUUUUACCCAUUGCAACAGCUUCGGUUAAGAGAGCUUUUUCAGCUAUGAAUAUUGUGAAAACACCAUUGUGUAACAAAAUAGGGAAUCAAUGGUUGAGUGAUAGCUUGGUUGUUUACAUUGAGAAAGAUGUUUUUUCUUGUAUUAGUAAUGCAAAUAUAAUGUGACGUUUUCAUGAUAUGAAACCUCGUCGGCAAUAAUUGUAGGUUAAUUGUAAUGUUAUUAUUUUAAUUAAUUAUGAAUAAUAUUAGUAUUGUUUAAAUUAUAAGGAUGUUUAGUUGUCUUUUUUUUUGGGGGUUUUGAGCUCUUAUCUUUUAAAUAUUGCACCUCCGAUGAAAAAUUCCUUGAUCCACCGCUGUGUACUGGUAAACCCCACCACCAUCUCAUCUCUCCUCUCAUUCUACCAUUCUGAUUUCAUUGGGUUUCAUAACUUAUCCUUUAUAAUUAUAUAUUUUGUCUAAUUUUUUAUUUGGUAGCUGAGAGGUCGAAUGUGGCUUCUUCUUUACUCUUCCAGAAUUUCCUUUUAAUUCUUCCAAUUUUCUAUAUGAUUUUGGAAGUUUUUGAAAUUAAUGGAUGGAUUUGCUGUUUUAUGCAGAGAACAUGUUGGAACAAAUGCCUGAGAAGAAGCCUUUACUAAAACAUCCCACACAUAUUACAAAAUAGGUUUCCAAUUUUUAAUACCAAACAAAUUUUCAAGUUCUCAAAAAAGUCAGAAUAAAACUCCAACUCAAAGAUGCAGAUUCAAUUCCAAUUUUUGAAAAUGGUUUUCUAAUUGCCAGCCAAACGAGGCCUUCGUGUUUUUGUUGUUUCUUAAAGACAUUGUGGUGGGUUUUCGUUUUCUGGAUUUAUUUUUAUUUUUAUUUUUUUGCUAUGAUAAGAACAGGGUGAGGGAACAAAAAUGUUAGUUUGAUCAUUUUUACACUAUUUUGUUCCACUUUUGAGCCUUCUUUUCAUGUUUUUGUUGUUGUUUUUUAUUUUCUCGAAAAAUAAAAUAUUUGAAUUCUGUGUUUUGGUCCAAGAACGUUUUAUGAAUUAAUUUUUGUUGUUGUUGAAAAUUUAAGACCAUUGAGCACGAUUUCAAAAUUGUGCUUUUGCGGAAGCUGUAAAAACGUCUAAUCAACUUGUCAGAAUAAAAGCAAGUAUAGAGACAUUUAAAAUGUUGGUGCACUGUGGCUAUUGAUAAUAAACACAAAUAUUUGUGCCUUUAAGCUCAAAGAGCACAAAAACAAAUAGUCUCUUAUGAGCAAUUUUUUUUUGGUAGUGAUAUAGAGAGAGGGGGAAUUGAACUUAAAAUCUUGAAUGCGGGGAUUAAUACUCUUAAAUAAGAUAAAAUGGUCAACGGUAUCUAGCCCAGUGAAAAGGAACAUAAUGUUUCAAAUUUCAUUUUGCUUCCAAACUAGUGGUUUCAUGAACAUGAUUGCUUAAUAUCAUCAACCAACCAUAUUUGUACAGAUUUUGAAAGAAAUUAUGUUUUAUUUUUUAUUUUUGAUAUAAGCACCUAGUGGAGAUGGACUUGAUUUUGCAGACUAAUAGUCUCAAGUUUGAAACUUGACACAUUGACAGUGUGUGUACGUGAAAAACCCUCUACCCCCAAUAUCGCUUUAAUGUAAAAUAAAAUAAAAGACAAAAUGAUAUAAUGAUUGUCCUUAACAUAAAUAUAUAGGGUACGUACAUAUAAUUUGCAUAUUUGGUUUUUUUCUUCUUAAGACUUAUUCUCAACCAAUGGAUUUAAAUGAGAUGAUCCAAAGGCCAAAUUUGUGGUCUAACUUGGUAUAUGUUUGUACCCAAAAAAUAAAGGGUGGUGUUAAAAAAAUCAUAAAAUUAGCACUUAUGAUUUAAGUACACCCUAAUGUUUUAAAUCAAAAAUAUAAAAUUAAUUAAGUACACUUUAAUUACCAAAAAUACCAUGGUGUACCCUAAUACACUCCAUCACACAAAGAAAAAAUCAAAAGCAAGAAACAAAGAAAAAUAAAAAUAAAAGCAAUCGUUUACUCUUUAAAUUCAAAGCAUAAUCUGGCAGAGGCAGUAAAAGAUCCCAAGGAAAAUAGGAAGAAAAAAUUUCAAUAUCACUUAGAUAUAGGAUCAUUCGCGUGUUAAAAGGAAAUUCCCAAAAAAAUAUACACAUGGGAAGAAAUAAACGAAGAACGGAGGAGGACAUGAACUGUACGCAAUUUCAAAGUCAAAAUAUUGAAAACAAAUUGUAAAAACUCCAAGGUUAUUUGACUUUUGUCUUAACCCAAAAGGGAUUGACGAAUGUUAAUCAAACCCAGUUGGGCAAAGCUCAUAAUUUGCGUCUUGUUCUGAAGGCUCUUUUUAACUCUUUUACCAGAAGACCCCAAAGGAAGGUUGUUGUGGAAUUGUAAAGAGAAAAAAAAGUCUUUAACUAACCAAUGAAAACAGGAUGUGAUAAAAGGAAUUAAAGUUAGUGCUAGACUUUAAUCUUAACAAAGUCUUCUCUGAUGUAUACUUCCCCUACUGCUUGAGUUUAACAUAUUAUUUAUUUAAGGACGGUGAGUUGUGAUUAAGGAAAUUUAAAAUUAUUUAAAUCAAUAUGCUAAACGACACUAACAAAAAAUUAAUCAAACUUAUCAAAUCAUCAGCCUUUCAAAUAAACAAAAGAAUGUCAUGGCACCAUUUUCUCCAACUCCAACUACUUCCUCUGUCUUUUUCUUUAAGUAUCAUCUUCUUUUGCAUUAGUUAAUGACAAAGGCAUCUUUUCCUCGCAACACACCAUGAUGAAACAUUGCUGAAGUCUUUGUCUUUGCCUCCCUGAAACCUCUCUGUGUUGAUUUUUCUUUUCCAUAUUUCAAUUGGUGCCAUUGAAUUACCAUCUUUCUAAUCAUUCUAGUUCUGCGAUCCGGUGCUGAGAAAAGAUUUCUUGGAACCACUUUCAAUUCUGGUAUAGGUAAGCAUGAAGCAACAACUGACACAUAGCUAAUAAGCCUUGACUAAAAAAUGUCGCGUUUCAGAAUUUGCCAUGCACUUUAUUUAUGACAUAUUCAACAACUGACACAUAUUCAUCUGAUGAUUUCUUCUUCUUCUGUUUCUAGGUAUGAUAAAGAUGUUGUCAAAAAAAUUGUUGAUGCCAAGGGAAGAGUAGCUGAGGGUUGUAUCCUAUACCACAAUCUGCCAAGCAAUCUCCACCAGAUUCCUUUACUCCAAAGGCUUACUUGCUAUGUAGCAAGGACACUCUAUUAGGCCGAAGUAUUGAAGUGUCUGACAGAAGGACACUCAGACAAGACUUCGACACUGGUCAACAGUCAAGACACAUUUCGGACAUUGUCAAAAUACUUUCGGACACGGUCAACUGAAGUUUGAUAUCCUAAUUUCAUCAUACCAUAUUUAUUCUUCAUAUCAAACAUAUAUAAAAGGACCAGCUUGAUUAAUCCAAAAUACCUUAAUUUAAAAAAAUCAGUUUUCGAAAUUAUUAAAUGUAACUUUUUGUAAUGUUAAAUCAAACAUUAAAAGAAAUAAAUUUCAUAAAACAUGUGAAAAUUUUGAAAUAUGAAAUUAAAAAAAAGGUUAAAUAUGUGAUUUGGGGAUUGGGUUCUAUUGGGUUGGAGGCAAAGCGGGUUAAGAGUAGCAUUUUGCUGUAAAAGCCCAUUCUAGAUUGAAAACUCAUCCUUGAGUGAAACGGUGCACUUCACUGAAAGGAGGGCAUCGUCUCUGCACUGUCACUCUGCAUUUUAUUGAAAGGAAAGGAGGCAAGCCUGGUGCGACGUAGUCGUUUUUGUACAACUCAGAGGCCGAGAAUUUCCAUCUCAGAUCACGGCGGCUUCAUUUGCCUCCAUUCAAUCAACGUACCCGUAUCCGUAUCUGACGCGUACCGCACACCCGUAUCCGUAUCUGUAUUCGUAUCCGACGCGUAUCGCACCAGUAUCCGAAUCAAAAUCUUCAUUGGUUUGGAGUUGUAAGAUUUGCCAAAUCGCUGGUAUUAAUUGACUGUUAAUUGAAGCAUAUUGCUUGGAACCAAGGUUUAAAAUAUCGAUGAUAUCGGAAAUAUCGGUAGUCCAAAAAUAUGGAAAUUUCGAUGGAAAUAUCGGGAUAUUAUCAAUAUCGAUAAAAAUUGAAUAAAAACCAUAGAAAUUGUAAGAAAAACUUGGAAAUUUUUAUUGAAACUUUGGAGAAUGUUUAUUUAGUCAAUUAUCUAUAAGUUUAUCACAAAAAAUUAGAAGGAAAUGCAUUGCAUGAUGGAUUUAACUAAUUUAAGUUGAUUAUACAGCAAGCGGGCAAACACUGUGAGUGUAAAAAAUAUGUAAUAAUUAAUGAAAAAAUAUUAAACACACCAUAAUCAUUUAUAUAUAAUGAUUUACUACAAUAUUUUACACUUUAUACAUUGCAUGGUAAGAUACCUGAGUGACUUAGCACCACAUAGAGUUCCUAUGAGGUUCAAAUUUUUUCACUAUCUUCAUCAUCUCUAUGUGUAGAGUAAGUGUAUUAUGAAGAGUAGUCAUCAAAUGAUAAAUUCCCAAAAUAGUUUUGCAUGUAAUUGUUAACAUACCACCCAUAUAAAUAUAAAUAUUUUAGCAUAUUAUCACAAAAACAUAAGUAAUAUGGUGUUUAAGGUGUUGGAGGAGUAAAAUGGGAGGGGGUCAUAUCCCUUUUGUGCUUUUUUCUCCCUUUUUUUUUUUUAUAACUUUUUUUUCCCUUCACAUCGAUAUUUUUGAUAUUUUAGCGAUAUUACACCGAUAUUUUGACAAAAUAUUGCUGAAAUGUGAGUGAAAUUAUCAACAUCGAUAUUUUUCCGAUAUUAUCGUCGAUAUUGUCGAUAUUUAUACAAUAUGUACAUAGAUAUGUUCCGAAAUAUCCGUGAUUCGAAAAAACCGAAAUAUCCUCGAUAUUUCGUCGAUAUUAUCGAUAUUUCAGACUAUGCUUGGAACUAGUUUCUAUUUUCCACUGAUGUUCAUUUGUGCAUGUUCCUUCAUGUCUUCAGUAAGUGUACCUGGCAAUGUCAAUAUUACUGUUGGUUAGGUAGCUGUUAAUUUUCUUUUUUCUAAUUAAGGGAAUAACAUUGAUCUUAUAAAAGAAGAAAACUUAUCAAGGUUGUAGGGAUUAAAGUCCGCUAAAAUUUAAGCUGAAAUUCCUUUAGGCUUUGUGCUUUAACUUUUCGACAUGAUAGCAAGUGAUUGACUUGAGAUACCGCCAACUAGGUGCAUUGAAGUUUUAUGAAGUUUUUGAGAAUAAACCAUCAAUCCUCUCAAGCAAUGCUAUUCUGUUGAUAUGAUUUGUGUCUUACUAUUCUUUGAGCAACUUUAUAUUAUGUUUCAUUCUUUAUUAUAUCAAACAAACACACACAAAGUUGCUAGACAUAGAAUGAUAUCAAUGAGACUCACACUUGGGCCUUGAUAUGCACUAGAAACAAACUCCACCAAUACACUUUGUUUCAUUAUAUGUUGCAUGCUACAGUAUGUAUACAGUUUUUAUAAUAUUAAAAUAUUAUAUAUAAAGUAAAAAUAUUUCGAGUCCUGUGCAGUAAUGCCACUUGCACCAUGCCAGGGCCACCUUUGUUUGAAAUCCACGUGUGAAUUGUGACGGGAAAAUUUUCAAAAAAUAGCAGGUGCCAAAAUCAAUAUACUAAACGACACUAACACAAAAUUAAUUAAGCUUAUCUACUUAUCAUCAGCCUUUCAUAUAAACAAAAUAAAGAACAACAUUGGUUUGUGUCAUGGCGCCAUUCUCCAACUCCAACUACUUCCUCUGUCUUCUUCUCUACAUAUCAUCCUCUUCUUCAUUAGUUAGUGUCAAAGACAUCUUUUCCUCGCAACACAACAUGAAGAAACAUUGCUGAAGCCCCUUUCAACACUAUUUUUAUUUUGUUUUUCAGUUUCAUUAUUAUCUUUGUCUUUGCCUUCCUGGCACCUCUCUCUGUGCUGAUUUUUCUUUUCCAUUUUUCAAUUCCUUGAAUUUUCAUCUUUCUAAUCAUUCUUGUUCUGCAAUCCGUGCUGAGAGAAGAUUUCUUGGAACCACUUUCCAAUGGCAUUGAGCAGCCAAAGGGCCUUCACUUCAGCUACUGCAGUUUGUUCAUGGAAAUACGAAGUGUUUUUGAGUUUCAGGGGUGAAGACACUCGCAGGGGUUUUACAGACUAUUUAUACAAACAGUUGGACUGGCGAGGAAUUAGAACUUUCAGGGAUGAUCCAGAUCUUCAAAGAGGGGCAGAUAUCAAUCCGGAGCUUCUGACCGCGAUUGAACAAUCAAGGUUUGCAAUCAUAGUUCUUUCAACAAACUAUGCUUCGUCAAGUUGGUGUUUGCGUGAACUAACCCAUAUUGUUCAGUCCAUGAAAGAGAAGGAGAGAAUUUUCCCAAUCUUUUAUGAUGUGGAUCCCUCUGAUGUACGGCAUCAACGGGGGAGUUUUGGGACAGCCCUCGUUAACCAUGAAAGGAAUUGUGGUGAAGACAGAGAGGAGGUGCUUGAGUGGAGAAAUGCUUUAAAAAAAGUUGCUAAUCUCGCUGGGUGGAAUUCAAAGGAUUAUAGGUAAGCAAGCAUGAAGCAACAACUGACACAUAGCUAAUAAGACCAAAUCUUGAAUAUUGCAUUUCAGUUUUGCCAUGCACUUUAUCUACGAUAUAUUCAUAUAACCUCAUCUGAUGAUUUUUUUCUUCUUCUUUUACUUCUAGGUAUGAUACAGAGCUUAUCACAAAAAUUGUUGAUGCAGUGUGGGAUAAAGUGCAUCACACAUUUUCAUUGUUAGAUUCCUCAGACAUAUUAGUCGGACUUGAUACUAAACUAAAGGAAAUAGAUCUGCAUUUAGAUACAAGCGCAAAUGAUGUGCGCUUUGUGGGGAUAUGGGGGAUGGGCGGAAUGGGUAAGACAACCCUAGCUAGAUUAGUUCAUGAGACAAUUUCUCAUAGUUUUGAAGGUAGCAGCUUUCUUGCAAAUGUCAGAGAGGUUUAUGCAACACAUGGUCUAGUUCCUUUACAGAAACAGCUUCUUUCCAAUAUCUUGGGGGAAACAAAUAUACAAGUUUAUGAUGCUUAUAGUGGAUUUACUAUGAUAAAGAGGUGUCUAUGUAAUAAAAAGGUUCUUCUCAUUCUUGAUGAUGUGGAUCAAUCAGACCAACUGGAAAUGUUGAUCAGAGAAAAAGACUGCUUUGGUUUGGGAAGUAGAAUCAUCAUUACAACUAGAGAUGAACGUUUGUUCGUCGAUCAUGGGAUAGAGAAAGUAUAUAAGGUCAUGCCAUUAACCCAAGACGAAGCUCUUUAUCUCUUUAGUAGGAAGGCCUUUAGAAAAGAUGACCUUGAAGAAGAUUAUCUAGAACUGUCUAAAAAUUUCAUAAACUACGCAGGAGGUCUUCCAUUAGCUCUUAAAACUUUGGGGUCUUUUUUGUAUAAAAGAAGUCGAGAUGAAUGGAAGAGUGCACUAGAUAAACUGAAGCAAGCUCCUGACAGAAAAAUUUUUCAAAUUUUGAAAAUAAGCUAUGAUGGACUAGAGGAGAUGCAGAAGAAAAUUUUUCUUGAUGUUGCAUGUUUCCAUAAGCUUUAUGACAAGGAAGAAGUGAUUGAAAUACUAGACAGUUGUGGUUUUGUUGGCACUCGUAUUGUGAUACAUGUUCUUAUUGAGAAAUCUCUCUUGUCUAUUUCAAACACGCAUCUGUCCAUUCAUGAUUUGAUACAAGAAAUGGCAUGGGAGAUUGUUCGUCAAGAGUCUUUUGACGAGCCAGGUGGUCGCAGUCGCUUGUGGCUUCACAGUGACAUCAUUCAUGUACUCACGAACAAUACGGUAAGAAGUUGCACAAAAAAUAAAAUACCAAAACAUUGGAUAACAUACUAUAAUUCCAUUAAUAACGAUAAGAGAGACUUGAUUAUGACACUAACUUUUCUUUUAUUCCUAUGUACAAGGGAACGGAAGCCAUUGAAAGCAUAGUCCUAUGCUUGCGUGAAUUUGAAGCGGCACACUGGAAUCCUGAAGCAUUCUCUAAGAUGUGUAAACUAAAGUUGCUCAAGAUUAAUAAUUUGAGCCUUUCUUUGGGCCCAAAGUAUCUUCCCAAUUCCUUAAGGUUUCUGGAGUGGAGUUGGUAUCCCUCCAAAUGUCUGCCCCCAAGUUUUCAACCUAAUGAACUUGCUCAACUUAGUCUGCAGCAGAGCAAAAUUGAUCACCUUUGGAAUGGAAUAAAGGUAGACCUUUGUAGAGCUAGUUCUUUUCAAUUUCAAUAAAUUUUGCAAGGUUCUUGGAAGUUAUUAUUAUUAUUUUUUUGUCUGAGUUCUUGGAAGUUAAUUAAUCUACCAUUUUCAUGUUUUGUACAGUACAUGGUGAAGUUGAAAUCUAUUGAUCUUAGUUACUCCCAGAACUUGACAAGGACCCCAGAUUUCACAGGUACACAGAACCUUGAGAGGCUGGUUUUUGAAGGUUGUACUAAUCUUGUUAAGAUUCAUCCAUCCAUUGCCUCUCUCAAAAGACUAAGAGUUUUGAAUUUUAAAAACUGUAAAAGCAUUAAGAGUCUCCCAAGCGAAGUAGAACUGGAAUCUCUUGAAACAUUUGAUCUUUCUGGGUGCUCAAAAGUGAAAAAGAUUCCAGAAUUUGUGGGAGAAAUGAAGAAUUUUUCGAAGCUUUCUUUAAGCUUCACUGCUGUUGAGCAAAUGCCCUCAUCAAAUAUACAUUCCAUGGCGAGUUUGAAGGAGAUUGAUAUGAGUGGAAUUUCUAUGAGAGAUCCCCCAUCUUCCCUGGUUCCAGUGAAAAAUAUCGAACUGCCUAGAUCAUGGCAUUCUUUCUUCAGUUUUGGCUUACUUCCAAGAAAGGAUCCCCACCCUGUGAGUCUGGUGUUAGCUUCCUUAAAAGAUUUACGCUUUUUGAAGUGUCUAAAUCUGAAUGACUGCAAUCUUUGUGAAGGAGCAAUACCUGAAGAUAUUGGUUUAUUGUCCUCUUUAGAAAGAUUAAAUCUUGGUGGAAACCAUUUUGUUAGCCUUCCUGAAGGCAUCAGUGGGCUUUCUAAGCUUAGGAGCUUCACACUGAAGAAUUGCAAAAGGCUUCAAAUAUUGCCAAGCCUUCCAUCAAACGGACCACGAUGUUUUUCUGUAAGCACUGAUAAUUGUACAUCCUUGAAAAUAUUCCCAUAUCCACCACCGAUGUGCAAUGGUGGAAGUCACACUUGGAUUAGUUCUUUCAAUUGCUUCAGUUUGAUUGACCAUCAAGGUUCCAGUUCCAUAAUAUUUUUAACGCUGAAGAAAUUCCUUCAGGUACUUCUCCCUCUCUCCCUCCUUCCCUCUUUAGUUGUGUAGUACUAUUUAUAUCCUUCCUUUGGUGCAGGAAAUUCCUCGUUCUUUGAGCAUCUUCGGUAUUGUAAUUCCUGGAAGUGAAAUUCCUGAGUGGUUCAAUAAUCAAAAUGUGGGAGACUCUGUAAUUGAGACACUACCUUCUCAAGAUUCUAAUAGCAAGUGGGUGGGGUUUGCUUUUUGUGCUCUAUUUUUACCUGCUCAAGAAAUUUCAGCUACUGGUACGAGACAUUAUUUAAUCGAUUUUCGUUGCCUUUAUGAUUUAAACACCCUUGCGGGCCCGGUUUAUGUUAUGGGCACAGACGACGUAGUGUUGUCCGAUCACCUUUGGUUGUUCCUCCUGUCUAGGCACCAUUUCUUUAGGGAACCAAGCGGGAGACAUGGGGCCUAUUGGAGGGAGAAAUGCCGCGAUCAUAAGAUUCGGUUUCAUUUCGAAGCAAGAUCUAGUCAAGGAGAGAAGACAUGGGUGAAGGUGAAGAAGUGUGGAGUCCGCGCACUGUACGAACAAGACGCGGAAGAGCUCAACCGAACAAUGAAACAAUAUUCCAACAGAAAGGAUUCUUUUUAUGAGGACGUUACAGAUUGUGAUUUUGACAAAUCAGACAAGGUACAAGGUGUCAUCACUAAGCGAACACGUGAACAGUACUGUAAUGAGACAGGACCAAGCGGUGUUGGUCGCUUGGGCAAAGAAUCACUCUGCAAAAGAAUGAAAGAAGACUAACUGUCCAGUGCCUCAAAGGAGGAGUUGAAAGGUUGGUAUUGCUAAACUCUUCCCAUAUUAUCAUAUAAUUCAUGGUUUCGCUUCAGUUUUUAUCCUAUUAGGUUGGACGAGAGUACUUCUCCUGUUACGUUAUAUUCAAAUUCAAUUGAAAUGCAUGUAUGCAGGAUGCGUUGUAUUAGUGUAGUGUUGUAAAUCUUGUUUUGUUGUACCAAUCACUCUGGAAGUAGAAUAAGUUUUGACAGUCUUUUUGCUUUUUGCAAUCAGAUCCAAAUUUUGUUAGGGGAGGAGAAUUCUGUCAUCCGGAAGCCUAACGGGCGCAUUUUACCGACUGAUGCGUUUAAACAUGGUUGGGAGACAUAUAUUUAUACUUAAAUGGUUUCUUUCUUAGGCUAAAUUCCGAAUGCUGUAAUAAAUUCAGUAGGUUAAUUAGUGAAGCCCUAUUUGAGACAUUGACAUUAUCUGGCGCGUGGACAAGUCAAUCAACUCCAAAAUGACCUCUGCUGUAAUUCAACUACUUCAUUUUUCCUUAUGCGAAAAGCUUUUAUUUGUGUUUUUUUUUUCAGGAAUCUGUUAUAAUGAUGCUCAUAUAUAUAAUUUGCAUAUUUGGUGUAUUUUUUUUUUCUUUUCUUCUUAAGACUUAUUCUCAACCAGUGAAUUUAAAUGAGUGUUGCUAAACGAACCCUAAAAUUAACUGAGUAUACCCUAUGAUCUAAGUGCACUCUAAUAUUUAAAUUAAAUUAUAAAAUUAACUCAGUACACCCUAUUUAACUACCAAAAACACCCAUGGUACACUCUAAUACACUCUAUCACAUAACACCUAACUCAUUCAUGAGUCCAAUUUUACUGUUACCAAAUGCCAUGUGCCGACAUGUUUCCCUUCUAUUUUUUUGACAUGUGGUAAACCACUUAACAACACUUAAAACUUGUGAAAUCGACCUCCCAUCAUCCCCCCACCCAGCCAACCCCAUCCUUCCUCCUCCGACUUAAGCCCUCUCGCAUCCAACCCAACCCUACCACCACCGUCCUUCUCUCUCUCUCUCUCUCUCUCUCUCUCUCUCUCUCUCUCUCUCUCUCUCUCUCUCUNNNNNNNNNNNNNNNNNNNNNNNNNNNNNNNNNNNNNNNNNNNNNNNNNNNNNNNNNNNNNNNNNNNNNNNNNNNNNNNNNNNNNNNNNNNNNNNNNNNNUCCACCCUUCCCCUGCUUAUCCCCAGCCAACCCAAACCCGACGAGCAUAAGAUUCUAAUAAGCCCGUAAUAUCGUGUUGGAACCCAUCUCCUUUCAACUAGUGGAAGAAGGAAAAUUCCAAAGUGGGUUUGUUUCUUAGACUGUUGAGGUUGCUAUCAACCCCAAAGGUAUCUAAUUAAGAAGAAAUAGGUUGUAUUGGAGUUGUUGGAAGUUGGUGUUUAUGGUGCAAACAGCAACAUGAUUGUCAUUAGAUUCAUCAGAGGGUGAAGAGCUGGAGUUCUAGUGGGCAAGUGUAAGAGCCGUUUGGGAAUAUGCUCACUUGAAACCACCAACACCGUAGAUGAACAUCAAAUGAUUAUUGUUUUGGGUGGGUUGAAUGCAUUAACCAAGUCUAAUGGCCGAACGCCACAUACACAUGGAAGAUUCUGACUCAUUGCAAAAAAUUUAGAGCAAAUAAGAUAAUUUGGAUGAGAGAGAGAGAGAGGGAGGGACGGUGGUGGUGGGGUUGAGUUGGAUUCAUAGCGUUCAACGUCGCUCCAUCAAAUAUUAGGGUUGAAUAUGGUGAGUAAGGUGUACUUUCUAAAAUUACAUUUGCUUCACAAUUCAAUAUAUCCUUUUUAGUCAUUUUAUAUUAGGGUAAAUUAGUAAUUCAAUAAAUAGUUUGAUAGUAGGGUGUACUAAAUUAAUUUUAGGGUUCGUUUAGCAUCACUCAUUUAAAUUGGCCAAAAUUGUGGUCCUGCUUGGUAUAUGUUUGUACCCCAAAAAAUAAAAAUCUUGGAUUUAGAUUCUUGGUGGGUUUAAAUAGUGCGUAGGUAUUGCAUAUAAUUUAAUCUGCUAAACAAAUACAAUGCCUCUGAGUAUUUUUUUCUCCCAAAAAACACUCUUAGAGCCUUUUCCACUUUGAGGGAGGAGGAAGCCAUUGUUCUUCCCCCCUCUCCCCUCUUGUCUUCCUCCUUUCACAUCUUCCCCCAUUUUCAGAGAUAAAGAGUUUUCCCUAUUUGUCUUAGUUUUGUUAUGAUUUUCAUCCAACCAUUAUAGGCGGCUGUGGCUCAGCGUCGGAUCUUCACCUGCAUUUCCGCAUUGGAUCUCCACCACCAUCUUUUUUUCAAUUUCUUUAUGUUUGGAAUAAGUUGCAGAGACUCUUUGGGUUCUCUGUGUAGUUUUCACCUCUCCUUUUGUGAGGGUUUUUCAUCUCUCCUUUGUGAGAGCUUUUCAUCUCUUAUUUGUGAGAGUUUUAUUUGUAUUGUUAUUGGUUUUUUCAAGCUUUAUCUUUUUUUUAUUAUUCUAAGUUUGCAAUCUUAGUUGGAAUGCCCAUGCCAGAGUUUUUUCGAUCCUGCCUGAUCGUUAGUGGAGACACACCAGAUUAUCUUAAUUUUGAUAUUAGACCGCUCCGUUAUUGUAAUGGCCACAAUCGGGAGCUGGGUAUGUGGUUCUCAUUCUUUUCCCCACCUCCAUGCUAGUAAUAUUCGAACUGGCGAUUCCCCAUCCUUGCCUACGUCCCAUUACAAAAAUACUAAUAAAAAAUAAUAUUAAAUGUGGAAAAAAGUCAUAAACUAUUGGUGGGAGUCAUGGUACAGAAACAAUAUAUUCAUAUGAAAAAUAAAUAAAUAAAUAAAUAAAGCCGAAAACAUCCCAAAAAUUUCCCAAUUAGAUUCAACAUAUAUACAGGGAGAAUAACUAUCUUGCAAGAUGGAGCUGCAAUCUGGAUUUGGGCAUUUGCUUUUCUGAAAAUACCUCACUGGAGUCUCUCAUGCCCGUCAGAUUCCCCUUGAUAAAGCUUAGUUGUUCUUUGGGGUUUAACCCCCCAUUAAUUAUAUUUGUUUAAAAAAAAAAAAUUUCCCAAUUACUAUCCCAUUACCUAAAGCUGCAAAGACCUUAACCAGUUGACGAUCCCAACUGUAGAAGAGAUGCCACUGUUAGCAAAUCACGUAAGUGUCCCAAGCCAAUAAAAUGUCGACAGCUGGUAACUAAUUUUACUUCCAAUUUUAAAUAUUAAAAAAAUGUUCUGCACCCAUUUCCGCGUCCCUCUCUCUCAUCCAUUAAUCUCUCUUUCUUCAUUUUAGUCACUCCUCCAAGGAAAACUUCCUGUCACAGGAUGCCACUGUUAACAAACCAUGUAAAUAUCCCUAGCCAAUAAAAUGUCGACAGCUAGCAACUAAUUGUACUUUCAAUUUUAAAUAUUAAAAACAAAAUGUUCUGAACCUUAGUCACUCCUCCUCCAUCAUCAUCCACACCCCCCUGCAUUCCUCUUUUUCUCUUCAAUCAGUAAUCCUUCAUAACCCACACUUGGUAUUGAUCUCUCAGUUUUAAUUUUAGUGAAGUAUAUUUAUUGGAGAAAUCUGGAAAUUUUGAAAAUGGUGGAGUUGAGAAAUAUUGGGUUGGCUUCGACUUUGUGGAGGAACAGUAUACGUUUUGGGGAAGAAAAACUUUCUCCGGCGUCACUCUCUCCUCCAGAUCUGAGGAAUCUCUUUCCUCCUUUUUUCUUCAAAUUUUAUUGUAUCUAUUGGGCAGUUUUGGAAAAUUUGGAAUGGUGAAGCUGAGAGAGCUUGGGUUCUGUCUGUCAGGGAACAGUGAAGGUGCGGUUUUGGGGAGUCAAAUCGCACCAUGUAUUGAUUUCUUCUCCAGAUCUAAGGAAUCUCUCCUGCCAUUCCAUUAUCACAAAGUAUCAUCUUCUCUCAACAACCCCUCAUAUUCAAGCUCUUCCACAACUCACUUCAACAACCCAAGUAUCUCGCUUAUAGAGAAUAUAUAUAUAUAUAUAUAUAUAUACUUCUCCGAAAUUCAUAUAAAAUAUACUCUCGAUACCCAAAUAUGCCAAACCCACAAUAUAUUGUCAAAACGCUAUACAAACAUCAAAUUAAACUCAUGAAUAUAAUAUAUUCAAUAAACCAUUAAAAACAUUAUGCAUAAAUCUUUCAUCAAUAAAACCAUGCAUAUGAUUGAAAACAAAGUCCACUCACAAAUAUUCUGACGCUACCUGACUACGAGAGGGUCCGGUCUACUGAGUACGUGCAGUCGGAACACCUAUUUCGAGAUACGAAUCCUUAAUUAAUAUAAAAUUAUGUCGAAGCGGAAAUCACAAUUAAAUACUUAAAUCCCCAAAUUCCCAGUACGUGUACGUUGAAGGAGGUAUCCUAAAGUCCGAUUACAGGUUUAGGAAUCGUUCACGAUUGUACAGUUAUUGUUAAUUCACAAACUUUACAUUAUUGAAUCGGAACAUCCGGGGUACCGAUUCAUAAUCUGUGAAGUCCUACACGGUCCUAGGAAUACCUAGAACAACAUAUUUUAAUUAGGAAAAGAUCUAACAGUCAGAACCUAUCGAACCCGAAUAACGCACAAUAUGCGAAAAUCCGUUCGAUAGACAAACGACGCCCGAAUUGAGAUCCGCGAAAUCCUAUGCACUCAUGACAGCCUAAGUAUCUCAUCGGGUGAAAUUACAACUUCACCAGCCUCGCCCAUGGGCCGUCACACGCAUCGGCAGCACUUGGGUGUGUAGAGUAAAUUCCGGUGACGGAAAAACUCCACACCCGAGCUCACCCUUCCUAUCCUAGCUUCUACUCAAGGUCAAGAUCACUUCAUUCAGCUACGGGGAGGUCCAAUUCGGACGGCAACUGGUCAGAAUUUCACUUUGAAAUCCGGCCAAAACCUAGGUUUUCAAAUCGAUUUUCUAAACAACAAAUCGAUCCAAACCUAUACAUCAGUCAGCUAGAACUCGAAAAAUGGAUGAGAAACCACACCUUAUUCACCGGGUUUGGGUGGCGGAGACGGCGGCGCGACGACUGAAAAUCUCCACUUCGAACUAGUCGAGAUCAUGGCCAUAAUUCGUGGUUUCCGACGGGGAAAGCUAGCGGGUCUUGACCGGGACGUCGAGGGGAGUCGAUCAGGAUCGGUGGCGCGCCUAGCCGUGGCCGGUGCUGGGAGAAUCGUAGAGAGAGAGAAUCGGCGUCGAGGAGAGAGAGAGAUUGAGGAGAGAGAGAGAGAGAGAGAGAGAGAGAGAGAAAACUGAUCGCGCGAGGAGAGAGGGAAUUGAGGUGAAAAAUCUGAUUUUUACCAAACUUUUUGAAAUAAUUACAGUUUUGCCACUGAUAAUGUUUUGAUCGCCAAAUCUUCGUUACAACUCCGAUUCAAGCCUAUCGCGUGUCUACGAAUUCGUCUCAGUACAACCUACCCAAAAACACCAGUCGUUGUCACAAAAUUCUUCCGGAUAAGAAAAUGACCAAUUUACCCCUACCCCAAGGGUAAAUUCGUAAUUUCACUUUAAAUCAAUUAAAAUAGACAUUAAAUUUGGAGUCGGGGUGUUACAUGUCUUAUGAGCAAUUUUUUUUGGUAUGAUAUGGAGAGAGGGGGAAUUGAACUUAAAAUCUUGGAUGCGGGGAUUAAUACUCUUAAAUAAGAUAAAAUGGUCAACGAUAUCUAGCCCAGUGAAAAAGGACAUAAUGUUGCAAAUUUCAUUUUGCUUCCAAACUAAUGGUUUCAUGAACAUGAGCUUCAUAUCAUCAACCAACCAUAUUUGUACAGAUUUUGAAUAUAUAUAUAUACACACACACACCCCCGCGUACUUAUAAUUUGCAUAUUUGGUUUUUUUCUUCUUAAGACUUAUUCUCAACCAACGGAUUUAAAUGAGAUGAUCCAAAGGCCAAAAUUGUGGUCUAACUUGGUAUAUGUUUGUACCCAAAAAAUAAAGGGUGGUGUUAAAAAAAAUCAUAAAAUUAGUACUUAUGAUUUAAGUACACCCUAAUAUUUUAAAUCAAAAAUGUAUAAUUAAUUAAAUACACUUUAAUUACCAAAAAUACCAUGGUGUACCCUAAUACACCCCAUCACACAAAGAAAAAGUUAAAAGCAAGAAACAAAGAAAAAUAAAAAUAAAAGCAAUCGUUUACUCUUUAAAUUCAAAGCAUAAUCUGGCAGAGGCAGUAAAAGAUCCCAAGGAAAAUAGGAAGAAAAAAUUUCAAUAUCACUUAGAUAUAGGAUCAUUCGCGUGUUAAAAGGAAAUUCCCAAAAAAAUAUACACAUGGGAAGAAAUAAACGAAGAACGGAGGAGGACAUGAACUGUACGCAAUUUCAAAGUCAAAAUAUUGAAAACAAAGUGUAAAAACUCCAAGGUGUUGUAAAAUAACUGGGAUAUGUGCGAAUAUUGAGCUGCACGUAAAGUAGAUGAGACACAGCAUUUAACGAGGUUCGGCUAUGCCUACGUCCUCGGAGAGCAGCAACAGUAACUUUUCACUAUAUAAAAUAAUAUGGCUACAACUUUAGUGUUUACAACAUGUGUGGCUCACUGAAUUUUCUCUCUACGAGAAUUUCUCUCUGCUCUCUCUUUCCUCUUUCUUCCUUCUCUUCCUCUUGUCUCUUUCCUUUUUCUCUCUUUCCUCUUUUCUCUUUUUCCUCUUCUUUGUUUCCUCUUCUCUCUUUCCUCUCUUCUCUCUUUCCUCUUCUUUGUUUCUUUCCGUUUUUUCUUUCUUCUCUUUGCAGGCAGGAGGAUUGCCUAUUUAUAGGCAUGAUAAAUGGCACCCGUGAUGUUUCUAUCCAAUCAUCUUCACUAUUCACUAUUCACCCGUGAAUAAACUCAUGCACUAAAGUCUACAAACAAAUAGUAAGUGGGCUCCACUACUUUAUACUUUACAACACUCCCCCUUGGAGACCACAUGUCCCUAGAUUGGUUGCCUCAUUAAAAUCUUGCUUGGAGAAAACCUAGUAAGGUAGAGAACUGAUGGAAGGAAGAAAGAAGAGUACAACAAUCUGUAUAGCAUACUUCUGGAUGCUCCCCCUGAUUAAUAUCUCCCCCUGAUGUCUUCAUGACUAUCUUUUGGAGUGAGAAUCUUUCGGAGUGAGUGGAGGAUGUAGCCAUUAACAAUUCUCGUAGUUGAGUAAGUAAAUAUAUUUCCAGUGAGCUAUCUCUAUGUAAAUCAUAGAAAUUUUCAGAGUCCGCGUUUCUAACAAAACUUGGGCUAUUUGUAAGUUCACUUGAAAGAAUAUGCCCGUACAUGGUGUUAUGCGGAGAUAGCAUCAAAUAUACCUCACAUCAUUCCAAAAUGAUGGUGAUGGAGUUGAGCCCUAUCUGAAAAAUAUGAUGUCCGGUCGAAUAUACUUCCGAAAAAUCAUUAAAGUGUCUAACGGAUAAUCCUCAUAAAAAUGCUUCAAUACUUUAUUAGUAUAAGCAAGAAUCUCGUUGGCAUAAUGCUCGAUCCUUAAGUCGAGACAAAUAUUUCUUGAACUCUUGAGAAGCUUUAAUAUGUUGCAAACACAUUAUAAUCAAUAUACUCACUGAUGUAAUUUAUGUACAUUAAUAUUGAGUACAAAUUUUGUGCUUCAGGCACAUGUCAUUCAGGGACUUGCUUCAUGCAAUUUCAAUCCUUUCAAGGAUUUUGUUUAAAGGGAUUAAACUUUAUGACACAUUAUAUAGCUUUAACCCAGCUAUUUAUACAUCUUUAGGGAAUCACUUCAGGUGAUAUGCUCUGUGCAUUUAAUAACCUUUAAAGAUAACAUGUUGGUCUCCGUAAAUGUGCAAUAAAGGGGCACAAUUAAAUCUAUAAAUAUGGAGAAAACCCAACAUUCCUUGUUUCUGCCAGAAACAUUGUGUCAUACAAAGUAGGUAUAUUUCCUUUUAUUCCGAACACCCAAGUAUAACUUUUAAUAUUAACAUCUUUUGGGGUUCGUACUGUGGGUUUGUUCUUUCACGUUCAUUCUCAUCUAUAAUGGAAUUGCCUCAUUCCAUUUUGGCUAAUGAUAUUGUCGACUUUUAAUAAUUGAACGUGGUUCCAAUCAACACGGCCCAUUGAUGAUUUGAGUAGCUACUCCAAAAUCAAAAUUUGUCAUUCAUCAAUUUAUGAUCCCACCAUUCUCAUUUGCUUGCGCAUACAUCAAUUAUAAGCAUUUCUUUGCUUUUGGGUACCCAAGCCACUGCAGGGGGCUUUUAUUAUGUGAGAAUGUGGAUUAUAACCUCCAAUGGAGCGUUAUUUUAUAGUAUGGCGUGGAUAAUCUCCAUUUAGGGAGUUGGAACAUUUAGAAUCCAUAUAUCUAUCAUGCUGCAGGCAUGCCACAGAUUAAUACAUACAUGUCAAUUAAUUUAUGGGACUUUAACCCAUACAAUUUGCUAUGCAUUAGGCGUGCACAAUAUCAAUAUUGACAUGUCAAAGGAUUGUCCUUUCGGGACUUCAAUCCACAUCAUUUGCUACGCAACAGGCGUGCAUCAUAUUGAUCACUGCUAUACCCAUAUUCUGUUCUUAUGGGACUUUAAUCUGUGCAGUGUAUUAUCAAUGUAUCCAACUUGCAAUCUGUAAAAUUUGCGUUAAUAAUUCAUGGAUACAUACAAGCCAUUCUUUUGGAACGGACUUAUCUCUCCAUUUGGUUACCUUUCAAGAUAAAAUAUCAAAUAGGUAUAUAAGCAUAAAAUAACACAAGUAUUGCUUACAUCCUUAGGUGGGAGAAACUUUUCUCAAGUAUCAUUCAAGCUCAUAUCGGCCCAGUAAAUAUAAUGUAGCGCUUGAUGAUCUAGUUAUAUCCUGCAAGAGCAAAAAUCACAACUCUUUUGCCUCUGUCAAAACAAAUAACCCUCAUAGUUAGGAUUACUUCAUGGAUUCAUUUUUCAGAUGUUCAUUCUAAAGAAAUAAAAUCUCUUAUUAACAGAGAGUUAUAAAAAGAGAAAAAAUGCAAAAAUAAUGUGAUAUUGAUUGCAAGAGAAGGUAAGCAAUCAGGGAAGGAAGCUAGUGGGAGCAGACAAUAAGCUCUCAUAUCUCCUAGUCUAGAAGGACUUCCGGAGAUUAGAGCAUAAGAUCGCCUUCACAGUUUCCUGAUGUAGCGGAAACGUGAUCAGGGAUAGUCUUGCUUCCUGAAUGGAUGAUCAGAGAUAGUCUUGCUUCUCAGGCAUAUUGAGUGCUCACUGAUAAGAAAAAUAAGUAGAUAUCGCAUCACUAGGUAUGGAGUAAACUGGAUGUCUUAUGCAAAGAAAAUUUCGUUAGUAACACAUUUAUACACAAAUACAAUGAAUAGAUAGAACCGGUGAAUUUCAAAUUAACCAUUGGAAAAUUGCGAGAUUCUCGGGAUACUUUUGAAAAAGUAGCUCCGUGAAAUCCGUAAAGCAAGAUCGGCUUUGACGAAAAUAAUACUUGAAAACGCCGAAAGUGCCGACAGGCAUUAUUAGAGGCUACGUGAAGUUUUGGACUCUGGGAAAGAAAAAGAUAAUAUGGGGAUUCGAGAAGAUAUUGAAAUCUUGAAGAUAUUGCCAUAUUUUCGUCUAUAGAUAUUGCCUUUGCAAAACUUGAUUGGAGCAAUUGCGUUUCAACUUAACUUCCUUCAUUUUCUGAAACUUUAGUUUUCCUAAGGCUUUCUUCGAAACCUUCUUAAAAAUGGCUUCCUCUUCUUCCUGCCCAAAUUAUUUCAAUUUAAAUGAUGCUCCCACAACAACUAGUGACGCCAAAGUUUGGCGUCCAUCCUUUGUAUCCCAAAAUCGUCAUCUCACAGUUAAUGAUUCUGUGAUGAUGAAUGAUGCUACUGCUGUCAUAGUAGCUAGGAAUUUCAUUACUCCAAUGGAUGAAAUGCUGUUAACAGGGAGGUCUGAGGAAGAGGCUAUUGAUGACUCAAUGGCUUUUAGCAUUCAGAGUGCUGCUUCUGUUUCUAACAUGGCUGAUCGUUUGCGUGCCAGAGCAAACGAGGUUGAGAGGCUAACAACUGAAAAUUCGUCUCUUCAAAGAAUGCUUUAUGAGUCUCAACAGGAGGUUGAGAAACUUAAAGGAGAGAAUAAUUCCUUGUUGAAACUGGUGAGUUCGUACUCUGUUGAUACACUGAGAAGGCUAGACAUGCUGCAGGUCUCAAAUGAAAGAAUUUUGGGAGACCACGAGAAGCUCAUGGCUAAGCUUAAGAGGCGCUGUCCUCUUCCUUCAGAGGCUUCCAGAACAUAAUGUAAUUUUAUAGAUUUUACAGGGCCUGCACCUUCAUUGCAGGUGGAAAAAAUCUAUCUGUUAUAUGCUCCUUUCCUAUUAUAAUAAUUGCGCAUAUUCUUAAACUUACACCUGUGGUUUUUACGUCUUUUCAAAAUGACGGUUUGGAACCUUGUGCCUUAUAGAUUCAAAUAACCACAUCGACUCUCCCAAAUUUCAUAUUUUAACGUAUGAAAUUUUUGGCAUGGGCUAAACACAAACUCAGAAUUUAUUUGCCCUUUUCAAAUGGACAUGAAAUAUGAAUUGAGUAAAAGCCACGAUAAUAUCGCAAUAUAGUGGUGAAGAGCAUUAACUACUAUAUACCCACAACUUCAAGUUCAGGAUCUCUCAUAUAUUUGGAUCCAUGGGCUUCCGGCCCAGAUAUAACAAAAUAUGUGGGGAGCCUCAAUUCAUUAUUUGAGGUUUAUAUUAAUAUUAUCCAUUUCGCGGUGUAUUCUUAACAAUCGGAAUUCACAAAAUAUAUUUCUUCCUUGAGGUGUUGAUUAUAACAAAAUCGAACUUUAUUAAAUUCAUCAUCUUCUUAUGCCAAAGAAAUAUGUGGCAUACCACAAUUUGCAAUAAUACCUCAAGGGUUGUCCAUUUAAUUGUUGGAACUUCAGGUUCUCAACACUGUUAGAUUUUGAACCUCAAGCCAAAAUCACAUAUUCUUAUGGUAUGGACAUUUUUACAAUUUUCUGUACAUAUUUCUGGACUUCAAGCCCUUACAUAAUUGUCCAUAUCUUGAGGAACUUCUGGCAUCUCAUUUAAUUGCUCAUCCAUGAGUUUAAGGAACUGCAGGUUCCCUUUUUGAAUAGUGAUGGUUUACCCAAAAUGAUUAAUAUUUAUGUAUACGUCACUAUUCAUAUAUCCGGUACUAUUCAUCAAGUCAUGAAUACGUAUCUAUUCAUGUGUGCAGUACAUUUGCCAGUACAGUUAUCAUCCAUGUGUACGGCAUUAUGAACCAAUACGGUACUGUUACAUCAUUAAGGAACCCCAGGUCCUUAUUUACAUGUCGGGGAUCAAGGACCCUCAAGUCCAAUCACAUGUUUACAAAUAUAGUACCGGAGAGACUGCCAGCUCUCAUAUUAACAUCAUCAUCAAGGAUCUUCAAGUCCUGAUGUAAUUGUAUGAUGAGGAUCAAGGAACUUCUGGUCCUGAUCUGCAUACUGUAAAAACUCAUCAUACAGCACAAUUAAUCCAUGAAAUAAAUUGCUGGUAAAUAAAUUACUGGUAUGGACGAUAAACCCGCACCAUACUUUAAAUAAAUGUAAAUGUGCGGUAAAAUAAAUUCAUAAAUUAAAUUGCUUGCUGUAUGGACGUUAAUCCCGCACCAUACCUUAAAUAAAUUUAAAUGUGCGGUAAAUUAAAUUCAUAAAGUAAACAUGCUUGUAUGGGCACUAAUUCUGCUCCAUACUUUUAAAUAAAAGUAAAGGCAUGGGCGAUAAACCCGCGCCACCCUUUUAAAUAAAUACUGUCGUAUGGGUAAUAAACCUACACCAUACAGUAAAUAAUGUACAGUAAAUUAAUUUCAUAAAGUAAAUUUCAUAAAGUAUGAGGGUCAAUUCCACAUCAUACUUUAAGUAAAAGUAAAUUUGCGAUAAAGUAAAGGUGCUUGUAUGGGCACUAAUUCUGCUCCAUACAUUUAAAUAAAAGUAAAGGCGUGGACGAUAAACCCGCACCACCCUUUUAAAUAAAUACUGUUGUAUGGGUAAUAAACCUACACCAUACAGUAAAUAAAAUAAAUAUGGGGUUAAAACCACCACCGAAUAAAAUAAGAAAAAUAUUAGUAUUAGUAACGGUCUCCCACUGAUAAUAUGUUUAGUAUUACCAAGGGUCCAUUUUUGUUAGUGGUUAGUAAUAGAAAAGUGAAUAGAUAUAGCAUAUUAUAUUACCACAUUUCAAUAUUAAUAUUACAUAUAUAUGUAUAUGAAUAUAUGAAUAUAUUUGUUUCGGUGGGUUCUUAUCAUGUUGGUGGAAAGCUAAAAGUGGCAAUAAAGUUAAAAGUUGCAGAAACCUCUAGCAAUAUAUAUUAUGUAUAUAAUAUAAUAUUAUUAUACUAAUAUAUUAGUGGAAAGCUCUAUAUAUCAGGUUGGCCUUUGCUUGUCCAUCUCAACCACAAACACAUGGCACAGAUCUAAUCACACCUACACCCGCCUCGGCUGGUCAUAAUUGUUAGAUAUUAGAUUAAUAUUAAAUAAUUGAGAUAGAGAAAACAGAGUGCUUAUCUCAUGGUCAUCAAGGCAUAUCCCACAUAGAGAGCGUCUCGUGCUGAUAACGUGUUGUAAAAUAACUGGGAUAUGUGCGAAUAUUGAGCUGCACGUAAAGUAGAUGAGACACAGCAUUUAACGAGGUUCGGCUAUGCCUACGUCCUCGGAGAGCAGCAACAGUAACUUUUCACUAUAUAAAAUAAUAUGGCUACAACUUUAGUGUUUACAACAUGUGUGGCUCACUGAAUUUUCUCUCUACGAGAAUUUCUCUCUGCUCUCUCUUUCCUCUUUCUUCCUUCUCUUCCUCUUGUCUCUUUCCUUUUUCUCUCUUUCCUCUUUUCUCUUUUUCCUCUUCUUUGUUUCCUCUUCUCUCUUUCCUCUCUUCUCUCUUUCCUCUUCUUUGUUUCUUUCCGUUUUUUCUUUCUUCUCUUUGCAGGCAGGAGGAUUGCCUAUUUAUAGGCAUGAUAAAUGGCACCCGUGAUGUUUCUAUCCAAUCAUCUUCACUAUUCACUAUUCACCCGUGAAUAAACUCAUGCACUAAAGUCUACAAACAAAUAGUAAGUGGGCUCCACUACUUUAUACUUUACAACACAAGGUUAUUUGACUUUUGUCUUAACCCAAAAGGGAUUGACGAAUGUUAAUCAAACCCAGUUGGGCAAAGCUCAUAAUUUGCGUCUUGUUCUGAAGGCUCUUUUUAACUCUUUUACCAGAAGACCCCAAAGGAAGGUUGUUGUGGAAUUGUAAAGAGAAAAAAAAGUCUUUAACUAACCAAUGAACAAACCAAUGAAAACAGGAUGUGAUAAAAGGAAUUAAAGUUAGUGCUAGACUUUAAUCUUAACAAAGUCUUCUCUGAUGUAUACUUCCCCUACUGCUUGAGUUUAACAUAUUAUUUAUUUAAGGACGGUGAGUUGUGAUUAAGGAAAUUUAAAAUUAUUUAAAUCAAUAUGCUAAACGACACUAACAAAAAAUUAAUCAAACUUAUCAAAUCAUCAGCCUUUCAAAUAAACAAAAGAAUGUCAUGGCACCAUUUUCUCCAACUCCAACUACUUCCUCUGUCUUUUUCUUUAAUUAUCAUCUUCUUUUGCAUUAGUUAAUGACAAAGGCAUCUUUUCCUCGCAACACACCAUGAUGAAACAUUGCUGAAGUCUUUGUCUUUGCCUCCCUGAAACCUCUCUGUGUUGAUUUUUCUUUUCCAUAUUUCAAUUGGUGCCAUUGAAUUACCAUCUUUCUAAUCAUUCUAGUUCCGCGAUCCGGUGCUGAGAAAAGAUUCCUUGGAACCACUUUCCAAUGGCAUUGAGCAGCCAAAGGGCCUUCACUUCUGCUACUGCAGUUUGUCCAUGGAAAUACCAAGUGUUUUUGAGUUUCAGGGGUGAAGACACUCGCAGGGGUUUUACUGACUAUCUAUAUAGACAGUUGGACUGGCGAGGAAUUAGAACUUUCAGGGAUGAUCCAGAUCUUGAAAGAGGGACAGAUAUCAAUCCGGAGCUCCUCACUGCGAUUGAACAAUCAAGGUUUGCAAUCAUAGUUCUUUCAACAAACUAUGCUACUUCAAGUUGGUGUUUGCGUGAACUAACCCAUAUUGUUCAGUCCAUGAAAGAGAAGGAGAGAAUUUUCCCAAUCUUUUAUGAUGUGGAUCCCUCUGAUGUACGACAUCAACGGGGGAGUUAUGGGGCAGCUCUCGUUAUCCAUGAAAGGAAUUGUGGGGAGGAGAGAGAGGAGGUGCUUGAGUGGAGAAAUGCUUUGAAAAAAGUUGCUAAUCUCGCUGGGUGGAAUUCAAAGGAUUAUAGGUAAGCAUGAAGCAACAACUGACACAUAGCUAAUAAGACCAAUUCUUGAAUAUUGCAUUUCAGUUUUGCCAUGCACUUUUAUAUACGAUAUAUUCAUAUAACCUCAUCUAAUGAUUUUUUUUUCCUACUUCUAGGUAUGAUACAGAGCUUAUCACAAAAAUUGUUGAUGCAGUGUGGGAUAAAGUGCAUCCCACAUUUUCAUUGUUAGAUUCCACAGAGAUAUUAGUCGGACUUGAUACUAAACUAAAGGAAAUAGAUAUGCAUUUAGAUACAAGCGCAAAUGAUGUGCGCUUUGUGGGGAUAUGGGGGAUGGGCGGAAUGGGUAAGACAACCCUAGCUAGAUUAGUUUAUGAGAGAAUUUCUCAUAGUUUUGAAGGUAGCAGCUUUCUUGCGAAUGUCAGAGAGGUUUGUGCAAGUGCAAGUGCAACACAUGGUCUAGUUCCUUUACAGAAACAGCUUCUUUCCGAUAUUUUGAGGAAAGAAAAUAUACAAGUUUAUAAUGCUCAUAUUGGAUUUACUAUGAUAAAGAGGUGUCUGUAUAAUAAAAAGGUUCUUCUCAUUCUUGAUGAUGUAGAUCAAUCAAACCAACUGGAAAUGUUGAUCAGAGAAAAAGACUGCUUUGGUUUAGGAAGUAGAAUCAUCAUUACAACUAGAGAUGAACGCUUGUUAGUCGAACAUGGGAUUGAGAAGAUAUACGAGGUCAUGCCAUUAACCCAAGAUGAAGCUGUUUAUCUCUUUAGUAUGAAGGCCUUUAGAAAAGAUGACCUUGAAGAAGAUUAUCUGGAACUGUCUAAAAAUUUCAUAAACUAUGCACGAGGUCUUCCAUUAGCUCUUAAAACUUUGGGGUCUUUUUUGUACAAAAGAAGUCGAGAUGAAUGGAUGAGUGCACUAGAUAAACUGAAGCAAGCUCCUGACAGAGAAAUUUUUCAAAUUUUGAAAAUAAGCUAUGAUGGACUAGAGGAAAUGCAGAAGCAAAUUUUUCUUGAUGUUGCAUGUUUCCAUAAGUCUUAUCUCAAGGAAGAAGUGAUUGAAAUACUAGACAAUUGUGGUUUUGUUGGCACUCGUAUUGUGAUACAUGUUCUUAUUGAGAAAUCUCUCUUGUCUAUUUCAGUUUUAGACAAUUGUGUGUAUAUGCAUGAUUUGAUACAAGAAAUGGCAUGGGAGAUUGUUCGUCAAGAGUCUUUUGAUAAGCCAGGUGGUCGCAGUCGCUUGUGGCUUCACAAUGACAUCGAUCAUGUACUCACGAACAAUACGGUAAGAAGUUGCACAAAAUAAAAUACCAAGGCCUUGGAUAACGUACUAUAAUUCCAUUAAACAUGAUAAGAGAGACUUGAUUAUGACAUUAACUUUUCUUUUAUUCCUAUUUACAAGGGAACGGAAGCCAUUGAAGGCAUAGUCCUACGCUUGCAUGAAUUUGAAGCGGCACACUGGAAUCCUGAAGCAUUCACUAAGAUGUGUAAACUAAGGUUGCUCAAGAUUAAUAAUUUGCGCCUUUCUUUGGGCCCAAAGUAUCUUCCCAAUUCCUUAAGGAUUCUGGAGUGGAGUUGGUAUCCCUCCAAAUAUCUGCCACCAAGUUUUCAACCUGUUGAGCUUGCUGAACUUCGUAUGCAGCAUAGCAAAAUUGAUCACCUUUGGAAUGGAAUAAAGGUAAGACUUUGCAAGCUAUUUCUUUUCAAUCUCAAUAAAUUGUACGGUUCUUGGAAGUUAAUUAAUUUAAUCUACCAUUUUCAUGUUUUGUACAGUACAUGGUGAAGUUGAAAUGUAUUGAUCUUAGUUACUCCGAGAACUUGACAAGGACCCCAGAUUUCACAGGUACUCAGAAUCUUGAGAGGCUGAUUUUUGAAGGUUGUACUAAUCUUGUUAAGAUUCAUCCAUCCAUUGCCUCUCUAAAAAGACUAAGAGUUUUGAAUUUUAAAAACUGUAAAAGCAUUAAGAAUCUUCCAAGUGAAGUAGAACUGGAAUCUCUUGAAACAUUUGAUCUUUCUGGGUGCUCAAAAUUGAAAAAGAUUCCAGAAUUUGUGGGAGAAAUGAAGAAUUUUUCAAAGCUUUCUUUAAGCUUCACUGCUGUUGAGCAAAUGCCUUCAUCAAAUAUACAUUCCAUGGCGAGUUUGAAGGAGCUUGAUAUGAGUGGAAUUUCUAUGAGAGAUCCCUCAUCUUCCCUGGUUCCAAUGAAAAAUAUCGAACUGCCUAGAUCAUGGCAUUCUUUCUUCAGUUUUGGCUUACUUCCAAGAAAGAAUCCCCACCCUGUGAGUCUGGUGUUAGCUUCCUUAAAAGAUUUACGCUUUUUGAAGCGUCUAAAUCUGAAGGAUUGCAAUCUUUGUGAAGGAGCAAUACCUGAAGAUAUUGGUUUAUUGUCCUCUUUAAAAGAAUUAAAUCUUGAUGGAAACCAUUUUGUUAGCCUUCCUGCAAGCAUCAGUGGGCUUUCUAAACUUGAGACGUUCACAUUGAUGAAUUGCAAAAGGCUUCAAAAAUUGCCAAGCCUUCCAUCAACCGGACGAAAUUUUUUUUCUUUAAAGACGGGUAAUUGUACUUCCUUAAAAGUAUUCCCAGAUCCAACACCGACGUGCGGUGGAAGUACCAUUUUGAUUGAUUUUUUCAACUGCUUCAGUUUGGUUGAUCAUCAAGGUUCCAGUUCCAUAAUAUAUUUAAUGCUGAAGAAAUUCCUUCAGGUACUUCCCUCUGUCCCUCCUUCCCUCCUUAGUUGUGUACGUAGUACUAUUUAUAUCCUUCCUUUGGUGCAGGAAAUUCCUCGUUCAUGGAAAAACUUCAGAAUUGUAAUUCCUGGAAGUGAAAUUCCUGAGUGGUUCAGUAAUCAAAGUGUGGGAGACUCAGUAAUUGAGACGCUACCUUCGGAUUCUAAUAGCAAGUGGGUGGGGUUUGCUUUUUGUGCUCUAUUUGUACCUGUUGAAGAAAUUUCAGCUACGGGACAUGGACGCAUCCUUUUCAAGAUGACUGAGUACGGGAGUUUUUUUAUUGAUGUAGUCAAUGAUGUAGCGUCCGAUCACCUUUGGUUGAUCCUCCUGUCUAGGGAAAGUUCCUUUGAUAAGGAACCAACCGGGAGACCUGAGACCUAUUGGUGGAAUGAAUGCUAUGAUCGUAAGAUUCGGUUUCAUUUCAAAGUCAAAGCAUCUGCAUCUUAUCCAGGAGAGAAGACGUUGGUGAAGGUGAAGAAGUGUGGAGUCCGCAUACUGUACGAACAAGAUGCUGAAGAGCUCAACCGAACAAUGAAACAAUAUUCCAACAGAAAGAAUUCUUUUUAUGAGGACGUUACAGAUUGUGAUUUUGACAAAUCAGACAAGGUACAAGGUGCCAUCACUAAGCGAACACGUGAGCAGUACUGUAUUGAGACAGGACCAAGCGGUAUUGUUACCCUUGGCAAAGAAUCACUCUGCAAAAGAAUGAAACUGUCCACUGCCUCAAAGGAAGAGUUGAAAGGUUGGUAUUGCUAACUCUUCCCAUAUUAUCAUAUAACAUUUUGUUUGAAAUCGAAAAAGUACUCUCUACAUCCCCAAACAAAUUUUUUGUUUUUUUUUGUAUGCGAACAUUUUAGCAUAUGAUUCACUCUCUUUGUUACUUUAUAUAUAUUUCUAAUUCAUUCACGUCAUUAGUUCACUUUCCCAUUAUCUUAUACAUAGUUAACUAGAACAAUUCAUGAAUUUGUUAUAGAUUUGGUAGAUUUUCCAAAAAUUCAUUGUUUCGCUUCCAUUUUAUCCUACUAGGUUAUAUUUAAAUUCAAUUGAAAUGCAUAUAUGCAGGAUGUGUUGUACUAGUGUAGUCUUGUAAAUUUUGUUUUGUUGCACCAAUCACUCUGGAAGCAGAACAAGUUUUGACAGUCUUUCUACUUCUUAUAAUCAGAUUCAAAUUUAGUUGGGAGCAGAGAGUUCCAUCAUCCGGAAGCCUAAUCGCGCAUUUUACCGACUGAAACAUUUAAACAUGGUUGGGGGACAUCUAUUUAUGCUUAAAUGGUUUGUUUCUUAGUUUAAAUUCCACAUGUGCUGUAUAAAUUUAGUAGGUUAAUUAGCGAAGCUCUAUUUGAGAGAUUCACAUUAACUAGGGCGUGGACAAGUCAAUCAACUCCAAAAUGACCUGUGCUGUAAUUCCACUACUACAUAUUUCCUUAUGCUAAAAGCUUUAUUUUAUUAUUAUUAUUUUUUUUUCAAGCAUCUGUCAUAACCCUUUCAAAUGACUCAUCAAAUGUUACAUUCAUCCAAAUAGUGACUUAAUGAAAUUCAAAAAUAGUUUCUCAAAUUUAAUUUUGCUUCCAAACUAAUUAAUGGUGUCAUGAACUUGAGCUUAAUAUCAUCAACUGACCUUAUUUGCAUACAUAUUCAAAAAAAUUGUGUUUAAAUUUUUAUUUUUAUUUUUUGAUAUAAGCAUAUGGAGAGAAGAGGAAUUGAACGUAGAACCUUGGAUGCACAGAUUAAUGCUCUUAAAUAAGACAAAAUGGUCAACAAGACCUAGCUCAAUGAAAAAGAUCUUGACUUUGCUGAUCAAUUAUCUCAAUUUUGAACUCUCAUGACACAUUCACAGUAUGUGUGUACGAAAACCCUCCACCUCCAAUAUAGCUUGAAUAGUAAAAAGACAAAAUUAUAUAACGAUGCUUCUUGAAACUUAUUCUCAACCAGUGGAUUUAAAUUGGCCAAAAUUGUGGUCGUACUUGGACUAUCCACGUUUGUUUCGAUGCUGGUAAAAGGAAGAAAGGUUUCUAGGCGGGGAGAGACCGUGGCGGCGAACUACGCGUUCGGGCCGCUCGAAGAUGACGUAAUCAUCAAGCACAGACUUCUCACUCGAAACCACAACCACAAGAGGCGAACCCCCAUUGAAGAAGCUCCAGAAGAAGUUCACAUCCCUGUUCGUCGAGCUCGACAAGAACGAGGACAACUAUGGCGACUGCGACAAGCUGGCCAAAGCUUUCCUCCAAGAGCUCAGCACAUUCGAGAUUCCGCUCCUCAAGAGCAAAGCGGUUGUGGAUGCAAAUCUCAGAGAGAAGCACAAUUUCGACGAGUUGAGGGAGGAGAUAAAUCGGCAGAUAGUGCAAGCGCAGACCGACAUUGAAUUACUGAAGAAGCAGCUUGAGGAGAGUAAAAUCGAAAGAAGGCAUAAGGAGGAGUGUGAGGCGAUCAGGAAAAUGAUCGCUACACAACCGCCUCGGUCCGAAACGCUCAAAAUCAUAUCCGAUUUGGAGAAAGAGAUCGUCGCUUUGGACGCUGAGAACACGGCAAGUUCGAGGAUGCUGGAGCUCCGAAAGAAGCAGUUUGCUCUGCUUUUGCAUGUGGUAUGCAGCUCUGUUAAAUUCGCCAAUUUUCGAUUAUGUUGCCUGCGUUAAGCAGUAGAACCCUUUUGAAACUAGAUUUAAUUUUCGUUGUAUUUGAUGUUUUUGCAGGUGGAUGAGUUGCAGAACACCAUAGAGGAAGAGCAGAAGAGUUUGAUUGAGGAGAAAGAGCACAAACACGGAAUCCGUGCAUGUUGAUUAGAGUAUGUAAUGCAUCUCUUGGUUUUGCAGUUGUAAGAUUGUGUUUUUCAUGAAUGGGUUUCUAUCUAUCUUGAAUCUUGAUUUAUAGAAACGGGAAUGUAGAGUGGUGCUCUACAGUUGGAAUAUGUCAGCGAUAUUUUGAAAUUCUUAAUUUUGUGCAACUUGUAGAUUUUCUUGCAUACUGCUUCACCAAGUUCACAUGAUGGGUAGAACUUUGCCAGAACUUCGUUCUGGAUCAAUUUCAAUUGAAAUUUUUAAUUGUCUAAACGUAAUGCUUGUGUGUACAUUGCAUUUGAGUGUAAUAUUACAGUUUGCAUCCAGAUAAAUAUUGAGAAGUUGGAAAUGCAUACUUAUUUUGGGUAGUGUCAAAUAAACUCUUGUGCUUUUCCUUUUCCGUGUACAAUGGCUACUGUUGCUUUACUCAAGUUGUUGAUGUGUAACCCUUUGAGCAGAGCUAAAAUCCCUUUUGCCGCCUAAUCUCAUUUCAUUCAAAUGUUUCUGUUUUUAGUUUUAAAACUUUUUCGAUUUUUCUGCUGUGUAAAAUAAGAACCAUUGGAUUAGAGUCCAAGUGGCUUCUUAAGUGAGGUGUUAGAUUGAGACAAGUGUAAUCAUCUUAUAGGAUGAUAGUUCAAUGGCUAGGAUUGAGUUUGGUAUUGAGGCAGUUAGAGAAGAAUCUCUCUUCUCUCUCCUCAACGGUUAUAUUUCCUGUUUGGCUUGUAAUGAAAAGUAGCAGAUUUCAUUCCUUCAUUUUUUUUUCAGUUCUUUCACAGAGAGCAACGUUCUCUCAUUUCUCUCCCAAACACAUCCAAAAACUAUGAAUUCUAUCAUGGCCUCAGAGCCAGGUUCGAUUGUUUGAGCUGGGCGUGAUCUGUGAACAGAAAAUCGAGCUCGAUCUGAGCUAUCGUUGAGCUGAUUUGGAAAUCGAAGUAGCGAGCUCUUGCAUCAAAGUGUCUCAUAUGGCAGGAUCUGGAGCAGCUGAGCUUCGAACACCAGUUUUCAAUGGAGAAAACUACGAAUUCUGGAGUAUUCGAAUGAAGACUAUUCUGAAAUCGAAUGGUUUGUGGGAUCUGGUCGAGAAUGGGCUAAAUGACUCAGACAUGAAGAAGGAAAAAGAGGAGGCUGCUGAUACUGAGAAGUCCAUGGUGGCUCAGAUUCUGAUGAAGGAUGCUCGUGCACUUGGAUUAAUUCAAAGUGCAGUUUCAGAUCAGCUAUUUCCAAGGAUUGUGAAUGAGGAGACCUCGAAGGGAGCUUGGGAUAUUCUGAAAUUGGAAUUCAGAGGAGAUAAACAGGUACGAAAUGUUAAAUUGCAAGGGUUGCGUAGGGAAUUUGAAUAUACUCGCAUGAAGGAUAGUGAAUCUCUAUCUAUCUAUCUGGUUAGAUUGUUUAAUAUGAUGAAUCAAAUGAAGAGUUAUGGUGAGGAGUUAUCUAGGGAGAGAAUUGUGCAGAAGCUAUUGUUUAGUCUGCCUAAGUCCUAUGAUUCUAUAUGCUCUGUGAUAGAGCACUCUAAGGAUCUUGAAACUCUGGAAGUUCAAGAAGUGGUUGCCUCCUUGAAGAGCUUUGAGCUCAGAUUGGAUAGGCACACUGAGAAUUCUUCAGAAAGAGCUUUUGCUAGUCUGAAUGUAAAAGAAAAGAAGCCUAAGAAUGAGAGUUUUUCUGAAAAUCAGAGUUUUCAGAAAAGUGCUCCUGGAAAUCAAAGCUUUCAAAAACAUUGGAAGCCUAAUGAUGGUAACAUAGCAGCUUGUAAGCAUUGUGACAAGUUACAUUAUGGCAAGUGCUGGUAUGAAGGCAAGCCUAAAUGUCAUGGAUGUGGAAAAUUUGGACAUAUGGUCCGAGAUUGCAAUGGAAAUAGGAAUGCACAUAGGGUGAAUUAUGCAAAUGAGAUGGAAGAAACUGGUACACUAUUCUAUGUCUGUAAUGCUGCAACAGAUGUAAAGGUUAAUCACUCUUGGUACAUAGACAGUGGGUGUAGUAAUCACAUGACAGGAGAUGAGGGACUUUUAGUAAAUGUUCAAAGGGAUUUGACUUCUAAGGUGAAGAUGGGGACUGGAGAAGUAGUUUCAGUUACUGGAAAAGGAACUUUGGUGAUAAAAACCAAGUUUGGUAAGAAGCACAUUCAUGAAGUAAUGCUUGUACCUGGUCUUGAAGAAAAUUUGCUCAGUGUUGGGCAAAUGAUGGCACAUGGCUACCAUCUUGUGUUUGGAGAGAAUAUGGUGAGAAUCUAUGAUGAUCAGUCACUGGAAAAUCUGAUUGUGAAGGUGCAAAUGACAAACAACAGAUGCUUUCCAUUGACAAUGAUGCCUGCCAGUGAGUUGGUUCUAAAAGCAAGUGUCACACAUUGCUUGCAGACAUGGCAUAAGAGACUUGGGCAUUUAAAUGAAAGAAGUAUGAAGCUGCUUGAAAAUCAAGGGAUGGUUCAUGGAUUACCUCACUUAGAACAAAUGUCAGUGGUGUGUGAUGGAUGUAUGCAAGGAAAGCAGCAUAGGGAUUCAUUCCCUUUGGAAUCCACUUGGAGAGCUUCUAAUCCCUUGGAAUUGGUUCACACAGACAUUUGUGGACCAAUGAAAACAGAAUCCCUCUCUGGAAACAGAUAUUUUCUCCUAUUUACAGAUGAUCACACUAGGAUGUCUUGGGUGUAUUUCAUUAGAAACAAAUCAAGUGCAUUGGAGUGUUUCAUGAAAUUCAAAGCUAUGACUGAGCUGCAAAGUGGGUUCAAGAUAAAGAGUUUGAGAAGUGAUAGGGGUGGAGAAUUCUUGUCAGGAGAGUUUAACAGUUUCUGUGAAGAAUCUGGCAUUCAAAGGCAAUUAACAGUGGCUUACUCCCCUCAGCAGAAUGGAGUAGCUGAGAGGAAGAAUAGAACAAUGGUUGAAAUGGCUAAGUCAAUGCUGCAUGAGAAAGGUAUCCCUUAUGAGUUUUGGGCAGAGGCUAUCAAUACUGCAGUCUAUUUGCUGAAUAGAUGUCCUACCAAGGCUCUCAAUAAGAUAACACCAUUUGAGGCUUAUACUGGCAGAAAACCAGGGGUUGCACAUUUAAAGAUAUUUGGAUCCCCUUGUCAUGUGCUUAUUCCUUCAGCAUUGAGGCAUAAGCUUGAAGAAAACAGUCACAAGUGUAUUUUUGUAGGCUAUGGUCUUUGUGAAAAGGGAUAUAGACUGUUUGAUCCAAGAAAUAGGAAGAUUAUUCUGUCAAGGGAUGUGAAAUUUGAUGAAGAAAGCUUAUGGAAAUGGGAGAAUGCUAGAGAAGGAGAAAUGACUGUGCUUGUGCCUACUGGAAAUCAAGACUAUGCUCUAAAUCCAGAUUUGAAUGCACCACUGCAAAUACAUGAAGAAGUCAUAGCUCCAGAAGAACCAAGUCAAAGCUUGGAGACACAAACACAAGCAGAUGGAGAUCCUACCCUGCAGGAUGAGAGCAUUGAAGGAAGUUCUCAAGCUAUUGAUCAUACACCAAAGAAAUGGAAAAGCAUUAAUGACAUUAUGGCUUAGUGUAAUAUGUGCAUUAUGGAGCCUGAGAAUUUUGAAGAGGCUGAUCUAGAUGAGUCAUGGAGAAGGGCAAUGGAAGCUGAGUUAGAAAUGAUUGAGAAGAAUAACACUUGGCAGCUUGUGGAAAGACCUUUUAACAAACCUGUCAUUGGUGUCAAAUGGAUCUAUAAGACCAAGCUUAAUCUAGAUGGCACUGUACAGAAGAAUAAGGCUCGAUUAGUAGCUAAGGGCUACUCACAAAAACCUGGAAUCGAUUACAAUGAGACUUUUGCCCCAGUAGCAAGGCUAGAUACCAUUAGGACUUUGAUAGCUCUGGCUGCACAGAAGGAAUGGCAUUUAUACCAACUGGAUGUCAAGUCUGCAUUUCUGAAUGGAGUUCUAAAAGAAGAAGUAUAUGUGGAGCAGCCACAGGGUUUUGAGAAAAAGAAUGAAGAAAUCAAAGUGUAUAAGCUGAACAAGGCCUUGUAUGGAUUAAAACAAGCCCCAAGGGCAUGGUAUGAUGAGAUAGAUUCCUACUUCAACAAGGCAGGAUUUAAGAAAAGUCCAAGUGAAGCUACACUUUACAUUAAAACUGAUGAAGGCUCAGGUAUUCUCAUUGUUUCUCUCUAUGUGGAUGAUAUUGUUUAUACUGGAAGUUGUGUAAAAAUGCUUGAAGAGUUCAAAAAUGACAUGAUGAGGCAUUAUGAGAUGACUGAUCUCGGGCUACUCUAUCAUUUUCUUGGCAUGGGAGUUGUGCAGACUGAGAAAUACAUAUUUCUCCAUCAGAAGAAGUAUGCAAUGAAAGUAGUUGAGAAGUUUGGUUUAAAAGGCUGUAAGUCUGUGGCAACCCCCUUGGUUGCAAAUGAAAGGCUGUGCAAAGAAGAUGGAAGUGAAAUGGCUGAUGAGAGUGAAUAUAGGCAGAUUGUAGGCAGUCUGCUGUAUCUGACAGCUACAAGACCAGACAUCAUGUUUGCCUCAAGUCUGCUUGCUAGAUUUAUGCAUAAUCCUACUAGAAAGCACAUGGGAACAGCCAAAAGGGUGUUGAGAUAUGUUCAAGGCACACUGGAUUAUGGAGUUGAGUUUAAAAAGGGCAAGGCAGCUACCUUAAUAGGCUACUGUGACAGUGACUGGGCAGGCAGUGAGGAUGACAGAAGAAGUACCUCAGGAUAUGUGUUUACUCUGGGAUCUGGUAUGUUUUCUUGGGCCUCAAUCAAACAGAAUACAGUAGCCUUGUCUACUGCUGAAGCAGAAUAUGUGAGUGCUGCUGAAGCAACAUCACAAGCUAAAUGGCUAAGGUUUAUACUUGAGGAUUUUGGAGAAGAGCAAGUGGAAGGCACACCAAUUCUGUGUGACAACACCUCUGCCAUAGCAAUGGCAAAGAAUCCUGUCUUUCAUCAGAAAUCCAGGCACAUAAGCAGGAAAUUCCAUUUCAUCCGAGAAGCUAUCCAAGCAAAGGAGAUUGAGCUAAUCUACUGCAAAUCUGAAGAUCAAAUUGCAGAUAUACUAACCAAGGCUUUAUCCAAGGAUCGUUUUGUGCAUCUCAGAGAUUUGCUUGGAGUUAAAUCAGUCAAAGGGUUAGAAGGGAGUGUUGAUGUGUAACCCUUUGAGCUGAGCUAAAAUCCCCUUUGCCGCCUAAUCUCAUUUCAUUCAAAUGUUUCUGUUUUUAGUUUUAAAACUUUUUCGAUUUUUCUGCUGUGUAAAAUAAGAACCAUUGGAUUAGAGUCCAAGUGGCUUCUUAAGUGAGGUGUUAGAUUGAGACAAGUGUAAUCAUCUUAUAGGAUGAUAGUUCAAUGGCUAGGAUUGAGUUUGGUAUUGAGGCAGUUAGAGAAGAAUCUCUCUUCUCUCUCCUCAACGGUUAUAUUUCCUGUUUGGCUUGUAAUGAAAAGUAGCAGAUUUCAUUCCUUCUUUUUUUUUUCAGUUCUUUCACAGAGAGCAACGUUCUCUCAUUUCUCUCCCAAACACAUCCAAAAACUAUGAAUUCUAUCACAAGUGGAGAAAAUGCUUUCGUAAGUAUCUUAGGAUGCAACAUUGAUGCAUCACAAUGUUUUGAAUAUUUGAUGCUAGUUUUUGAACGUAAAACAAAUAUAUAUUUGUUGUCGCAUGUGCUACAAAAUGCUAAGGGUUUUUUCUUUUGUUUUUUUCUUUUUUCAAUCACUCCAGUUGUAUUUGUGUUUGCUUUACAAAGAGAAAGGUUUGACUAUUGAUCACCAAAGAGGGUAGUGGGGAGACUAACGUUUGCUAAACAAUUCUUCCUCCAUGGUAGAUUUGCUUUCCCUGUUCCUCUACAUUGAGAGAGUUCAUAUCUGUUAAAUAUAUAUUUUUUAUAUUUUUUAGAUGAGAUGAAUACCUGUUACAUUCAUGUUUCAAGUGAGAGGUUUUUGGUUAGUUCCUGGGAAGCAAAGGGGCAUAAUUUUCCCUAUAGCUUGGGACAUCAGGAAGCAAUGAAAUGGGGAUAGUUUGAGGCUUCGUAUUGAAUUUGGUGUUUAUGUUCUGGUACCUUUUUAUUUUUAUUUUUAUUUUUUUAUGGUUUUAGAUAGUGAAUAAUCCAUUUUGCCUAUGGACUGUGUAUAUAGAUGAAGUUUCACUAUGUCACAUUAGAUUUUGUUUCCUUAGUAUUUGUGAUUGAUCUUGAUAUUGGAUGUAGGCUGUACUUUUAGAGGUGCCAAAGCCCUAUUCAAUUGGGUAUGGUUUUUCAGGGUUUAGUAUUUGUGAGGUAAGAAGUACAGGAAUAAGGUUGUAGGCUGUACUUUUAGAGGAGGUGAAUGUGUUGGGACUUCCUCAUUAUCCAAGCAUACUUAUACUUCUUUUAGUGGUAACUGGUCUUCGAAAAAUGAAACAAAAAGUAUGUUAGUUUUUUGUGAACCUCUUGAUGAGGCCUUGAUGGCUUAUUGGAAGCAGAUUUUUGAUAACGUAUUUGAAGUCGAUUUUAAUGUAUCAGAAGUAGAUUUUAACGUAUUGGAAGUAGAUUAGAACACAUGUGCAUGUUUGAUAAGGUGUUGUGAGGUGGUAUGUAUGUAUCUAGGUUCCUCUCCAGAGUUUAUUGGUUGAAUUGAAGUAGAUUACGACAAAACAUUCCUUAUGUUACAGAGGAAAAAAAACAGAAAUAUAAAGUACAACUUAGAUCCUAACCCUUCUUUGCAUCCUGGUCACACACACUGAUCAUUACAUAGAACGUGUCUUGUACAUUGUCUAGAAAUUGGACAUAUGCAUAUCUCCAUGUCGUCGUUAACAUUAAAGGACCACAAACUCCCCAAAAUCCCACAAUGAAUCCAAGUGCAAGGGAAAUAUAAAACCAUAGGAUUUCAUGCCCAUUGUCCACAUCUUGAUUAUUCUAAUUACCUGCAUCAAUCCCAUUAGUUCCCAGGCACUCAUUUGGGAGGGGAGCGCCACAAAGUUUCUGGUUCCCUCAAAAUGCAGAGGCAUUGAAGCCUUGGAACUGAGUAGUUGUUGGUAUUGGUCCUUCAAGAUUAUCGUAGGGGACAUUGAAAAAUGACAAGAAAAUAAGACUCCUCAUGAUGUUGGGAUUUUUCCAGACAAAUGAAACAUCGUACACUGCAAUUGUUGAACCACGGAUGAGUUGGAUGGCUAUUAAAGUAAGGGGAAUCUUCGUCAGCCAACCAAAUUUUCUAAUGAACAUCGUAGCACAAUUCAUAAAAUGUAAACUCUCAAAAGAAAAAUGAAAAUUUACAUUACGUGUGAUGCCAUGGCCAAAACAAUUUCCACAGAAAGGAGACUCAAAAGUCAGAGCAAGAAACCGAAGAAGAAACGGAAAAAAAAAAAAAAAAAAAAAAAACCGAAGAAGAUCCUCAAGAAAGAGCUCAACACGUCCAAUGCUCAGGAUAAAGGACAAGGUGGGAAAAAAAAAGGAAAGGAAAAAUGUGAAAGUGUUUUACAAAGUGAAAGGACGAAUGUUUUCAACAAAAAAAGGAAAAGGAAAUUUCAAGGUAAGCUUCCAUGGUUUGGGGGACAUGUCAUUUUUCUUUACCUGUUUCUUUUCUUACCAAAGUGAACUGGCUCUGGUCUGAUCCAUGUUUGCUUACUAAAGUUAAUUAAUUCACAGGAACGUUGAGAUGAAAGAGAGAGGAGAAAGGAAAUAAUGAGAAAGGACUGUUUUCCACAACGCCCUACCGAAACUUCCUUGCUGGGAUGCGUUCUCUUUCUUCUCACCAAAGUGAUUGUGUCCUGCUUACUGAUGCCGAGGGAAUUGAACACAUAAUUGCUGAGUUAAUGGCUUGAGUUAUAAGUAAUUGCACUCUUAGUUCAAUUGUUAGAAUAUUUAACAAACCCAAUUGUGUAGUUGCGUUAAUUAUUGAAGAUAUUUUGUAGUCAACACUCUACCUAAUUGUUGAGUUGUGAUUACCACCUUUUCCUUGAUUUGGGUUUCAUUAUAAUUAGUGUUGGCCCUUACAGCUUAAAUUUGUGGCAUGUUGUCUGGUGGUUUCUUGCCCUCACUCUCUCUCUCUCUCUCUCUCUCUCUCUCUCUCUCUCUCUAUAUAUAUAUAUAUAUAUAUAUAUGUUUAUGUACUGUGUAAAUCUCCUCAUGAUGGAAUAUACAAACAUUCAUUGAAAAUCAACAUUAAUACUUAUCUGCGUAGCUUCCUGGAACCUCUCUUUCUGCUGAUUUUCUUUCUAAUUCUAGUUCCACAAUCCCGUGCUCAGAGAAGAUUUCUUGAAACCACUUUCCAAUGGCAUUGAGCAGCCAAAGGGCCUUCACUUCAGCUACUGAGGUUUGUCCAUGGAAAUACGAAGUGUUUUUGAGUUUCAGGGGUGAAGACACUCGCAGGAGUUUUACAGACUAUUUAUACAAACAAUUGGACUGGCGAGGAAUCAGAACUUUCAGGGAUGAUCCAGAUCUUGAAAGAGGGACAGAUAUCAAUCAGGAGCUUCUGACCGCGAUUGAACAAUCAAAGUUCGCAAUCAUAAUUUUUUCAGCAAACUACGCUUGAUCAAGUUGGUGUUUGCGUGAACUAACCCAUAUUGUUCAGUCCAGGAAAGAGAAGGAGAGAAUUUUCCCAAUCUUUUAUGAUGUGGAUCCCUCUGAUGUAAGACAUCAACGGGGGAGUUUUGGGACAGCCCUCGUUAACCAUGAAAGGAAUUGUGCUGAAGACAGAGAGGAGGUGCUUGAGUGGAGAAAUGCUUUAAAAAAAGUUGCUAAUCUCGCUGGGUGGAAUUCAAAGGAUUAUAGGUAAGCAAGCAUGAAGCAACAACUGAUACAUAGCUAAUAAGACCAAUUCUUGAAUAUUGCAUUUCAGUUUUGCCAUGCACUUUAUUUACGAUAUAUUCAUAUAACCUCUUCUGAUGAAUGUUUUUUUCUUCUACUUCCAGGUAUGAUGCAGAGCUUAUCACAAAAAUUGUUGAUGCAGUGUGGGAUAAAGUGUAUCCCACAUUUUCAUUGUUAGAUUCCUCAGAUAUAUUAGUCGGACUUGAUACUAAACUAAGGGAAAUAGAUCUGCAUUUAGAUACAAGCGCAAAUGAUGUGCGCUUUGUGGGGAUAUGGGGGAUGGGCGGAAUGGGUAAGACAACCCUAGCUAGAUUAGAUUAUGAGAGAAUUUCUCAUAGUUUUGAAGGUAGCAGCUUACUUGCAAAUGUCAGAGAGGUCUAUGCAACACAUGCAUGGUCUAGUUCCUUUACAGAAACAGCUGCUUUCCAAUAUCUUGAGGGAAAAUAAUAUACAAGUUUAUGAUGCUUAUAGGGGAUUUACUAUGAUAAAGAGGUGUCUAUGUAAUAAAAAGGUUCUUCUCAUUCUUGAUGAUGUAGAUCAAUCAGACCAACUGGAAAUGUUGAUCAGAGAAAAAGACUACUUUGGUUUGGGAAGUAGAAUCAUCAUUACAACUAGAGAUGAACGUUUGUUAGUCGAACAUGGGAUAGAGAAGGUAUAUAAGGUCAUGCCAUUAACCCAAGAUGAAGCUCUUUAUCUCUUUAGUAAGAAGGCCUUUCAAAAAGAUGACCUUGAAGAAGAUUAUCUAGAACUGUCUAAAAGUUUCAUAAACUAUGCAGGAGGUCUUCCAUUAGCUCUUAAAACUUUGGGGUCUUUUUUGUACAAAAGAAGUCGAGAUGAAUGGAAGAGUGCACUAGAUAAACUCAAGCAAGCUCCUGACAGAAAAAAUUUUCAAAUGUUGAAAAUAAGCUAUGAUGGACUAGAGGAGAUGCAGAAGAAAAUUUUUCUUGAUGUUGCAUGUUUCCAUAAGUCUUAUGACAAGGAAACUGUGAUUAAAAUACUAGACAGUUGUGGUUUUGUUGGCACUCGUAUUGUGAUACAUGUUCUUAUUGAGAAAUCUCUCUUGUCUCUUUCAAACAAGCGUCUGUCCAUUCAUGAUUUGAUACAAGAAAUGGCAUGGGAGAUUGUUCGUCAAGAGUUUUGACGAGCCAGGUGGUCGCAGUCGCUUGUGGCUUCACAGUGACAUCAUUCAUGUACUCACGUACAAUACGGUAAGAAGUUGCGCAAAAAAUAAAAUACCAAAGCCUUGGAUAACAUACCAUAAUUCCAUUAAACAUGAUAAGAGAGACUUGAUUAUGACAUUAACUUUACUUUUAUUCCUAUUUGCAAGGGAACGGAAGCCAUUGAAGGCAUAGUCCUAUGCUUGCAGAAAUUUGAAGCGGCACACUGGAAUCCUGAAGCAUUCACUAAGACGUGUAAACUCAAGUUGCUCAAGAUUAAUAACUUGCGCCUUUCUUUGGGCCCAAAGUAUCUUCCCAAUUCCUUAAGGUUUCUGGAGUGGAGUUGGUAUCCCUCCAAAUGUCUGCCACCAAGAUUUCAACCGGAUGAACUUGCUGAACUUAGUCUGCAGCAUAGCAAAAUUGAUCACCUUUGGAAUGGAAUAAAGGUAGACCUUUGUAAAUCCAUUUCUUUUCAAUUUCAAUAAAUUGUAAGUUUAUCGGAAGUUAAUUAAUCUACCAUUUUCAUGUUUUAUACAGUUCAUGAUCAAGUUGAAAUCCAUUGAUCUUAGUUACUCCGAGAACUUGACAAGGACCCCAGAUUUCACAGGUACUCAGAAUCUUGAGAGGCUGGUUUUUGAAGGUUGUACUAAUAUUGUUAAGAUUCAUCCAUCCAUUGCCCCUCUCAAAAGACUAAGAGUUCUGAAUUUUAAAAAUUGUAAAAGGAUUAAGAGUCUCCCAAGUGAAGUAGAACUGGAAUCUCUUGAAACAUUUGAUCUUUCUGGGUGUUCAAAAGUGAAAAAGAUUCCAGAAUUUGUGGGAGAAAUGAAGAAUUUUUCGAAGCUUUCUUUAAGCUUCACUGCUGUUGAGCAAAUGCCUUCAUCAAUUGUACAUUUGAUCCCGAGUUUGAAGGAGAUUGAUGUGAGUGGAAUUUCUAUGAGAGAUGCGUCAUCACCCCUGGUUCCAGUGAAAAAUAUCGAACUGCCUAAAUCAUGGCAUUCUUUCUUCACUUUUAGCUUACUUCCAAGAAUGAAUCUGCACCCUGUGGGUCUGGUGUUAGCUUCCUUAAAAGAUUUACACUUUUUGAAGUGUCUAAAUCUGAAUGACUGCAAUCUUUGUGAAGGAGCAAUACCUGAAGAUAUUGGUUUAUUGUCCCUUUUAGAAAUAUUAAAUCUUGGUGGAAACCAUUUUGUUAGCCUUCCUGCAAGCAUCAGUGGGCUUUCUAAGCUUAGGUGGUUCAUAUUGAAGAAUUGCAAAAGGCUUCAAAAAUUGCCAAGCCUUCCAUCAAACAGACGACUAGAGUUUAUUGUACAGAUGGAUAAUUGUACUUACUUGAAAAUAUUCCCAUAUCAACCAUGGAUGUGCAGCGCAAAAGACGUUUUUAUUACUUCUUUCAAUUGCUUCAGUUUGGUUGACCAUGAAGGUUCCAGUUUCAUAAUAUAUUUAACGCUGAAGAAAUUCCUUCAGGUACUUCUCCUUCUCCCUCUCUCCCUCCUUCCCACUUUAGUUGUGUAGUACUAUUUAUAUCCUUCCUUUGGUGCAGGAAAGUCCUCGUUCUUUGAGCUUAUUCAGUAUUAUAAUUCCUGGAAGUGAAAUUCCUGAGUGGUUCAGUAAUCAAACUGUGGGAGACCCACUAAUUGAGACUCUACCUUCGGAUUCUAAUAGCAAGUGGGUGGGGUUUGCUUUUUGUGCUCUAGUUGGACCUGUUCAAGAAAUUUCACCUACCGCUGAGGAGCUAAUUGGUUUAGAACGUCAUUCAAUCUAUUUUCGCUGCCUUUUUGAUUUAAACACCCCUGCGUGCCCGGGUUGUUGUAUUGGGGUAGACGAUGUAGCGUCCGAUCACCUUUGGUUGCUCCUCAUGUCUAGGCAAGAUGUCUUUUUGGAACCAAACGGGAGACCUGGGACCUAUUGGAGGGAGAAAUGCGAUAAUAAGAUUCGGUUUCUUUUCUACGCAAGAUCUAAUCUAGGAGAGAAGUCGGUGGUGAAGGUGAAGAAGUGUGGAGUCCGCGCACUGUAUGAACAAGACGCUGAAGAGCUCAACCGAACAAUGAAACAAUAUUCCAACAAAAAGAAUUCUUUUUAUGAGGACGUUACAGAUUAUGAUUUUGACAAAUCAGAAUGGUACAAGGUGCCAUAACUAAGCGAACACGUGAACAGUACUGUACUGACACAGGACCAAGCGGUAUUGGUAGCCUUGGCAAAGAAUCACUCUGCAAAAAAAUGAAAGAAGACUAACUGUCCGGUGCCUCAAGGGAAGAGUUGAAAGGUUGGUAUUGAUACCUCUUCCCAUAUUAUCAUAUAACCUCUUCCCAUAUUAUCAUAUACCUCUUCCCCAAACAAUUAUAUAAUUUUUUUUUGUAUGCGAACAUUUUAGCAUAUGAUUCACUCUCUUUGUUACCUCUACAUAUUUCUAAUUCAUUCACGUUAUUAGUUCACUUUCCCAUUAUCUUAUAUAUUUUAGAUUGACGAUCUAAUACAUGGUUAACUAGUUCAAUUCAAGAACCUGUCAUAUAAUUGGUUCCUUAUGCAAAAAGCUUUUAUUUGUUUUUUUUUUCUUUUUUCAGGCAUCUGUUAUAACCCUUUCAAUGCGUUAGUGUGUUAGAGUUAAUAUGUAUAUGAUGCAUAAUUUUACUACUUAAAAUUUAGAUAGUUAAAUUCAAUAAAUAAACUUGCAAGCGCACAAGGUUAAUGCAUUAUAACUAGGGGUGCAAGUUGGAUUGGAAAAUCCGAUUCCGACCGAUUCCGGUCCGAAUAUUUCCAAAAAAAUCCGGCUCCGACAAAUCCGAAUUCCGUAAAUGCCGAAAUCCGAAAUUUCCGAAAAAAAUUGGAUCGGAUUCGGAAUGUACAUGGAACUUCCGAAAUUUCCGAAAUUUUCGAUCCGAAAUAUUCCAAAAUGUUCCGAACUCAUUCCGAUCCAAUAAUUCCGAUAUAUUCCUAAUAUAUUCCGAUUUUAAAAAUUCCGAAUAUUUGAAAAACAUUCCGAUCGAGAAAUUCCGAUUUAUUCCGAAAUAUUUUGAAUUAAUCCUACAAAAGUUUAGACAACAAUCAAUAUAUUUAAUUUAUAUGCAAGACAUUUAAUGCAUUCCCACAAUUUUUAAUUUGUCCAUAGUUCUGUCACAACCAACCAAAGACACAAGUUUUCUUUAAUAUUAUUGGCGAACAUUAUAUAUACAUUAUACAUACAUAAUGAAAAAAAUUUAAGUACAUUUAAAAAUAUUAGUAAAAGGAAAAAAAAAAAUUUGUAAUGCAACCAAUUUUGAAUUGAUCUAAAAUACGUAGUGUAUUGAUUUUUUUUUCUUUUAAUUCUAACUCAAUUUCUUGAAUAGGACUCAUUGGGGUAUGAGGUCAUGCAUUUAAUUAUAAACUUAUUUUCUUUAUAAUCAAUUGCCCAGGUGCUAAUGUAGUACUAUUUUCUUAAUAAUGUGAACAUAAACAAUAGGGGGUUGCAAAAAAGUUAGGUACAUCAAUAGGUAACUUACCCUUAAAAAAGGUAGGACAUUGACAUGUUGUAUCAAAUACAAAUUGGUAUCAAACUCUUGUUCAUGCAUAAAUCAUGAUUAUGAAAAUUAAAAAAUAGCGAUGAUCAUAGAAACACAUUAGGAUUGAACCCUAAUAGUAAGUAUGUAGUAGUAUCCAAGAUAAAGUUUAUAUAACAUUAUUUUUUAUCAAGUAUAUUCACAUGAUAUAUAUAUAUAUGUAAAAUAUAAUAUAAUAUAAAUUUGUAGAUUUUUUCCUGUUUGGUUGGCUUAAUCAUGAUUCACAAGAAAAUUUCAAAAUUUGAUUUCCAAAAUUAUUAUCCGAAAAUGCCGAAACUAUUAUCCGAAAAUUCCGAAAAUAUUAACUUCCGAAAAUUCCGAUAAUGCCGAAAAUUCCGCAUCAGAAUAGAGUUAGUACAUUCCGAAAUUUCGGAAUCGGACUCGGAACUAAAAGGUAAUUCCGAAAAUCUUCGGAACGGAAUUCGGAACAGUGGUUUCCGAUCCGUUCCGGCCGAAAAACACCCCUUAUAACCAAGGCAAGUACAAGGUCGUUCCCACAGAGACUGAAUUAAUUCCCAAGUUGUUGUGAAUUAUAAACUAAUUUAAAUCUUAAAUUAUUCUAGGCACCUAACUAAUAAAAUAAAAACUAAUGACUCAACUAAAACUUAAUAAAGGAGUUUUGAAAAAAUUUCUUCAAAAGAACGUUGAAAACAAGAAAAUUAAAAAACAAGAUAACAAAGAAAAACGUGAACUAAAUAAGUUUGUGAAAGAUUUUAAAGAAGCUUACCAAGACAACAAUUUCACCACAAUUCCUCUUAUCCAAACCUUAACAUGCAAAUUAUCAAAAUUCCAAAGUUAUGUUGAUGAUUAGCUAUCCAAAAUUAUGAUUAUCUCUUUUCACAGCAAUUAACCAUUUCUUCUUACACGCAAUGUAUCAUUGGCGUGAGACAUAAAUAUAAACAUAUAAAAAGACCAUAGGUUCGAUGAGAACUUCACACAAUCACACAAACCCUUAAGAGUAUGGUGUUUACCUUAGGCGUUGUUUACCUUAAGCUAUUGACUUUGAUCAAGUGAUUGUGAAUUUCGGUGAGGAAUAUCUCCCAAGUAAGUUCUUUUCUUGACUCAGACAGGUGAUGACUUUAUAAUUUCCCAUAGUAAAACUGGUAAGUCUAACCAAAAUAAAUGUUGAAAAUAAAACAAACUAGUUCAAAGAGAACCAUUUAUUACACAAUCAAACAAAAGAGAACUGUCAAGUCCGGAAGGACAUCAGAACAUUAGAAUUCAAUUUCUGCUUGGAUUGUUAUCUGUGACUUAGGCUGGACUGGAUAUAUUUGUGCUGGAAUUGCACGUCAGCACCUUCAAUUAACGGGGAUCAGCUGGAAAUCGAUAUGAAUGUUGAGAUUGACUGAGCUAUAAUCAGAUUUAACCGUGGAGAGCCUUGUCGAGUGGGCAGAACUGAGAUCUCCUCGGUCUGGACUGGAUUGGAAGCGGCUGGAUUGGCAAUUGCUGACCUGGAAUCACACUUCAGUACCUGUUUUGCUUGGCUAAGGGUCACCUGAGGACUAUUCUGGUGAUUUUGGGACAUCAAGAUGUCUCUGAAAAUUUGUUGAGGUUUUCAUAUUAUGAAAAAUCCAAACUCCACUUUCACACCCAAAAAAAAAAAAAAAAAAAAAAAAACUCAAACUCAACUUGGUUCAUCUGUUUUGAACCAAAUUUGUAACGAGAGAAAUCUCGUUUCCUUUGUGAACUGCUUCUUUGAACUGAAUUGAAGUCAGAAAUCUGAGUUCUGCCUGUUUUGUUUGAAGCUGGAUGGCUUUUACAAACCAAAUAGCUUGAUUGCUUCUCAGUUUGGAGACUUUUGGGACCGUAUGAUCUUGCUUGAUUUUUGUCAGUAUGACUGAGAGUUUUUGUCUUGAUUGGAUUUUUAGCUGUCGUUUAUCCAAUUCACAUCCUCAUAUAUUUAUAGGAAAUCUGCAUGAGUGAUGAUUCCUUAAUAUCUGGAGGUUUAGUUAUUCUGACAAGAAAAACCCACGUCAAGAGUCAGUUUUGUGAUGAUCAGUUUUGAGUUUCUUGACAACCAACUCUCCGACUUCUUGUCCAUCCCCUUGCAAACUGAAUUUGUACUGAGGGACCUUCAUGAGUAUGGGAAGGAAACUUAGCCUGUUUUUCUAGCAUUUAAUGGUUAUGGGGAGUGGUUUUUGAUUUCACCUUUCUACCAACUCCCCCAAAUAUCCUCAGUCUGUUUCCUGUUGACGUCUUGUCAUUAGAAUCAUGUGGGUAUUGAGGGGAAAGACUCCUUCCCUGUAUCUGUUGAUCUGAUUUUGAAUUGGUAAUCAACGAUGAUGAUCAAACCUUGAACCUUUAGGAAAAAAAUCUAGAAGCUGGGUAUGAAUUAAACAAAUUAAAUUUGGCUUUUUCAGAUUAAAUCACAAUUUAAUGGCAAUUAACCUUUAUCUUGUGAAGUGUAAUUUCGUAAUUGGUUUCAUUCCAUUUUUCUUCUUUCAAAAUGGCUUAGGCUGGCUCCCAAUUUUGGUAAAACAUAGCCCAAACCUGUAUCAUCAAUCUAGCCCAAUAGCCAGAUAGGCCGGCGCAUAGAAAUUAGGCCUAAACAAGCGCAUUCAUGAAUUUAAUCACAAGAAGCAAAACUCAUAUUAAGCAUGGCGUAUACCCUAACAUGCAUCAAAUUACUUAACCAAAAACCUAGAUGGUAGCUAAGCUUCAAGAUCAUUAGUUAAGAAAAUAAGCACAAUGAUUAAAUUUUAACAACAUGGAAAUUCUAAUAGCAUGACAUAACUAAGCUUUGAAUAAUUAGAAAAGAUUUACAUUAUGUCUUAGUAAAAGAAAAUUGGUUACUCAUAGUCAUGAUAACAAAGCAAAAAUAAAACAUGGAGAAAGAGAUAAGAAAAACCCUUAAAGUUUAGAGGCACGAUCGUUCUUCCUUACUCCACUAGUUAAUUCUAAAAUUUCUCCCAUCUCCCCGUCUAAAAAAAGAAACCUAAAACUAGUUAGACUGAGCCUAAACAAGUGGCCUUACACGAAGACUUGAUUUCCAAGUCAGUUCCUAACUAGAAAAUGUAAUUAAAACUAAUUUUCCUAAAACUUCCAGGAAACUGCAUGUGAUCCUCUUUGCGAAUGCAAUUUGAACACAUUCCUGACCUCCGAAAAUUGCGUACGUCAGUAUGUUCUGGAUGUCUUCUUUUCAGCCAUAUUACGUCUACACUAUGACCUUAAGACGAAUUACGCCCCACACUAGUGCUUAUGGUUCACUAGCGUUCGCCUCCCAGGAUACAACGACUCCCCUCCUUAUGAAAGAAGCACUGCAAUUCACAAGGAACUUUGAACCAAAAUUAUGCAGGAAACUCUCUUUAUGCAAACUCUAAUGCUCUCUAUAUAUGAAAGUAUGUAUCUAGAGAAUUGAUUGAAUGAAUAAAACUGCAGGAGGAUUGCUCUAUUUAUAGAUGAUGAAAUACCCUUUCCAAAAAGGUAUCCCAAUCUGAAAAGGCAAACAGUGCAUCCUUUGGCCUUGAAGAGUUGUCACCCCAAACAAUGUAUCCCUUAGUUUGAAGAGUUGUCACCCCCCAAUUGAAGAUGUCUUUACCCAAGGGUCAUGUCUUUAACCCAAUGGAUUUUAUUAAUUUCCAUUCAAAUAGAAAAUUAAUAUUAAAAAUAAUAUUAAAUUUCUCACAAUCCCCCACAUGAAUGGAAAUUAGUUUCAACAAUAUGCAAAUGAUAAUGCAGACUUAGAGAGAGUUCCUAUUAGAAGAAUAUGGCAUCUGGAUAGGUAGCUUUUGGCUUUGAACCUUCCAUAGUGAAGUACUAUCGGAUUUACUUGGCUAAUCAGUGAACGUGAUGUCUUGAACUGUUCAGCCGUUUGUGUAAACCCAGACAAUAAUACUCACACAAUACCCUUCUAGACAUAUCUGGUUCGAUCGGUUGUGCCCGUUUUGGCCCUGAGCAACUCCUGGCAUUCAUAAGUGCUUUAGAGAAUUUAGCCCUAAAAAUUCUCAUGGAAACGGCCCUAUUUCACACUUAUAUAGGUGAUUUCCUAUUGGUAAUAUCCUCUCAUAUCUUACUCGGAUAAUCAAGGUAUAGGAAUCAUUAAAAGCAUAGCUUAACCUAAACACAUUUCAUACAACACUGUAUCAUCAUAGGAUAUGGGUAGGAGAAUAUAUCUCUGCAGUGUUAUUUUUGAGUUAUCAUAAUUUAGUUGUCCCUUUUGAACCUAGAUCUUGGGAUCUCCAGUCAACUAGGUUGGGUUUCCACUAUGACUACUCAUUUGACAUGGGCUUUAACCCCAUUCCCCUCGAUGAUCUAUAAACUUGUUCUCCGUUCAAACCUUUAGUAAAUGGAUCCGCCAAAUUAUCUCUUGACUUUAUGUAGUCAAUGGUAAUUAUACCACUGGAGAGCAGUUGCUUAACGGUGUUGUGUCUUCGACGUAUAUGUCGAGACUUGCCGUUGUACAUAUUGUUUUGUGCCCUUGCAAUUGUAGAUUGACUAUCACAAUGUAUACAUAUAGCAGGCACAGGUUUUGGCCAACAUGGAAUAUCUUCUAAGAAAUUACGUAGCCAUUCAGCUUCCUCACCAGCUUUAUCUAAUGCUAUGAACUCAGAUUCCAUAGUAGAUCUAGCUAUAAUAGUUUGCUUAGUAGAUCUCCAUGAUAUAGCCGCACCUCCAAUUGUAAAGACAUAUCCACUUGUAGAAUUGGAGUCUUUUGCAUCAGAUAUCCAAUUAGCAUCACUAUAUCCUUCAAGUACAGCUGGAUAUCUUGUAAAAUGCAAUCCAACAUUUUUGGUGUAUCUUAAGUAUCUUAGAACUCUGACUAUAGCUUUCCAAUGAUCCCUUCCAGGAUUACUAGUGUAUCUGCUUAAUCUAUUAACAGAGUAAGCUAUAUCAGGCCUUGUGCAAUUCGUAAGAUACAUGAGACUACCAAUAAUACGAGCAUAUUCUAUUUGUGAUACACCAUGACCUAUAUUCUUCACAAGAUUAAGACUUGGAUCAUAAGGAGUUCUUACUGGACUAGUAUCAUACUUGCUAAACUUCGCAAGUAUUUUCUCAAUAUAAUGUGAUUGGGAUAAAACUAGUCCAUCAGAUGUUCUAGAAAUUUUAAUUCCUAGAAUCACAUCUGCUACUCCCAAAUCUUUCAUGUCAAAAUUUUUGGUCAACAUUUUCUUGGUAGAUUUAAUCAUCCCAAUAUUGCUACCAAUAAUUAACAUAUCAUCAACAUAAAGACAAAUAAUGACAAAACCAUCUUGAGUGCUUUUCAUAUAAACACAUUUAUCACACUCAUUGAUCUUGAAACCAUUUGACAUUAAUGCAUUGUCAAAUUUCAGAUGCCAUUGUUUUGGUGCUUGCUUUAACCCGUACAAGGACUUAACAAGCUUACAUACUUUCUUUUCUUGUCCAGGAACAAUAAACCCUUCAGGUUGUUCCAUAUAAAUUUCCUCAUCUAAAUCACCAUUUAGAAAGGCCGUUUUCACAUCCAUUUGAUGUAUCUCAAGAUUAUGCAAUGCUGCAAUUGCAAUUAACAUUCUUAUUGAUGUUAUUCUCGUAACUGGUGAAUAUGUGUCAAAAUAAUCCAAUCCUUCUUUUUGUUUAUAACCUUUGACAACAAGCCUUGCCUUAUAUUUGUCAAUUGAUCCAUCAGCUUUCAUCUUUUUCUUAAAAAUCCAUUUAUAACCCAAUGGUUUAUUUCCAGGAGGAAGAUCCACAAGUUCCCAAGUGUGAUUCUGCAUGAUGGAUUCAACUUCGGCAUUAAUAGCCUCUUUCCAUAAAAGAGCUUCAGGAGAAGUCAUGGCUUCUUUGUAAGUUUGAGGCUCAUUUUCUAACAAAUAAGUUAGAAACUCAGGACCAAAGGAUUUGGUUGUCUUAGCUCUCUUACUACGCCUGGGUUCAUGUCCAGGUUCUGGUUCUGCAGUCUCUUGGUCUAUAUUUUCUUGAUGACUUUCUUGGUUAUCGCUAUUAACAGUAUCUAAGGUUCUUUUAAGUGUAUUUCUUUCUUGUGCAUCCUUAUAAGGAAAUACAUUUUCAAAGAAAGAUACAUUCCUUGAUUCAAUAAUCGUAUUCACAUGUACAUCUAAUAUAUCAGAUUUGUGUACAAGGAAACGAUAUGCACUACUGUUAAUGGCAUAACCGAUAAAUAUACAGUCAAUAGUUUUGGGUCCUAUCUUAACCUUUUUAGGGGUUGGAACCGCAACUUUAGCUAGACACCCCCACACUUUCAAGUAUGUAUAGGAAGGCUUGUGACCUUUCCAUAACUCAUAAGGUGUUUUGUCUAACUUUUUAUGUGGCAAUUUGUUGAGAAUGUAAUUAGCAGAAAGUAAAGCUUCCCCCCACAAAUUCUGGGGUGCUCCAGAACUUACUAGCAACGCAUUCAUCAUUUCUUUUAAAGUACGAUUUUUACGUUCAGCAAUACCAUUUUGCUGAGGUGAGUAUGGGGCAGUUGUUUGGUGAAUAAUUCCGUGUUGGGAACAAAACUCACCAAAAGGUGAUUCAUAUUCACCACCUCUAUCACUUCUUAAUUUCUUUAUUUUCCUGCUAAGUUGAUUCUCAACUUCACUUUUAUAAUGUUUGAACAUUUCUAUGGCCUCAUCUUUGCUUCUUAGCAAAUAUACUUGACAAUAUCUUGUACAAUCAUCAAUAAAAGUAAUAAAAUACUUUUUACCACCUCUAGUUUGUACAAAUUUCAAGUCACAAAUAUCACUGUGAAUUAAUUCUAGAGGUUCUGUACUUCUUUCUAUAGACUGGAAUGAUGAUCUAGUUAGUUUUGCUUCAACACAGGUUUCACAUUUAUUAUGGAAAUCAAUAUGAAACUUAGGUAUUAGUUCCAUGUUAAUUAAUUGACGCAAUUUGUCAUAAUUAACAUGCCCUAAUCUUCCAUGCCACAAAUCAGAUAACUCAAGCAUAUAAGCAGAACUAACUUUAUUAUUAUUAACUUUGUGUACAACAGUCAUUACAUUCAUCUUGAAGAGUCCAUCAGUAAGGUACCCUUUCCCCACAUACAUUCCAUUCUUUGUAAGUACAAACUUAUCAGACUCAAAGACUAGUUUGAACCCAUUCUUGCUAAGCAGUGAUCCAGAAACCAAGUUCUUCCGGAUCUCAGGGACGUGAAGUACAUUAUUGAGAGUGACUUCCUUUCCAGAUGUCAUCUUUAGAACUAUUUUCCCUUGGCCAUGAAUUUUGGAGGUGGAGGAGUUUCCCAUGAAUAAAGGCUCUCCUUGAUCAUUUGCUGCAUAGGUAGAAAACAUCUUCCUUUCAGAACAUAUGUGGCGUGUAGCUCCAGUAUCCACCCACCAUUCCUUGGUGUUGCCCACCAAGUUCACUUCAGACACAACUGCAGAAAGAUUAAUAUCUGACAAGUCAGUUGAAAGCUUGUCUUCUUCAGUCAUGUGUGCCUCAGUCUUGCCCUUUUUCUUUUGGUUGCCUUGUCCAUUUCUACUUCGGCAAUCCACAGCUCGAUGGCCUUGCUUGUUGCAAUUGAAACACUUUCCCUUAAACUCCUUGGAUUUCUUGGAGUUCCCUUGACUUGAGCCUUCUCCAGAGUGCUUCCUCUUCUUGUUAUUUCUUGACUCUUUUUCCACUAUGUUAGCCUUAGCUUCCAUUAUGGAUCCAGACUUUUUGUCAGCACGGCGAUUGUCCUCUUCGAUCCUUAGCCUUACUAUCAAAUCCUCAAGUCCCAUCUCCUUACGCUUAUGCUUAAGGUAGUUUUUGAAAUCCUUCCAAGAGGGUGGUAAUUUUUCAAUGACAGCAGCCACUUGAAAAGACUCACUCAAUUCCAUCUUUUCUGCAUGUAUCUCAUGUAGAAUGAGUUGCAGUUCUUGGACUUGACUUAUGACAGUCUUGGAGUCUACCAUCUUGUAGUCAAGAAACCGACCGACAAUGAAUUUCUUCAUUCCUGCAUCUUCGGUCCGAUAUUUCUUAUCUAGUGACUCCCAUAAAGCCUUGGCCGUCUGAAUUGGACAAUACACAUUGUAUAGUGCAUCACUUAAACCAUUUAGGAUGUAGUUCCUGCAAAGGAAAUCCGACUGGUUCCAUGCAUCAGAAGCAGCCACUGUUUCUAUUGUAUCACCAGGUCCAGGAGGAUCUGCUUUCAGGAUAUGAGCCAAAUUCAAUGUGGUGAUGUAGAACAACAUCUUUUGUUGCCAUCUCUUAAAAUCCAUCCCAUUAAAUUUUUCAGGCUUCUCUGCAUGAUUAUGGGAUGAAGGCAACACUACAGCAGGUGCACUUGUCUUCACAGAAGGACCCACUUUCUGUAUCUCAUUCGACAUUUUCCUUAAUUGAGUGAACAAUCUCAAUGUCAAUAAACAAAUAUAUGGUAGUCUUUAAUAGAUAAAUAAUGAAUCACAAUAGUGUGUUACAACAAAACACACAGAAAUUAAUAAUACAAUACCGAUAAGAAGUAUAGCAAACGCAAUAUGCAAUUUAUUCAAGAUAACAGUAAUACAAAAUGCUAUAUUUCACAGAUACAGUGAAUUUAAUGUAUGUAGAUAAAUAUAAUCAGAAUUUAUAAACAGAAUAAUAAAAAAUGAUGCCAAACAGAAAAUAGAAUCCAAAUAAAUAAAUAAAAACGAUGCUGUAUAUUUAGACUUUGUCUAACAAAAGAAACAGAAGGCAAUCAGUGUUUGUGGCAAUCUUUAUUGAAUGGUCCUGAUUAUUAUAACUUAGCUUUGGUUAACUUCGAAUUGUAUAAAACAAAGGAAACUAACAGGAAACCAAUUCAAUAGAAUAAACAACUAAUAAAAAGAUGUUUUGCUGUUUGUACCAAAAUCAAACCUUUUGCAGCGUUAACAAUUAAAUGCACAAACACAGAUUAAUGUAUAUAGCAAUUAACACAUAUACUAAUUCGUCUUAAGAUUGUAGGAAAAAAUAGUGCUAAAUUGCUAUAAAAUAAACAAAUAAACACUGCAAACAAAACAAAUUUUUACAACAGUAGUAUGUAAUUAAAAGAACCUUAAUUGAGUCGAGGCAAGUGUUGGACACUCUGACCUUAAGACGAAUUACGCCCCACACUGGUGCUUAUGGUUCACUAGCGUUCGCCUCCCAGGAUACAACGACUCCCCUCCUUAUGAAAGAAGCACUGCAAUUCACAAGGAACUUUGAACCAAAAUUAUGCAGGAAACUUUCAUAUAUAUCUAGAGAAUUGAUUGAAUGAAUAAAACUGCAGGAGGAUUGCUCUAUUUAUAGAUGAUGAAAUACCCUUUCCAAAAAGGUAUCCCAAUCUGAAAAGGCAAACAGUGCAUCCUUUGGCCUUGAAGAGUUGUCACCCCAAACAAUGAAGAUGUCUUUACCCAAGGGUCAUGUCUUUAACCCAAUGGAUUUUAUUAAUUUCCAUUCAAAUAGAAAAUUAAUAUUAAAAAUAAUAUUAAAUUUCUCACACAUUUGUCUUCUCUAAAUUUGCAUUUCCUUUUCUUAUAUUGAGAACCAUCCCAAACAUGCAGGAUGUCUUUUGUCAUUAGCCCUUAUUUCUUUUACCGAACUCCAUACUUUGGUAGGUAGUCAAUACCCUUAUUAUAUGCGAAUAAUAAAUUUCAAAGAUACUUUACACUUUAAAGGUUAUUUAGAUAAAGCGAUUUCAACUCUAGAAGAUAUUAUAAAGUUUAAUUGUUUGUUUAAACUAUUUAAUUGGAUAGUUACUUUAAUACUUGUAUGCUUACACACACACACACAAAACGUGUUGGAGUUAUAGUUGGAGUCCCACACAAUUUUAGUAGGGAGCUUCACAAAUAAAAACCCUCUAAACAGGUUUUUUUUUUUUCGGUUUGAAUGUUUCAUAUUUUGAGCUCUCUCUCUCUCUCUAUGUUUUAUUGAUUAAUAAUACAUUUUUUAUAACUUUAAUUCAGUGAUGAAACCAUGAAAGAAAGAAAACUCUAACUAUUUCAUUAAUAAGAAGGAAUCAAUACAAACAAACAAUCAAUGAUGAAACAUUGUUGUACUAUACACUCUGGUCGUACCAAAACAAUUUCCGCACAAAACAGGGCCAAAAUACAUGGAAGAAGAAACGAGGGAAUACCCAAGAAAGAGCUGAACACGUCUAAUGACAAAAAGGUUAAGAGGAAAAACAUGAAAUAUACUGCCAAAGUGAAAUGACCAAGACCAACAAAAUGAAUGAAAUUUCAAGGCAAAAGUGUCUAGUCCAAGCAAGUUCCCAACUUUCGUUUUAUUUUCUAGGGAGGAAGAUAUUUACAUGACAUCUUGAAGCUGUCCACUUUAGUAAGGAAUCAAAUCAAUACGAACAAACACUUUAGUAAGGAAAUCCACGUCACCCCACUAUAGAAAGGAAAUAAUGAGAAAGGACAAGUGUUUUCCACUUGGUGGGAUGCGUUCUCUUUCUUCUCACAAAAGUGAUUGUGUCCAGCUUACUGAUGCCGAGGGAAUUGAACACAUAAUUGCUGAGUUAAUGGCUUGACUUGAGUUUUAAGUAAUUGCAUUAAUACUUACCUGCGUAGCUUCCUGGAACCUCUAUCUGUACUGAUUUUUCUUUUCUUUCUAAUCAUUCUAGUUCCACAAUCCCGUGCUCAGAGAAGAUUUCUUGAAACCACUACUUUCCAAUGGCAUCGAGCAGCCAAAGGGCCUUCACUUCAGCUACUGCAGUUUGUUCAUGGAAAUACGAAGUGUUUUUGAGUUUCAGGGGUGAAGACACUCGCAGGGGUUUUACAGACUAUUUAUACAAACAGUUGGACUGGCGAGGAAUUAGAACUUUCAGGGAUGAUCCAGAUCUUCAAAGAGGGGCAGAUAUCAAUCCGGAGCUUCUGACCGCGAUUGAACAAUCAAGGUUUGCAAUCAUAGUUCUUUCAACAAACUAUGCUUCGUCAAGUUGGUGUUUGCGUGAACUAACCCAUAUUGUUCAGUCCAUGAAAGAGAAGGAGAGAAUUUUCCCAAUCUUUUAUGAUGUGGAUCCCUCUGAUGUACGACAUCAACGGGGGAGUUUUGGGACAGCCCUCGUUAACCAUGAAAGGAAUUGUGGUGAAGACAGAGAGGAGGUGCUUGAGUGGAGAAAUGCUUUAAAAAAAGUUGCUAAUCUCGCUGGGUGGAAUUCAAAGGAUUAUAGGUAAGCAAGCAUGAAGCAACAACUGACACAUAGCUAAUAAGACCAAAUCUUGAAUAUUGCAUUUCAGUUUUGCCAUGCACUUUAUCUACGAUAUAUUCAUAUAACCUCAUCUGAUGAUUUUUUUCUUCUUCUUUUACUUCUAGGUAUGAUACAGAGCUUAUCACAAAAAUUGUUGAUGCAGUGUGGGAUAAAGUGCAUCACACAUUUUCAUUGUUAGAUUCCUCAGACAUAUUAGUCGGACUUGAUACUAAACUAAAGGAAAUAGAUCUGCAUUUAGAUACAAGCGCAAAUGAUGUGCGCUUUGUGGGGAUAUGGGGGAUGGGCGGAAUGGGUAAGACAACCCUAGCUAGAUUAGUUCAUGAGACAAUUUCUCAUAGUUUUGAAGGUAGCAGCUUUCUUGCAAAUGUCAGAGAGGUUUAUGCAACACAUGGUCUAGUUCCUUUACAGAAACAGCUUCUUUCCAAUAUCUUGGGGGAAACAAAUAUACAAGUUUAUGAUGCUUAUAGUGGAUUUACUAUGAUAAAGAGGUGUCUAUGUAAUAAAAAGGUUCUUCUCAUUCUUGAUGAUGUGGAUCAAUCAGACCAACUGGAAAUGUUGAUCAGAGAAAAAGACUGCUUUGGUUUGGGAAGUAGAAUCAUCAUUACAACUAGAGAUGAACGUUUGUUCGUCGAUCAUGGGAUAGAGAAAGUAUAUAAGGUCAUGCCAUUAACCCAAGACGAAGCUCUUUAUCUCUUUAGUAGGAAGGCCUUUAGAAAAGAUGACCUUGAAGAAGAUUAUCUAGAACUGUCUAAAAAUUUCAUAAACUACGCAGGAGGUCUUCCAUUAGCUCUUAAAACUUUGGGGUCUUUUUUGUAUAAAAGAAGUCGAGAUGAAUGGAAGAGUGCACUAGAUAAACUGAAGCAAGCUCCUGACAGAAAAAUUUUUCAAAUUUUGAAAAUAAGCUAUGAUGGACUAGAGGAGAUGCAGAAGAAAAUUUUUCUUGAUGUUGCAUGUUUCCAUAAGCUUUAUGACAAGGAAGAAGUGAUUGAAAUACUAGACAGUUGUGGUUUUGUUGGCACUCGUAUUGUGAUACAUGUUCUUAUUGAGAAAUCUCUCUUGUCUAUUUCAAACACGCAUCUGUCCAUUCAUGAUUUGAUACAAGAAAUGGCAUGGGAGAUUGUUCGUCAAGAGUCUUUUGACGAGCCAGGUGGUCGCAGUCGCUUGUGGCUUCACAGUGACAUCAUUCAUGUACUCACGAACAAUACGGUAAGAAGUUGCACAAAAAAUAAAAUACCAAAACAUUGGAUAACAUACUAUAAUUCCAUUAAUAACGAUAAGAGAGACUUGAUUAUGACACUAACUUUUCUUUUAUUCCUAUGUACAAGGGAACGGAAGCCAUUGAAAGCAUAGUCCUAUGCUUGCGUGAAUUUGAAGCGGCACACUGGAAUCCUGAAGCAUUCUCUAAGAUGUGUAAACUAAAGUUGCUCAAGAUUAAUAAUUUGAGCCUUUCUUUGGGCCCAAAGUAUCUUCCCAAUUCCUUAAGGUUUCUGGAGUGGAGUUGGUAUCCCUCCAAAUGUCUGCCCCCAAGUUUUCAACCUAAUGAACUUGCUCAACUUAGUCUGCAGCAGAGCAAAAUUGAUCACCUUUGGAAUGGAAUAAAGGUAGACCUUUGUAGAGCUAGUUCUUUUCAAUUUCAAUAAAUUUUGCAAGGUUCUUGGAAGUUAUUAUUAUUAUUUUUUUGUCUGAGUUCUUGGAAGUUAAUUAAUCUACCAUUUUCAUGUUUUGUACAGUACAUGGUGAAGUUGAAAUCUAUUGAUCUUAGUUACUCCGAGAACUUGACAAGGACCCCAGAUUUCACAGGUACUCAGAACCUUGAGAGGCUGGUUUUUGAAGGUUGUACUAAUCUUGUUAAGAUUCAUCCAUCCAUUGCCUCUCUCAAAAGACUAAGAGUUUUGAAUUUUAAAAACUGUAAAAGCAUUAAGAGUCUCCCAAGUGAAGUAGAACNNNNNNNNNNNNNNNNNNNNNNNNNNNNNNNNNNNNNNNNNNNNNNNNNNNNNNNNNNNNNNNNNNNNNNNNNNNNNNNNNNNNNNNNNNNNNNNNNNNNAUUUUUCGAAGCUUUCUUAAGCUCACUGCUGUGAGCAAAUGCCGUCAUCAAAUAUACAUUCCAUGGCGAGUUGAAGGAGCUGAUAUGAGUGGAAUUCUAUGAGAGAUCCCCCAUCUUCCCUAGUUCCUGUGAAAGAUAUUGAACUGCCAAGAUCAUGGCAUUCUUUCUUCACUUUUGGCUUAUUUCCAAGAAAGAAUCCCCACCCUGUGAGUCUGGUGUUAGCUUCCUUAAAAGAUUUACGCUUUUUGAAGCGUCUAAAUCUGAAUGACUGCAAUCUUUGUGAAGGAGCAAUACCUGAAGAUAUUGGUUUAUUGUCCUCUUUAGAAGAAUUAAAUCUUGAUGGAAACCAUUUUGUUAGCCUUCCUGCAAGCAUCAGUGGGCUUUCUAAUCUUUGGAACAUCACAUUGAAGAAUUGCAAAAGGCUUCAAAAAUUGCCAAGCCUUCAAUUAAACGGACUACUAGAUAUGUGUGUAAACACUGAUAAUUGUACUUCCUUGAAAAUAUUCCCAGAUCCAACAUCGACGUGCAAUGGUUUAAGUUCUAUGUCGAUUAGUUCUUCCAAUUGCUUCAAUUUGAUUGGCCAUCAAGGUUCCAGUUCCAUAAUAUUUUUAAUGCUGAAGAAAUUCCUUCAGGUACUUCUCCUUCUUCCUCCUUCCUCUUCCCUCUUUAGUUGUGUAGUACUAUUUAUAUCCUUCCUUUGGUGCAGGAAAUUCCUCGUUCUUUGGGCAUCAUCGAUAUUAUAAUUCCUGGAAGUGAAAUUCCUGAGUGGUUCAAUAAUCAAAGUGUGGGAGACUCAGUAAUUGAGCCACUACCUUCGGAUUCUAAUAGCACGUGGGUGGGGUUUGCUUUUUGUGCUCUAUUUGUAGCUACUGCUACGAAACAUAAUUCAAUCACUUUUCGUUGCCUUUGUGAUGAUUUAAACACCCCUGCGGGCCUGGGUUAUACUGUUGCCAUAGACUAUGUAGCGUCCGAUCACCUUUGGUUGAUCCUCCUGUCUAGGCAACAAUUCUUUUGGAAACCAAGACAGAGACCUGAGACCUAUUGGAGGGAGAAAUGCCAUGAUCAGAAGAUGAGGUUUCAUUUCGAAACAAGAUCUUAUCCAGGAGAGAAGACGGGGGUGAAGGUGAAGAAGUGUGGAGUCCGCACACUAUACGAACAAGACGCGGAAGAGCUCAACCGAACAAUGAAACAAUAUUCCAACAGAAAUAAUUCUUUUUAUGAGGACGUUACAGAUUAUGAUUUUGACAAAUCAGACAAGGUACAAGGUGCCAUCACUAAGCGAACACGUGAACAGUACUGUACUGAGGCAGGACCAAGCGGUAUUGGUACCCUUGGCAAAGAAUCACUCUGCAAAAGAAUGAAAGAAGACUAAUCAGAUCCAAAUUUGAUUGGGGGGGGAGAGUUCCGUCAUCCAGAAGCCUAACGGGCGCAUUUUACCGACUAGAGCAUUUAAACAUGGUUGGGAAACAUCUAUGUAUGCUUAAAUUGUUUCUUUCUUAGGCUAAAUCUCACAUGUGCUGUAUAAAUUCAAUAGGUUAAUUAGUGAAGCCCUAUUUGAGAGAUUGACAUUAACUGGGGCGUGGACAGGUCAAUCAACUCCAAAAUGACUUGUGCUGCAAUUCCAGUACUUCAUUUUUCCUUAUACAAAAACUUUUUUUUUUUUUUUUUUUUUCAGGCCUGUUAUAACCCUUUCAAAUGACUCAUCAAAUGUUACAUUCAUCCAAAUAGUGACUUAAUGACAUUCAAAAAUAGUUUCUCAAAUUUAAUUUUGCUUCCAAACUAAUGGUGUCAUGAACUUGAGCUUAAUAUCAUCAACCGACCUUAUUUGCACACAUAUUCAAAGAAAUUAUGUUUAAAUUUUUAUUUUUAUUUUUUGGCAUAUAGAGAGAAGAGGAGUUGAACUUAGAACCUUGAAUGUACGGAUUAAUGCUCUUAAAUAAGACAAAAUGGUCAAUAGGAUCUAGCCCAAUGGAAAGGGCUUUGACUUAUGUGUGUGAAAAUCCUCCACCUCCAAUAUCGCUUGAAUGGAAAAAAAGACAAAAUUAUAAAACGAUGCUUCUACAUAUAUAUAAUAUACAUAGUGGUUUUAAAUUGGACAAAAUUGAGGUCGUACUUAGUAUAUAUUUGUACCCAAAAAAUAAAAAUCCACAAAGACUAUCUAUCCCCUUGGACGAAAAUUUCCCAAUUACUAUCCCCUUACUAAAGCCACAAAGACUUCAGCCCGUAGACGUUCCCAAUUGAAGGUACCUCCCUUUUAUCUUCCAUUAUUUGUUUUAGUUAUUUAUUUAUUUAUUGGUCUUUUUUUAUUUUUUUUUAUUUUCAUAACUCUUAAAAAUUCUGGAUCCGGUGUAGGUGUAGAAGUGUUUUCCUUUGAAAUACACUAAGAAACUACCGUUCGAUAAACCUUGUGCAGACACAACAAACGUCAUCCUUCACCGUUGGAUCCCACAAACAGAAUUAGGAUUUGUGUUUCUGAGGAUUCGAAUUAGGGUUUGACGGCAAAUUGCAAAUCGAAUUUAUCCGACACUACAAUCACCACGUUUGUAUCGAUGCUGGUAAAAGGAAGAAAGGUUUCUGGGCGGGGAGAGGCCGUGGCGGCGAACUACGCGUUCGGGCCGCUCGAAGAUGACGUAAUCAUCAAGCACAGACUUCUCACUCGAACCACAACCACAAGAGGCGAACCCCCAUUGAAGAAGCUCCAGAAGAAGUUCACAUCCCUGUUCGUCGAGCUCGACAAGAACGAGGACAACUAUGGCGACUGCGACAAGCUGGCCAAAGCUUUCCUCCAAGAGCUCAGCACCUUCGAGAUUCCGCUCCUCAAGAGCAAAGCGGUUGUGGAUGCGAAUCUCAGAGAGAAGCACAAUUUCGACGAGUUGAGGGAGAGGAGAUAAAUCGGCAGAUAGUGCACGCGCAGACCGACAUUGAAUUGCUGAAGAAGCAGCUUGAGGAGAGUAAAAUCGAAAGAAGGCACAAGGAGGAGUGUGAGGCGAUCAGGAAAAUGAUAGCUACGCAACUGCCUCGAAACGCUCAAAAUCAUAUCCGAUUUGGAGAAAGAGAUUGCCGCUUUGGACGCUGAGAACACGGCAAGUUCGAGGAUGCUGGAGCUCCGAAAGAAGCAGUUUGCUCUGCUGUUGUAUGUGGUAUGCAGCUCUGUUAAAUUCCCCAAUUUUCGAUUAUGUUGCCUGCAUUAAGCAGUAGAACCCUUUUGAAAUUAGAUUUAAUUUUGGUUGUAUUUGGAGGUGGAUGAGUUGCAGAACACCAUAGAGGAAGAGCAGAAGAGUUUGGUUGAUUAGAGUAUACAAUGCAUCUCUUGGUUUUGCAGUUGUAAGAUUGUGUUUUUCAUGAAUGGGUUUCUAUCUAUGCAUUAUCUCUCUUGAAUCAGCGAUAUUUUGAAAUUCUUAAUUUUGUGCACCUUGUAGAUUUUCACCAAGUUCACGUGAUGGGUAGAACUUUGCCAGAACUUCUUUCUGGAUCAAUUUCAGUGUAGUUAAUUGUAUAAACCUAAUACCUGUGUACAUUGCAUUUGAGUGUAAUAUUACAGUUUGCAUCCAGAUAAAUAUUGAGAAGUCGGAAAUGCAAUACUUUUUUUUGUUGGGUUUAGGGUUUGCAUCAAAUAAACAGUUGUAUUUGUGUUUGCUUUACAAAGAGAAGGGUAUAACUAUUGAUCACCAGAGAGGGUAUAAGUGUUAAAAGUUAUUUAGUUAAGUUUAAUUAGUUUGUUAAUUAAAUAAUGCUGACAUGGCCAUGUAGAGACCAAGUCAAGCUGAAAUCCUAGAAUGUAGAAGUAGUGGUUUAGUCUGUUCACCACGUUCAAAUUUGCUUCCGUUGCUUAAGGUAGUUGAACUCCACAAAAUCUGCACUCGUGUGUUAGUGGUUAUUGUGGAGAUUGUUAUUUUGUAAGCUUUGUUAUUUCAGGUAUAUAUAAGAGAGGAAAACUGCAGUAUUCUUGAGCUGUGAAAUACGUUUGCUCAAAGAAUCCUUUUACGUUCAAGUUAAUUUCAGUUUCUCAACAUCUGGUAUCAGAGCCCUUCUGGGCCUGAACAAACUUGAAAAAGGUGAAAGAUUGUGUCUUGCAGCAGCAAGAAACAGUGGCAACAGAGAAAGCCACUGAGAGUUUUAUUCAACCAGCGAUUCCACGAUUUGAUGGUCACUACGACCAUUGGAGCAUGCUGAUGGAAAAUUUUCUCAGGUCAAAGGAGUAUUGGAAUCUUGUGGAAUCAGGAAUUGACGCCCCAGCAGAGGGAGUUGUGUUGACUGAACAACAACAAAAGAGGGUUGCUGAACAGAAGCUGAAGGACUUGAGGGUGAAAAAUUACCUUUUUCAGGCACUUGAUCGAUCUAUCUUGGAGACGAUACUCGAGAAGGAGACCUCCAAACAAAUAUGGGAUUCUUUGAAGAAGAAAUAUGCAGGGUCAGAGAGGGUGAAGCGUGCAGUGCUUCAAACUCUAACAAAGGACUUCGAAACUUUACAAAUGAAAUCAGGAGAGUCCAUCACUGAUUUCUUUGCUAGAACUCUGGGAAUAGCAAGCAAGAUGAGAUCCAAUGGUGGCACCAUGGAAGAAGUCAAAGUUGUGGAGAAAAUUAUGAGAUCAUUGACUCCAAAAUUUGACUACAUUGUCUGUUCAAUUGAAGAGGCAAAGAACGUUGCUGAGUUACGAGUUGAUGAACUACAAAGCUCUUUGUUAGUGCAUGAACAAAGACUUAACCGCACCACUGCCAGUGAAGAACAAACAGCUCUGAAAGCUUCCAUUGUUUCUGAGUCCUCAAGUUCUCGAGGAGGAAGAGGUCGUGGAAGAGGAGGACGUGGUAGAGGAAGAGGUGGUCGAGGUCAUCAAGGAGGUGGACGGUCUGGACAUAGAGAUGACAGCAAGUCAUCUCAUGUUUUCAAAAGAGAUGAUGACUUUGAAGAAAAAGGAACGUACCACUUUGAUAAGUCAAAAGUGGAGUGUUAUAGAUGUGGAAAUUUUGGGCACUACAAGAAUGAGUGCUACACGAAGUUACCAAAAAAAAAAGGUGAAAGAUUGUUUCUUGCUGCUGCAAGACACAAUCUUUCACCUUUUUCAAGUUUGUUCAGGCCCAGAAGGGCUCUGAUACCAGAUGUUGAGAAACUGAAAUUAACUUGAACGUAAAAGGAUUCUUUGAGCAAACGUAUUUCACAGCUUAAGAAUACUGCAGUUUUCCUCUCUUAUAUAUACCUGAAAUAACAAAGCUUACAAAAUAACAAUCUCCACAAUAACCACUAACACACGAGUGCAGAUUUUGUGGAGUUCAACUACCUUAAGCAACGGAAGCAAAUUUGAACGUGGUGAACAGACUAAACCACUACUUCUACAUUCUAGGAUUUCAGCUUGACUUGGUCUCUACAUGGCCAUGUCAGCAUUAUUUAAUUAACAAACUAAUUAAACUUAACUAAAUAACUUUUAACACCCUCCCUUAAACUGAUUUUACGAAAAACAGUUUAGGAUCUCUACACCAUCACAUAAUCAUCUUCCUGUUCAAUGCUUUGAAAUGAACAAACUCCCACCAUCACAUAAUCAUCUUCCUGUUCAGUGCUUUGAAAUGAACAAACUCCCAACAUGCUUCUCAGCUUCUCAAACGCAGGUUGCUUCAAAGGCUUAGUUAAGAUGUCUGCAACCUGCUCCCCACUCUUGCAAUAUUCAAGUACAAUCUUCUCAUCACUGCACAGAUCACGCAAGAAAUGAUGAGAGGAAAACUAAUCGUGUCGUGCCUCGCAACUGGGGCAAACACCUCUUUGUAAUCAAUGCCAUGCUUCUGCUUGUAGCCCUUAGCUACCAAACGAGCUUUGUGCUUGUCAACCUCACUUUUUUCGUUCAACUUUGUUCUAAACACCCAUUUAACACCAAUGGUUUGCUUUCCCUUUGGAAGAUCAGUUAACUCCCAGGUUUGAUUCUUCUCAAUGGACUUGAUUUCAUUGUCCAUUGCUUCCCUCCAUUUCUCCUCUUUAACAGCCUCAGAAUAUGUGAUUGGAUCACUAUCUACAAGUAAUGCAAAGUGAGCAUUUUCAUCAUCAGAACUUGAAUAACUUACAUCGUAGUCCAUCAUCCAUGCUGGCCUCUUCCUUGAGUUCUCAUCUCUCAGAUUGUAUCUCUCUUCUUCAAACUGUUGAGAUGACUGAACUUCAGGUUGAGGUGGCUGCUGGGCUUGAGUCUCAGGAGCUGCUACCUCUUCAUUGUCUGAAUCAUCAUAAACUGGAAUUUGUUGUUGAACCGAUCUGUUCUCAGACCAAUUCCACAUAGUGUCUUCAUCAAAUAUCACAUCCCUGCUUACCACUAUCUUCUUUGUAACUGGAUUGUACAGUUUGUAUGCUUUUGAGACUUCACUUACACCAAGAAAAACACAUUUUUCACUUUUGUCAUCCAACUUCUUUCUUUUCUCAUCGGGGAUGUGUGCAUAUGCUAUGCACCCAAACACCCUAAAGUGAUCAACCGCAGGCUUCAAUCCACUCCAAGCUUCUUGAGGAGUCAUAUUCUUAACAGAAAAUGUGGGACUUCUGUUUAAAAUAUGAACUGACCAUAGCACAGCUUCAGGCCAAAACUUCUUGGGAAUUCUUCCUUUGACUAGCAGACUUCGAACCAUGUUGAGAAUGGUGCGAUUUUUCCUUUCACUUACACCAUUUUGUUGUGGUGUAUAGGCAGUGGUCAGCUGUCUCUUGAUGCCUUUCUCUUUGCAAAAUGCAUCAAAUUCCUUCGAACAGUACUCUCCCCCACGGUCAGUUCUUAGAAUUUUAAUCUUCUUUUCUGAUUCAUUUUCAACUAGAGCUUUGAAGCUUUUGAAUGCUUCAAAUGCCUCUGAUUUUUCCUGCAAGAAAUAUACCCAUGUCUUUCUACUAAAAUCAUCAGUAAAGGAGAUGAAAUAUUUCUUGUUACCAUUUGAGAUGGGAUUUAUUGGUCCACAUAGAUCAGAGUGAACCAUCUCCAGGAUUGAUUGAGCCCUUGCUGCCUUGCCACUUGGAAAAGAGUCUCUUUUGUGCUUCCCAGUGAUGCAUUCUUCACACAUCUUUGAUGGAGGAGUUAUCUCAGGUAGGCCAGUGACCAUCCCUUUCUGGUGAAGUGUUCUCAAGCCAUUAAAAUUCAAAUGGCCAUAUCUGUAGUGCCAUCUCCACGGGUCAUCUUCUUUGGCAAAUAAGCAAGCCUGCAGAGUCUUGAUUUUCAAAGGAAACAAUCUGUUGGAAGACAUUUUUACAACAGCAAUGGACCCUCUUUUUGGGUCGUACACUUCACACUCUCCUUUAUAGAUUGUAAUCCUGUAGCCUUUAUCUUGUAACUGACCAGCACUCAGCAAAUUUGUCUUCAAAUCAGGAAUAUAAAAAACAUUUGAGAUAGUUUCAAUAAAGUCAUUUUUAGUUUUGAUUUGAAUAUCUCCCUUACCCAUCACUUUCACUGUUGACUUGUCACCAAAACUCACUACCGUGUGAAAGCUUUCAUCCAAAUUAAUAAAGGAAGACUUACAUCCACUCAUGUGAUUGCUGCAGCCUGUGUCCACAUACCAUGUCUCCUGAUCAGUUUCUGUCAGUGCAUGAAAAGCCAUCAAAAGUGUCUCUUCCUCCUUCUUUUUCUCCACAAAAUUUGACUUUUCUCCUUUUUCUUUUGGUAACUUCGUGUAGCACUCAUUCUUGUAGUGCCCAAAAUUUCCACAUCUAUAACACUCCACUUUUGACUUAUCAAAGUGGUACGUUCCUUUUUCUUCAAAGUCAUCAUCUCUUUUGAAAACAUGAGAUGACUUGCUGUCAUCUCUAUGUCCAGACCGUCCACCUCCUUGAUGACCUCGACCACCUCUUCCUCUACCACGUCCUCCUCUUCCACGACCUCUUCCUCCUCGAGAACUUGAGGACUCAGAAACAAUGGAAGCUUUCAGAGCUGUUUGUUCUUCACUGGCAGUGGUGCGGUUAAGUCUUUGUUCAUGCACUAACAAAGAGCUUUGUAGUUCAUCAACUCGUAACUCAGCAACGUUCUUUGCCUCUUCAAUUGAACAGACAAUGUAGUCAAAUUUUGGAGUCAAUGAUCUCAUAAUUUUCUCCACAACUUUGACUUCUUCCAUGGUGCCACCAUUGGAUCUCAUCUUGCUUGCUAUUCCCAGAGUUCUAGCAAAGAAAUCAGUGAUGGACUCUCCUGAUUUCAUUUGUAAAGUUUCGAAGUCCUUUGUUAGAGUUUGAAGCACUGCACGCUUCACCCUCUCUGACCCUGCAUAUUUCUUCUUCAAAGAAUCCCAUAUUUGUUUGGAGGUCUCCUUCUCGAGUAUCGUCUCCAAGAUAGAUCGAUCAAGUGCCUGAAAAAGGUAAUUUUUCACCCUCAAGUCCUUCAGCUUCUGUUCAGCAACCCUCUUUUGUUGUUGUUCAGUCAACACAACUCCCUCUGCUGGGGCGUCAAUUCCUGAUUCCACAAGAUUCCAAUACUCCUUUGACCUGAGAAAAUUUUCCAUCAGCAUGCUCCAAUGGUCGUAGUGACCAUCAAAUCGUGGAAUCGCUGGUUGAAUAAAACUCUCAGUGGCUUUCUCUGUUGCCAUUGUUUCUUGCUGCUGCAAGACACAAUCUUUCACCUUUUUCAAGUUUGUUCAGGCCCAGAAGGGCUCUGAUACCAGAUGUUGAGAAACUGAAAUUAACUUGAACGUAAAAGGAUUCUUUGAGCAAACGUAUUUCACAGCUUAAGAAUACUGCAACAGAAGCUGAAUAUGUAGCAGCAGCUGCAAGCUCCUGUCAAGCUAUGUGGCUUAGGAAAAUAUUUGAAGUGCUUGGUAAUGUUCAAAAGGGACCAACAACCAUCUACUGCGACAACAUUUCAACUAUAAAGCUAUCGAGGAAUCCAGUCAUGCAUGGGAGAAGUAAACACAUUGAUGUACGUUUUCAUUUCUUGCGUGAUCUGUGCAGUGAUGAGAAGAUUGUACUUGAAUAUUGCAAGAGUGGGGAGCAGGUUGCAGACAUCUUAACUAAGCCUUUGAAGCAACCUGCGUUUGAGAAGCUGAGAAGCAUGUUGGGAGUUUGUUCAUUUCAAAGCACUGAACAGGAAGAUGAUUAUGUGAUGGUGGGAGUUUGUUCAUUUCAAAGCAUUGAACAGGAAGAUGAUUAUGUGAUGGUGUAGAGAUCCUAAACUGUUUUUCGUAAAAUCAGUUUAAGGGAGGGUGUUAAAAGUUAUUUAGUUAAGUUUAAUUAGUUUGUUAAUUAAAUAAUGCUGACAUGGCCAUGUAGAGACCAAGUCAAGCUGAAAUCCUAGAAUGUAGAAGUAGUGGUUUAGUCUGUUCACCACGUUCAAAUUUGCUUCCGUUGCUUAAGGUAGUUGAACUCCACAAAAUCUGCACUCGUGUGUUAGUGGUUAUUGUGGAGAUUGUUAUUUUGUAAGCUUUGUUAUUUCAGGUAUAUAUAAGAGAGGAAAACUGCAGUAUUCUUAAGCUGUGAAAUACGUUUGCUCAAAGAAUCCUUUUACGUUCAAGUUAAUUUCAGUUUCUCAACAUCUGGUAAUCAAACCUGGGAGUUAACUGAUCUUCCAAAGGGAAAGCAAACCAUUGGUGUUAAAUGGGUGUUUAGAACAAAGUUGAACGAAAAAAGUGAGGUUGACAAGCACAAAGCUCGUUUGGUAGCUAAGGGCUACAAGCAGAAGCAUGGCAUUGAUUACAAAGAGGUGUUUGCCCCAGUUGCGAGGCACGACACGAUUAGGUUAGUGAUCUCUCUUGCAGCUCAAAAUUCCUGGCAAAUUUUUCAGUUAGACGUGAAGUCAGCAUUCCUGCAUGGAAACCUGCAAGAGGAGGUGUACAUUGAUCAACCACCUGGUUAUGAGAGAAAAGGAGAAGAAGAGAAGGUGUUCAAACUAAAGAAAGCACUCUAUGGACUGAAACAAGCACCUCGAGCUUGGUACAGUCGCAUAGAUGCUCACUUUGCUAAGCUUGGAUUUCACAAAUGUCCUUUUGAGCACACACUUUAUGUCAAGACUGAGGAAGAAGGUAAAAUACUCAUGGUUUGCUUGUAUGUUGAUGACUUGAUAUUCACUGGAAGUGAUGCUAAAAUGUUUGAUGAAUUCAAGAAGUCUAUGAUGAUGGAGUUUGAAAUGACUGAUCUAGGAUUAAUGCACUAUUUUCUUGGAUUGGAAGUCAUUCAAACUACUGCUGGUAAUUUCAUCUACCAGAAAAAAUAUGCACAGGACAUUCUUAACAGGUUUCAGAUGGAUGACUGCAAGCCAUUUGGAACUCCAGCUGAAUACGGCUUAAAGCUAUGCAAAGACAAAGGUGGAAAGGAGGUUGACAGCACUUUCUAUAAACAGAUAAUUGGGAGUCUCAUGUAUUUAACAUACACGAGGCCUGACAUCAUGUAUGCAGUGAGUCUUGUGAGCCGAUAUAUGGAAAAACCAACUGAAAUGCAUCUCAAUGCAGCAAAGAGAAUUCUCAGGUAUGUAAAGGGGACAAUUGAUUAUGGUGUGUUUUAUAAAAGGGAAGAUGGUUCUGGUUUUGUUGGGUACACAGAUAGUGACUAUGCAGGUGAUAUAGAUGAUCGUAAGAGCACUUCCGGUCACAUAUUUCUGCUCAACUCUGGUGCAAUAUCGUGGUCCUCAAAGAAGCAACAAAUUGUGACGCUUUCCUCAACAGAAGCUGAAUAUGUAGCAGCAGCUGCAAGCUCCUGUCAAGCUAUGUGGCUUAGGAAAAUAUUUGAAGUGCUUGGUAAUGUUCAAAAGGGACCAACAACCAUCUACUGCGACAACAUUUCAACUAUAAAGCUAUCGAGGAAUCCAGUCAUGCAUGGGAGAAGUAAACACAUUGAUGUACGUUUUCAUUUCUUGCGUGAUCUGUGCAGUGAUGAGAAGAUUGUACUUGAAUAUUGCAAGAGUGGGGAGCAGGUUGCAGACAUCUUAACUAAGCCUUUGAAGCAACCUGCGUUUGAGAAGCUGAGAAGCAUGUUGGGAGUUUGUUCAUUUCAAAGCACUGAACAGGAAGAUGAUUAUGUGAUGGUGGGAGUUUGUUCAUUUCAAAGCAUUGAACAGGAAGAUGAUUAUGUGAUGGUGUAGAGAUCCUAAACUGUUUUUCGUAAAAUCAGUUUAAGGGAGGGUGUUAAAAGUUAUUUAGUUAAGUUUAAUUAGUUUGUUAAUUAAAUAAUGCUGACAUGGCCAUGUAGAGACCAAGUCAAGCUGAAAUCCUAGAAUGUAGAAGUAGUGGUUUAGUCUGUUCACCACGUUCAAAUUUGCUUCCGUUGCUUAAGGUAGUUGAACUCCACAAAAUCUGCACUCGUGUGUUAGUGGUUAUUGUGGAGAUUGUUAUUUUGUAAGCUUUGUUAUUUCAGGUAUAUAUAAGAGAGGAAAACUGCAGUAUUCUUGAGCUGUGAAAUACGUUUGCUCAAAGAAUCCUUUUACGUUCAAGUUAAUUUCAGUUUCUCAACAAUAAGUACUUGUGUUUGCUCAUAUAAGAGGACCGCCUUGAAUAAUCCAAAAGACUAGCUUACUUAAUUUUAAAAAAAUCAGUUUUGAAAACUGUUAAAUGUAACUUUAUGCAAUGUUAAAUCAAACAUAUCAAAAGAAAUAAAUAUCAUAAAACAUGUGAAAUUUGAAAUAUGAAAAAAAGUGAAAUCAUGCGAUUUGGGGAUUGGGUUCUAUUGGGUUGGAGGCGAAGCGGGUUACGAGCUGCAUUUUGGGUUUUAAAAGCCCAAUUCCGGAUUGAAAACCCAUCCUUGACUGGAAGGUUGCAAAUUUCUAUAUGGGGAAUAUUCGCUGGUAGAUUCUUCAUCCUCCUAAGUGUAGUAAUGGAGGGGUGUUAGACAAAAGAUCUCUUCUUAGCACAACGUUACACAAUUAUCAUCUUAAUAAGGGAGAAUUUAUGAACAUUGGAUUAUAAAAUGCACAUCCAUUGUUAAUUCCUGCAUAAGCUUCGCGAUUGAGUUUGAUAAUUUUUUAAUUCUCAUUUGCAUCAUCGAUGGGAUUUGAAGUUUUGAACCCACAUACUGUCUUUCUCUGCCAUUUUGGAAAAUAAAUUAUUAUUCUUCCAUUGUAAUGGACAAAUUUAAACGUUGCUCAUCAAAAUAUGUCUCAAUCACUGCCUUAAUAUAUAAAUGCUAGGCAAAAGAACCAGAGCAGCGUCCAGUUUAUUAAAUCAGAUACUAGCUACAAGCCUAGGACAGAGAAAAGCAGAAGCUUCACGGAAGCUAAGCGGCUGAGCUCUUUGGUGGGAAAGUAGGGGGUUCAAAAAGAUUUCAAAUUCCUGCAUAAUGCGGCUCCUGCUACAAUAGUGGGGAGACUAAACGUUUGCUAAACAAAUCUUCCUCCAUGGUAGAUUUGCUUUCCCUGUUCCCCUACAUUGAGAGAGUAUGUAUAGCUUGGGACUUUAGGAAGCAAUGAAAUGGGGAUAGUUCGAGGCUUGGUAUUGAAUUUGGUGUUUAUGUUCUGGUACAUUUUUUUUUAUUUCUUUUUUGUUUUAGAUAGCGAAUAAUCCAUUUUGCCUAUGGACUCUGUAUGUAGAUGGAGUUUCGCUAUGCCACAUUAGAUUUUGUUUCUUAGUAUUUGUGAUUGAUCUUGAUAUUUGAUGGGGAUCGGGAUCCGGACACAGGUCACCAACCACAUACACGAGCACCGAAAUCUAGGGCUAGUGCAAACUCACAUAUAUCGUAGCAAAUCCAUGCCACAAAUAAACUAUUUUAUUAAUCAUCAACAUAUCUCUAUCCUACAACUAUUACAUUAGCCUUAUUUAUAGGCUUUACAAGACUUGGGCACCAAGGCUACUUGGUCCAAAAGUAAACUAAUUAGUUAUAAAAUCACACAUAAAUAAUAAAAGAUAUCCUAAAACUACCUAAAUAAGAAAAUAACAAUAUAUCAUAAAAUAACUAAUUAAAUGUAAAAUAUCUAUCUUGAUCCACCACUAUGCUCUUGCAUCAGACUCCCAUGGUUGGAAAGAAUUCGUCCUCGAAUUCAAGCCUUUGAUUGAGGAAAAUCCGAGUAGAAUCUUCAAUUGCUUCAUAUUAAUUCUGGAUCUUUUAGCAUCCAAUUGAAAUCUUCCUUUCCAAAUAAAAAGAUAUUUGGAAUAUUUCGUUAUUCUUGGCUUCUUCUUACUCCCUCUAAGAAUGCAAAAGUUUCUCUCUAGGAUCUUCAACCGAUUGACAAAAUCAACUAGAUUUUUGGCAACCUUCCAAGUGAAAAUAUUAAUGCCCAUAAAAUCAAUAAUAUCUUCAAAAAUUUUCUCAAUUCUCAUCUCUUCACUGUGCUGGUCAAUAAAUUGCUUAUCAAAAUUGCUCUGAACACCCAAACAAUUUUCAUUGCAAUUUUCACAGUUACAAGGAUCAAAUAUUGGAGGUAAAUCUAAAUUUAAUAACUUUGAUGAAUAACAAGAUGCACCAAAAUUAUCAAAUUUAUUUAUACCUUCAAAGACACAAUGAGAAUAACCGUGCCCCUCUUCACUUGACUCACACAGCGGAGCGCAAUAAUGAAAAGGGUUAUCUCUCUCGUACUCCCCGUCGAGACUCUCACGGCUUAGAGUGUCGAUGCGAGCUACUCGGUUCAGAUAAGGGUUCACACAUCCCUCCCCGUCAGAACUCUUACCUAUCUGGGUUCGAGCUUCAAUGCGAGCAAUGCGUUCCGUAAGUUGCCGUAGCAUCCUCCUAAUUUCCUCCAUGUCGUUGUAGUUGUUAAAACGACCCUCCAUCCAAAAACGUCCCCGAUAUAGCAGAUCUUGAGCCAUAGCUCUGAUACCAAUUGAUGGGGAUCGGGAUCCGGACACAGGUCACCAACCACAUACACGAGCACCGAAAUCUAGGGCUAGUGCAAACUCACAUAUAUCGUAGCAAAUCCAUGCCACAAAUAAACUAUUUUAUUAAUCAUCAACAUAUCUCUAUCCUACAACUAUUACAUUAGCCUUAUUUAUAGGCUUUACAAGACUUGGGCACCAAUGCUACUUGGUCCAAAAGUAAACUAAUUAAUUAUAAAAUCACACAUAAAUAAUAAAAGAUAUCCUAAAACUACCUAAAUAAGAAAAUAACAAUAUAUCAUGAAAUAACUAAUUAAAUGUAAAAUAUCUAUCUUGAUCCACCACUAUGCUCCUGCAUAAUUGAUGGGGAUCGGGAUCCGGACACAGGUCACCAACCACAUACACGAGCACCGAAAUCUAGGGCUAGUGCAAACUCACAUAUAUCGUAGCAAAUCCAUGCCACAAAUAAACUAUUUUAUUAAUCAUCAACAUAUCUCUAUCCUACAACUAUUACAUUAGCCUUAUUUAUAGGCUUUACAAGACUUGGGCACCAAGGCUACUUGUUCCAAAAGUAAACUAAUUAAUUAUAAAAUCACACAUAAAUAAUAAAAGAUAUCCUAAAACUACCUAAAUAAGAAAAUAACAAUAUAUCAUGAAAUAACUAAUUAAAUGUAAAAUAUCUAUCUUGAUUCACCACUAUGCUCCUGCAUAAUUGAUGGGGAUCGGGAUCCGGACACAGGUCACCAACCACAUACACGAGCACCGAAAUCUAGGGCUAGUGCAAACUCACAUAUAUCGUAGCAAAUCCAUGCCACAAAUAAACUAUUUUAUUAAUCAUCAACAUAUCUCUAUCCUACAACUAUUACAUUAGCCUUAUUUAUAGGCUUUACAAGACUUGGGCACCAAGGCUACUUGGUCCAAAAGUAAACUAAUUAAUUAUAAAAUCACACAUAAAUAAUAAAAGAUAUCAUAAAACUACCUAAAUAAGAAAAUAACAAUAUAUCAUGAAAUAACUAAUUAAAUGGUAAAUAUCUAUCUUGAUCCACCCCUAUGCUCCUGCAUCAGACUCCCCUGGUUGGAAAGAAUUCGUCCUCGAAUUCAAGCCUUUGAUUGUGGAAAAUCCGAGUAGAAUCUUCAAUUGCUUCGUAUUAAUUCUAGAUCUUUUAGCAUCCAAUUGAAACCUUCCUUUCCAAAUAAAAAGAUAUUUGGAAUAUUUCGUUAUUCUUGGCUUCUUACUCCCUCUAGCAAUGCAAAUGUUUCUCUCUAGAAUCUUCAACCGAUUGACAAAAUCAACCAGAUUUUUGGCAACCUUCCAAGUGAAAAUAUUAAUGCCCAUAAAAUCAAUAAUAUCUUCGAAAGUUUUCUCAAUUCUCAUCUCUUCACUAUUCUGGGCAAUAAAUUGCUUAUCAAAAUUGCUUUGAACACCCAAACAAUUUUCAUUGCAAUUUUCACAGUUGCAAGGAUCAAAUACUGGAGGUAAAUCCAAAUUUAAUAACUUUGAUGAAUAACAAGAUGCACCAAAAUUACCAAAUUCAUUUAUACCUUCAAAGACACAAUGAGAAUAACCGUGCCCCUCUUCACUUGACUCACACAGCGGAGCACAAUACUGAAAAGGGCUAUCUCCCUCGUACUCCCCGUCGAGACUCUCACGGCUUAGAGUGUCGAUGCGAGCUACUCGGUUCAGAUAAGGGUUCACACAUCCCUCCCCGUCAGAACUCUUACCUAUCUGGGUUCGAGCUUCAAUGCGAGCAAUGCGUUCCGUAAGUUGCCGUAGCAUCCUCCUAAUUUCCUCCAUGUCGUUGUAGUUGUUAAAACGACCCUCCAUCCAAAAACCUCCCCGAUAUAGCAGAUUUUGAGUCAUAGCUCUGAUACCAAUUGAUGGGGAUCGGGAUCCGGACACAGGUCACCAACCACAUACACGAGCACCGAAAUCUAGGGCUAGUGCAAACUCACAUAUAUAUCGUAGCAAAUUCAUGCCACAAAUAAACUAUUUUAUUAAUCAUCAACAUAUCUCCCCUACAACUAUUACAUUAGCCUUAUUUAUAGGCUUUACAAGACUUGGGCACCAAGGCUACUUGGUCCAAAAGUAAACUAAUUAAUUAUAAAAUCACGCAUAAAUAAUAAAAGAUAUCAUAAAACUACCUAAAUAAGAAAAUAACAAUAUAUCAUGAAAUAACUAAUUAAAUGGUAAAUAUCUAUCUUGAUCCACCCCUAUGCUCCUGCAUCAAUAUUGGAUGCAUAUGUGCCUCUCCUUAAUCUUUUUAUUUUUUUUUAUAACAAGCGGUGCCGAAGCCCUAUUCAAUUGGGUAUGGUUUUUCAGGGUUUAGUAUUUGUGCUGUAAGAAGUACAGAAAUAAGGUUGUAGGCUGCACUUUUAGAGGAGGUGAAUGUGUUGGGACUUCCUCAUUAUCCAAGCAUACUUAUCCUUCUUUUAGUGGUAAUUGGUCUUCGAAAAAUGAACAAAAAGUAUGGUAGUUUUUUCUGAACUUCUUGAUGAGGCCUUAGUGGCUUACUGGAAGCAUAUUUUUUAUAACGUAUUUGAAGUGGAUUUUAAUGUAUCGGAAGUAUAUUUUAACGUAUUGGAAGAAGAUUAGAACCAUGUGCAUGUUUGAUAAGGUGUUGUGAGAUGGUAUGUAUGGAGAGAAUGUAUCUAGGUUCCUCUCCAGAGCUUAUUGGUUGAAUUGAAGUAGAUUACAACAAAACAUUCCUUAUGUUACAGAAAGGAAAACAGAAAAAAGAAAUACAAAGUAUAAAGUGCAAUCUAGAUCCUAACUCUUCUUUGCAUCUUGGUCACACACACUAUGAUCAUUACAUAGAACAUGUCUUGUACUUGUCUAGAAAUUGGAAAUAUGCAUGUCUUCAUGUCUUAAAACACUAAAGGACCACAAACUCCCCAAAAUGUAACACCCCGACUCCAAAUUUAAUAUCUAUUUUAAUUGAUUUAAAGUAAAAUUACGAAUUUACCCUUGGGGUAGGGGUAAAUUGGUCAUUUUCUCAUCCAAAAGGAUUUUGGGACAACGACUGGUAUUUUUGGGUAGGUUGUACUGAGACGGCUUCGUAGACACGCGGUAGGCUUGAAGCGGAGUUGUAACGAAGAUUUGGCGAUCAAAACAUUAUCAGUGGCAAACCUGUAAUUAUUUUGAAAAGAGUUAGAGUAAAAAUCUGAUUUUUCAUUUUUACCUCACUCUCUGAUUCUCUCUCUCUCUCUGCACGCGCGACCUCCCCCUCCCCUUUACUGUUCACGGAGACGGAAACCACCGCACCGCCGCCACAUCCGACCACCCCAGCCCUCGAGACCAGUCCCCUUCGACUCGUCCUGAAGCCCUAAACUAGAAUCACCCAGUCUCCCAGUAGGAAAACUUGAGAAUCGCUGACGAUCUCGACUGGUUCAAACUGGAGACUUUCCAUCGUCGCGCCGCCGUCUCCGCCGCCCAAACCCGGUGAUUGAGGUGAGGAUUCUUCCUCUUUUUCCGAGUUCUAGGUGACUGAUGCAUAGGUUUGGAUCAAUUUGCUGGGUAGAAACUGAUUUUGUAAACCUAGGUUUUGGUCGGAUUUUAAGUGAAAUUCCGGCCAGCUGCCGUCCGAAUUGGACCUCCCCGUAGUUGAAUGAAGUGAUCCUGACCUUGAGUAGAAGCUAGGAUAGGAAGGGUGAGCUCGGGUGUGGAGUUUUUCCGUCACCGAAAUUUACUCUACACACCCACGCGCUGCCGGCGCGUGAGGCGGCAUGUGGGCGAGGCUGGUGAAGUUGCAAUUUGACCCGAUGAGAUCUUUAGGUUGUUACGAGUGCAUAGGAUUCCACGGAUCUCAAUUCAGGUGUCGUUUGACUAUCGAACGGAUUUUCGCAUAUUGUGCGUUAUCCGGGUUCGAUAGGUUAUAACCGUUAGAUCUUUUUUCAAGUAAAAUAUGUUGUUAUAGGUAUUCCCAGGACCGUGUAGGACUUCACAGAUUAUGAAUCGAAGCCCCGAAUGUUUCGAUUCAAUAAUGCAAAGUUUGUGGGUUAGCGAUAACCGUACAAUCGUGAACAAUUCUUAAACCUGUAAUUGAACCUUAGGAUACCUCCUUCAACGUGCACAUACUGGGAAUUUGGGGAUUUAAGUAUUUAAUUUGUGAUUUUCGCUUCGAAGUAAUUUUAUAUUAAUUAAGGGUUCGUAUCUCGAAAUAGGUGUUCCGACUACACGUACUCAGCAGGCAGGACCCUCUCGUGGUCUGGCAGCGUGGGAAUAUUUAUGAGUGGACUUUGUUUUCAAUUAUAUGCAUGAUUUUAUUGAUGAAAGAUUUAUGCAUAAUGUUUUUAAUGGUUUAUUGAAUAUAUUAUAUUCAUGAGUUGAAUUCGAUGUUUGUACAGCGCUUUGGUAAUAUAUUGUGGGUUGGGCAUAUUUGGGUAUCGAGAGUAUAUUUUAUAUGGAUUUUGGGGAAGUAUAUAUAUAUAUAUUCUCUAUAAGUGAGAUACUUGGGUUGUUGAAGUGAGUUGUGGAAGAACUUGAAUAUGAGGGGUUGUUGAGAGAAGUUGUAUGAUUACACUAUGUAAGUACCUUCCCCAGUUAUUAGACUUUUCACACGUGGCGUUGGAUGUUCCGGCGUGUGGGAAGAAUAGGUUAUCCGUCUCACACGCGGCUUGGAUGUUCCGGAGUAUGGAAAAACUAUGUAUAUUGUUUAGGGUCAUCACCCAUGGCGUUGGAUGUUCCGGUGUGUGAUGAUCCAGUCUGCGCGCGUAUGACAUAAUUUGGGAGCUACACAUGGCGUUGGAUGUUCCGGUGUGUGAGCUAUGGAGUUUCGUCCCCCGGUUGGACAGCUCAUCCCUAGACGCAUGAUAGCACCUGAAAAUCCUGCGGGCUAGUCAAACGAUCCCCUAGUUGGAUUGUUUCCCCGGUACCUAGGUAGUGUGAUGAGUAUAUCAUAUAGCUAUGUAUAGUUGUAUUUAUAUAUAUAUAUGUAUGUAUGUAUGUAUAUGUAUAGUUGGGAUAGUGAAGAAUUAGAGUUUUUCAGUGGUUUGGAAGGAGUUGCAAGAUUGUAAGAAUGAGGUUUAUGGAUGAGAUGACUUGUGUUUUAAAGAAUUUUAAAUGAAAUAAGUUUUGAGUAAUUCAAUAAUGAAUUGUGAACCUGCAUGUCUUGAGCAUUAUUUUUACACGGUGGGGUUACUAUAUUGUUUUAAAUGCAAAUCUUGUUUUUGUCCACUCACAUGUUUUCUGUUUUGCCCCCCCCAACUAGUAGUCGCUCUAGGAAGCGUGCAAGUGGUGUACGAGGCUCGAACCGUGAACUUUCCUAGUUAGGAUUUGAGUAAUUUAUUUUACUCAACUAUUCUUGUAAUCUAAAUUCAGUAGAUGCUCUGUUAUCGCCCAUGGUAGAUUUUAAUUGUGAGGCCGGAGGCCAUUUAGUAUGUUUUGAUGAAUUAUGAAAGCAUGCUGCUGGUUAGGAUUAUUAUUUUACGUUUAUUGCAGGUUGAAAUUUUUGUUGGGUUUGCUUAGUUUACAGGGGAGACUCUGCCAAAAUUGUGGUAGAGAGUCUCGGUUUUUAGUAAGUGGGCCCGGCAUCGGGAAGAUGUCGGAACAAAGACGGGGUCCGCUUUGGCUUCUGGGAAAUUCCGAAGCGGGUCUUGUCACAAAAUCCCAUAAUAAAUCCAAGCGCAAGUGAAAUAUAAAACCAUGGGAUUUCAUACCUGCAUCAAUCCCAUUAGUUCCCAGGCACUCAAUUGGGAGGGGAGCACCACAAAGUUUCUGGUUUCCCUCAAAUGCAGAGGCAUUGAAGCCUUGGAGCUGAGUAUUUGUUGGUAUUAGUCCUUCAAAAUUAUUGUAGGAGACAUUGAGACAAGAAAAUAAGACUCCUCAAUGAUGUUGGGAUUUUUCCAGACAAAUGAUUCAUGGAUGAAACACUGUAGUACACUGCAAUUAUUGAACCACAGAUAAGUUGAAUGGCUAUUAAAGUAAGCGAAAUCUUCCUCACCCAACCAAAUUUUCUAAUGAACAUCAUAGCACAAUCCAUAAAAUGUAAACUCUCAAGAGGAAAAAGGAAAUUUACAUUACAUGUGAUGCCAAAACAAUUUCAAUAGAAAAGAGACUCAAAAGUCAAGGCAAGAAACCGAAGAUUCUCCCUAAGAAAGAGCUCAAUACGUCCAAUACUCAGGAUAAAGGACAAGGUGAAAAAAAAAAAAAAAAAAGGGAAAGGAAAAACAUGAAAGUCUUUUACAAAAUGAAAGGGCAAAUGUUUUCCACCAAAAAAAAAUAAAAGAAAUUUCAAGAAAAGCUUCCGUGGUUUUGGGGAAGUAUCAUUUUUCUUUACCUUUUUCUUUUCCUACCAAAGUGAACUGGCUCUGGUCUGGUCCAUGUUUGCUUACUAAAGUUAGUUAAUUCACAAGAAAGUUUAGAUGAAAGGGAGAGAAGAGGGCGCUGUAGAGGUGGAAAACCACAUCAUCCCACAAUAAAAAGGAAAUAAUGAGAAAGGACUAAUCACUAAUGUUUUCCACAACACCCCACUGAAACUUCGCUGGGAUGCGUUCUCUUUCUUCUCACCAAAGUGAUUGUCCCUUUUUUUAUGUUCUUUUUUUCUUUCUUUCUCUCUUAAGCUUAUCAAUUCCUUUCUGUGACCAAAUGGGGUCUUUAGGACACACAGGAGGCCAAGAAAUCCAAAAAGUCCCCACGUGUUGUAAUAGUGGAGUCCCCAAAAUGCCCCCUUGAAUGCCUAUAAAUACUCCCCCCCUUCCUACUUGUAAAUUGAACAACAGAAACGAGAUUGAGAAAACAUUCUCUUCUCUAAUUCCUUAUCUUGCUCUUUCUCUUUGCUCUCUACAAUUCCCCCUAAUUUAUAACACGUUAUCAGCACGAAUUCGCUUUCAAAAAUACCAGCUGAGAAAUUCUUCAAAGCUUCCAUCUUUUUCUUCCACCAAUGAAGACUUUCCUGCCCAAAUUAUUGAAAAGACAGAGAGGCCUUCCAAUCUCUCUCCAGAAAUUUCAAAACACGGAAUCGCUUCAAUUUCCAUUUCCUUUGAAGAUUCAAAGCUGCAAACCCAAGAUCACCGUCAUCGACAACACCUUCACAUUGAGUAACCACCACCACAAAAGCCAAAAGCUUUCGUUUCAUUGACCCAAAUUGGUUGUGCCCAGUUGUUUUGUUUCUUCGAAUUUCAUGGCUUCGGCGGCGAUAUUCUCAUCGCUGCAGUGGCGAAGGUCGCCUCGCCGAUUCCAAACCGAUGCUGGCCUCCACAACCCGCCCAGAUAUUGAAGUAGCAGUUGUUGACAUUUCUGUGUCACGGAUCAAUGCCUAGAAUAGUGAUCAGCUCCCCAUAUAUGAGCCAGGCCUUGAUGAUGUGGUGAAGCAGCGCAGGGGAAAGAACCUAUUCUUCAGUACAGAUGUUGAAAGACAUGUUAUGGAGGCAGAUAUUGUCUUUGUUUCUGUAAACACACCUACCAAAACCCAGGGUUCCUGUGCUUGACCACCAUGGGCGUCGUCGUCACCUUCUACUCCUACUACCUCAUGUCCAAGGUGCUCGACCACUGCGAGAAGGCUGGCCGCCGCCACAUCUGAUUCCCCAGACUCACAGCCCUCCACCACCACCGCGCUUACCAUGGACUUUCGCAUCCGAGUUCGCCGUCUCUAAGGCUGCCUACUUCCUGUGGCUGCUGGUGUUAUUGGGGGUAAUGGGUCUUCUUGGAAUCUGUUUAAGUACAAGCCCAGGAAGAAGAAGACGGUGAAUAAGGUUAUGGUGUCUUGUGUUUAUUCUUCCGUGAUGAAAAAAAAAAAAAAAAAAAACACUAUGAUUUGGUCAACUUCGCAGUCCUUCAUCGGCAAUUGAUGUUUAAGGACCAGUACCUGGAGAUUUCGACGGUGUUUAAGGACCCGACCUUAGCUCAGUUGGUAGAGCAGCAGGACUGAAGAAGGAGGGAGGGACUUGGUGGUUGCUUUUCGGGCCACGACCGAAAUGAUGAGCAGCACCCACUAAUAAAGAACAGCACCCACCGAAAUGAUGAGAUUCCCACCACUUUUCAAUUAUUAUCAUUCUAUAUUAUUUAAUAUUAAUAUUAAUGCGUGUGCUAAUGGCAGGUCAAAUGAAAAUACAGUGACAAGCGUGAUACCUUACAGCAAAUUAGCACUAAGUUGCAGAUGGCCCUGCUUCUAUAAUAAUAAUAUACUAUUUGAUUGUGGUGUUGAUAUGAACCCACAAAUAAUUGCCUUUACUUUAUCGCAAAUUUACUUUUACUUAAAGUAUGAUGUGGAAUUGACCCUCAUACUUUAUAAAAUUUCAUUUACCACACAUUUAUUUUAUUUACUGUAUGGUGUAGGUUUAUUACCCAUACAACAGUAUUUAUUUAAAAGGGUAGUGCGGGUUUAUCGUCCACGCCUUUACUUUUAUUUAAAUGUAUGGAGCAGAAUUAGUGCACAUACAAGCACAUUUACUUUUAUUAAAAGUAUGAUGUGGAAUUAACCCUCAUACUUUAUGAAUUUACUUUACUGCAAAUUUACUUUUAUUAAAAGUAUGAUGUGGAAUUAACCCUCAUACUUUAUGAAUUUACUUUACUGUACAUUUACUUUUAUUAAAAGUAUGAUGUGGAAUUAACCCUCAUACUUUAUGAAUUUACUUUACUGCACAUUUACUUUUAUCAAAAGUAUGAUGUGGAAUUAACCCUCAUACUUUAUAUUUCUUUUUAUUUAAAGUAUGGUGCGAAAUUAACGUCCAUACAGCAAGUAAUUUAUUUUAUGGAUUAAAUGUGCUGUAUGAUGAGUUUUCACAGUAUGCAGAUCAGGACCAGAAGUUCCUUGAUCCUCAUCAUACAAUUACAUCAGGACUUGAAGAUCCUUGAUGAUGAUGUUAAUAUGAGAGCUGGCAGUCUCUCCGGUACUAUAUUGGUAAACAUGUGAUUGGACUUGAGGAUCCUUGAUCCCUGACAUGUACAUAAGGACCUGGGGUUCCUUAAUGAUGUAACAGUACUGUAUUGUUUCAUAAUGCCGUACACAUGGAUGAUAACUGUACUAGCAAAUGUACUGUCCACAUGAAUAGAUACGUAUUCAUGACUUGAUGAAUAGUACCGGAUAUAUGAAUAGUGACAUAUACAUAAAUAUUAACCAUUUUGGGUAAACCGUCACUAUAUUCAAAAGGGAACCUGCAGUUCCUUAAACUCAUGAAUGAGCAAUUAAAUGAGAUGCCAGAAGUUCCUCAAGAUAUGGACAAUUAUGUAAGGACUUGAAGUCCAGAAAUGUGUACAGAAAAUUGUAAAAAUGUCCAUACCAUGAGAAUAUGUGAUUUUGGCCCGAAGUUCAAAAUCUAAGGGGAUUGAAUGUCCAUACCAUGAGAAUAUGUGAUUUUGGCAAGAAGUUCAAAAUCUAACAGUGUUGAGAACCUAAAGUUCCAACAGUUAAAUGGACAAUCCUUGAGGUAUUAUUGCAAAUUGUGGUACACCACAUAUUUCUUUGGCAUAAGAGAAUGAUGAAUUUAAUAAAGUUCGAUUAUGUUAUAAUCGACACCUCAAGGAAGAAAUAUAUUUUGUGAAUUCCGGUUGUUAAGAAUACACCGUGAAAUGGAUAAUAUCAGUAUAAAUCUCAAAUGAUGAAUUGAGGCUCCCCACAUAUUUUGAUAUAUCUGGGCCGGAAGCACAUGGAUUCAAAUAUAUGAGAAAUCCAGAAUUUGAGAUUGUGGGUAUAUAGUAGUUAAUGAUCUUCACUACUAUAUUGCGAUAUUAUCGUAGCUUUUACUCAAUUCAUAUUUCAUGUCCAUUUGAAAAGGGUGAAUAAAUUUUGAGAUUUGUGUUUAGCUCAGGCCAAAAGUUCCGGGCUACCAUGCGUUAAAAUAUGAAAUUUUGGAAAGUCGAUGUGGUUAUUUGAACCUAUAAGGCACAAGGUUCCAAACCGUCAUUUUGAAAAGACGUAAAAACCACAGAUGCAAGUUUAAGAAUGUGCGCAAUUAUUAUUACAGGAACAUACAACAGAUAGAUUUUUUCCUGCAAUGAAGGUGCAGGCCCUGUAAAAUCUAUAAAAAUACAUUAUGUUCUAGAAGCCUCUGAAGGAAGAGGACGACGCCUCUUAAGCUUAGCCAUGAGCCUUUCAUGGUCUCCCAAAAUUCUUUCAUUGGAGACUUGCAACAUGUCUAGCCUCCUCAGUGUAUCAACAGAGUACGAACUCACCAGUUUCAACAAGGCAUUAUUCUCUCCUUUAAGUUUCUCAACCUCCUGUUGAGACUCAUGAAGCAUUCUUUGGAGAGACGAAUUUUCAGUUGUUAAAAUCUGAACCUCGUUUGCUCUAGCACGCAAACGAUCAGCCAUGUUAGAAACAGAAACAACACUCUGAAUGCUAAAAGCCAAUGAGUCAUCAAUAGCCUCUUCCUCUGAUCUCCCUGUCAACAACAUUUCAUCCAUUGGAGUAAUGAAAUUCCUAGCUACUAUGACAGCAGUAGCAUCAUUCAUCAUCACAGAAUCAUUAACUGUGAGAUGACGAUUUUUGGAUACAAAGGAUGGACGCCAAACUUGGGCGUCACUGGUUGUUGUGGGAGUAUCAUUUAAAUUGAAAUAAUCUGGGCAGGAAGAAGAGGAAGCCAUUUUUAAGAAAGUUUUCGAAGAAAGUCUUGAGAAAACUAAAGUUUCAGAAAAUGAAGGAAGUUAAAUUGCAACGCAGUUGCUCCAAUCAAGUUUUGCAAAGGCAAUAUCUAUAGGAGGAAAUAUGGCUACAGUUUUUCAGGAUCCCAAUAUCUUUUCGGAUCCCCAUAUUCUCUUUUUCUUUCCCAGAUUCCAAAACUUCGCAUGGCCUCCAUUAAUGUUUGUCGGCACUUUCGGCGUUUUCAAAGUAUUAUUUUCGUCAAAAGCCGAUCUUGCUUUGCAGAUUUCACGGAGCUACUUUUUCAAAAGUAUCCCGAGUAUCUCGCAAUUUUCCUAUGGUUAAUUUGAAAUUCACCGGUUCUACCUAUUCAUUAUAUUUGUGUAUAAAUGUGUUACUAACGAAAUUCUCUUUGCAGAAGACAUUCAGUUUUCUGCAUACCUAGGGAUGCGAUAUCUACUUGUUUUUCUUAUUAGUGAGCACUUAAUAUGCCUGAGAAGCAAGACUAUCUCUGAUCAUCCAUUCAGGAAGCGAGACUAUCCCUGAUCACGUUUCCGCUACAUCAGGGAACUGUGAAGGCAACCUUAUACUCUAAUCUCCGGAAGUUCUUCUAGACUAGAAGAAAUGAGAGCUGGUUGUUUGCUCCCACCAGCUUCCUUCCUUGAUUGCUGAGCUUGUUGUCUGCUCCCACCAGCUUCCUUCCCUGAUUGCUUACCUUCUCUUGCAAUCAAUAUCACAAUUUUUUGCAUUUUUUCUCUUUUUGUAACUCUCUGAGGAUUAUUUGUUUUUGACAGAGAAAAGAGUUGUGAUGUUGCUCUUGCAGGAUAUAACUAGAUCAUUAAGCGCUACAUUAUAUUUACUGGGCCGAUACGAGCUUGAAUGAUACUUGAGAAAAGUUUCUCCCCCCUAAGGAUGUAAGCAAUACUUGUGUUAUUAUAUGCUUACACACUUAUUUGAUAUUUUAUCUUGAAAGGUAACCAAAUGGGGAGAUAAGUCCGUUCCAAAAGAAUGGCUUGUAUGUAUCCAUGAAUUAUUAAUUCAAAUUUUACAGAUUGCAAGUUGGAUACAUUGAUAAUACGCUGCACAGAUUAAAGUCCCAUAAGAACAUAAUAUGGGUAUAGCAGUGAUCAAUAUGAUGCACGCCUAUUGCGUAGCAAAUAAUGUGGAUUGAAGUCCCGAAAGGACAAUCCUCUGACAUGUCAAUAUUGAUAUUGUGCACGCCUAAUGCGUAGCAAAUUAUAUGGGUUAAAGUCCCAUAAUAUGGGUUAAGGUCCCAGAAAUUAAUUGACAUGUAUGUAUUAAUCUGUGGCAUGCCUUCAGCAUGACAGAUAUAUGGGUUCUAAAUGUUCCAACUCCCUAAAUGGAGAUUAUCCACGCCCUACUGCUAAAUAACGCUCCAAUGGAGGUUAUAAUCCACAUUCUCACAUAAUAAAAGCCCCAUGAAGUGGCUUGGGUACCCAAAAGCAAAGAAAUGCUUAUAAUUGAUGCAUGCGCAUGCAAAUGAGAAUGGUGGGAUCAUGAAUUGAUGAAUGACAAUUUUUGGUUAUGGAGUAGCUACUCAAAUCAUCAAUGGGCUGUGUUGAUUGGAACCACGUUCAAUUAUUAAAUGUCGACAAUAUCAUUGGCCAAAAUGGAGUGAGGUAAUUCCAUUAUAAAUGAGAAUGAACGUGAAAGAACAAACCCACAAUACGAACCCCAAAAGAUGUUAAUACUAAAAUUUAUACUUGGGUGUUCGGAAUAAAAGGGAAUAUACCUACUUUGUCUGACACACUGUUUCUGGCAUAAACAAGGAAUGUUGGGUUUUUCUCCAUAUUUACAGAUUCAAUUGUGCCCCCUUAUUACACAAUUACGGAGACCAACAUAUUAUCUUUAAGGGUUAUUAAAUGCACAGAGCAUAUCGCUAGAAGCGAUUCCCUAAAGAUGUAUAAAUAGCUGGGUUAAAGCUAUAUAAUGUGUCAUAAAGUUUAAUCCCUUUUAAACAAAAUCCGUUGAGAGGAUUGACAUUGCAUAAAGCAAGUCCCUAAAGGACAUGUGCUUGAAGCACAAAACUUGUACUCAAUAUUAAUAUGCAUAAAUUACCUCAGUGAGUACAUUGAUUAUAAUGUGAUUGCAACACAUUAAAGCUUCUGCAGAAUUCAAGAAAUAUUUGUCUCGAUCGAGCAUUAUGCCAACGAGAUUCUUGCUUAUACUAAGAAAGUAUUGAAGCAUUUUUAUGAGUCUUAUCCGUUGGUCCUUAAAUGUUUUUCCGAAAGUAUACUAGACCAGAUAGAGCUCAGCUCCACACUGUACUCUUUUUCCUUCAUCCAGGUUUUUAUCCCACUGGGUUUUUCCUGGUAAGACUUUAACGAGGCAGUGUCGCUCAAGGGUUUAAGGUAUACUAUGAAAAUUUUUAUGGUCGCUUACUGGACAAAAGCUAGUCCUAAAUUUUUCAGGGGGAGAUAUUCAUCAGGGGGAGCGUGGUUUUAAUAAAGACCUUCAUACACUGUACUCUUUUUCCUUCAUCCAGGUUUUUAUCCCACUGGGUUUUUCCUGGUAAGGUUUUAACGAGGCAGUGUCGCUCAAGAUUGACUCACAGAAGCAGUGUCAACUACGAUAUUCAGAAAGGUGAUCAACAGUAUGACUUAAAGAUAUUUUGCCAAGCAUCAGGGGGAGCGCGCUAUCAAUAAAGAUCUUCAAACACUGUACUCUUUUUCCUUCGUCCAGGUUUUUAUCCCACUGGGUUUUUUCCUGGCAAGGUUUUAACGAGGCAGUGUCGCACGCACGUCAAUAUAUAUAGAAUUUUAUGUUACACGUUGUUAUGUACUCCUUUUCCCUUUGACCAGUUUUUGUCCCACUGGGUUUUUUUUACUGGCAAGGUUUUUAACGAGACAUAUUCUGUAUCAUUUGUGGUCUCCAAGGGGGAGUGUUGUAAUAGUGGAGUCCCCAAAAUGCCCCCUUGAAUGCCUAUAAAUACUCCCCCCCUUCCUACUUGUAAAUUGAACAACAGAAACGAGAUUGAGAAAACAUUCUCUUCUCUAAUUCCUUAUCUUGCUCUUUCUCUUUGCUCUCUACAAUUCCCCCUAAUUUAUAACACCACGCCAUUAGUAUAGAUAUACCUGUCCAUUUUUAAGUAACAUUAAAAACCUCACAUGUGAAGAGGUCAUAGUCCUAUCCUAAAACGCAAUAAUUUGAUCCAAAAAUUCCUACAACACAAUAUGUUGGGGCUCAGUAUCAGAGGUGUGAAGGAAGUUGAGGUUCUACAUCAAAACUAAUUGGCAAUGAGAGGGUUGCCGAACUCCUUAUAAACUCAAGUUAUGUUCCUUUAACUUUUUAAUGUAGGAAGCCUAACACGUGGAUAAGACAUAUUGGCCUCGCUUGGUUCACGGAACGGAUUUGAGGGGAAAUCACUUCACAUGUCAUUUCCUAAGGAAUGGGAAAUGGAAGAUUCCUUUUCUAUGUUUGGUAAUAUUGGGAAAGUAACCAGGGGAUAUCACUUUAUUUCAUUUUUCAUGUUUGUUUUGAGUAGGAAUAGAACACAAAGUUCGUAUAAUUUUCCAAAUAUACCCAUAUUAAAUCAAAUAAAAAAAUGCAUUUAAUGAUAUAUUGUAAUUCUAAAUUGUUAAUGAGGACCAAAUGGGCAUGAAAAAUAUGUAUUUAAUGUUGGCUCAUUUCAAGGAAAAACAUGAAAUAUACUGCCAAAGUGAAAUGACCAAGACCAACAAAAUGAAAUGAAAUUUCAAGGCAAAAGUGAUCUAGUCCAAGCAAGUUCCCAACUUUCGUUUUAUUUUUCUAGGGAGGAAGAUAUUUACAUGACAACUUGAAGCUGUCCACUUUAGUAAGGAAUCAAAUCAAUACGAACAAACACUUUAGUAAGGAAAUCCACAUCACCCCACUAUAGAAAGGAAAUAAUGAGAAAGGACAAAUGUUUUCCACAACACCCCACUUGGUGGGAUGCGUUCUCUUUCUUCUCACAAAAGUGAUUCGUUUUAUUUUUCUAGGGAGGAAGAUAUUUACAUGACAACUUGAAGCUGUCCACUUUAGUAAGGAAUCAAAUCAAUAGGAACAAACACUUUAGUAAGGAAAUCCACGUCACCCCACUAUAGAAAGGAAAUAAUGAGAAAGGACAAAUGUUUUCCACAACACCCCACUUGGUGGGAUGCGUUCUCUUUCUUCUCACAAAAGUGAUUGUGUCCAGCUUACUGAUGCCGAGGGAAUUGAACACAUAAUUGCUAAGUUAAUGGCUUGACUUGAGUUUUAAGUAAUUGCAUUAAUACUUACCUGCGUAGCUUCCUGGAACCUCUAUCUGUGCUGAUUUUUCUUUUCUUUCUAAUCAUUCUAGUUCCACAAUCCCGUGCUCACAGAAGAUUUCUUGAAACCACUACUUUCCAAUGGCAUCGAGCAGCCAAAGGGCCUUCACUUCAGCUACUGCAGUUUGUUCAUGGAAAUACGAAGUGUUUUUGAGUUUCAGGGGUGAGGACACUCGCAGGGGUUUUACAGACUAUUUAUACAAACAGUUGGACUGGCGAGGAAUUAGAACUUUCAGGGAUGAUCCAGAUCUUCAGAGAGGGGCAGAUAUCAAUCCGGAGCUUCUGACCGCGAUUGAACAAUCAAGGUUUGCAAUCAUAGUUCUUUCAACAAACUAUGCUUCAUCAAGUUGGUGUUUGCGUGAACUAACCCAUAUUGUUCAGUCCAUGAAAGAGAAGGAGAGAAUUUUCCCAAUUUUUUAUGAUGUGGAUCCCUCUGAUGUACGACAUCAACGGGGGAGUAUUGGGGCAGCCCUCGUUAACCAUGAAAGGAAUUGCGGGGAAGACAGACAAGAGGUGCUUGAGUGGAGAAAUGCUUUAGAAAAAGUUGCCAAUCUCGCUGGCUGGAAUUCGAAGGAUUAUAGGUAAACAUGAAGACCAGUUCUUGAAUAUUGCAUUUCAGUUUUGCCAUGCACUUUAUCUACGAUGUAUUCACCUUAUCUGAUGAUUUUUUUUUUCCUUCUACUUCUAGGUAUGAUACAGAGCUUAUCACAGAAAUUGUUGAUGCAGUGUGGGAUAAAGUGCGUCCCACAUUUUCAUUGUUAGAUUCCUCAGACAUAUUAGUCGGACUUGAUACUAAACUAAAGGAAAUAGAUCUGCAUUUAGAUACAAGCGCAAAUGAUGUGCGCUUUGUGGGGAUAUGGGGUAUGGGCGGAAUGGGUAAGACAACCCUAGCUAGAUUAGUUUAUGAUAGAAUUUCUCAUAGUUUUGAAGGUAGCAGCUUUCUUGCAAAUGUCAGAGAGGUUCAUGCAACACAUGGUCUAGUUCCUUUACAGAAACAGCUUCUUUCCGAUAUCUUGAGGGAAAAAAAUAUACAAGUUUAUGAUGCUUAUAGUGGAUUGACUAUGAUAAAGAGGUGUCUAUGUAAUAAAAAGGUUCUUCUCGUUCUUCAUGAUGUAGAUCAAUCAGACCAACUGGAAAUGUUGAUCAGAGAAAAAGACUGCUUUGGUUUGGGAAGUAGAAUCAUCAUUACAACUAGAGAUGAACAUUUGUUCGUCGAACAUGGGAUAGAGAAAGUAUAUAAGGUCAUGCCAUUAACCCAAGACGAAGCUCUUUAUCUCUUUAGUAGGAAGGCCUUUAGAAAAGAUGACCUUGAAGAAGAUUAUCUAGAACUGUCUAAAAAUUUCAUAAACUACGCAGGAGGUCUUCCAUUAGCUCUUAAAACUUUGGGGUCUUUUUUGUAUAAAAGAAGUCGAGAUGAAUGGAAGAGUGCACUAGAUAAACUGAAGCAAGCUCCUGACAGAAAAAUUUUUCAAAUGUUGAAAAUAAGCUAUGAUGGACUAGAGGAGAUGCAGAAGAAAAUUUUUCUUGAUGUUGCAUGUUUCCAUAAGUUUUAUGACAAGGAAGAAGUGAUUGAAAUACUAGACAGUUGUGGUUUUGUUGGCACUCGUAUUGUGAUACAUGUUCUUAUUGAGAAAUCUCUCUUGUCUAUUUCAAACACGUGCCUGUCCAUUCAUGAUUUGAUACAAGAAAUGGCAUGGGAGAUUGUUCGUCAAGAGUCUUUUGACGAGCCAGGUGGUCGCAGUCGCUUGUGGCUUCACAGUGACAUCAUUCAUGUACUCACGAACAAUACGGUAAGAAGUUGCACAAAAAAUAAAAUACCAAAGCCUUGGAUAACAUACCAUAAUUCCAUUAAUAACGAUAAGAGAGACUUGAUUAUGACACUAACUUUUCUUUCAUUCCUAUUUACAAGGGAACGGAAACCAUUGAAGGCAUAGCCCUACGCUUGCAUGAAUUUGAAGCGGCACACUGGAAUCCUGAAGCAUUCACUAAGAUGUGUAAACUAAGGUUGCUCAAGAUUAAUAAUUUGCGCCUUUCUUUGGGCCCAAAGUAUCUUCCCAAUUCCUUAAGGAUUCUGGAGUGGAGUUGGUAUCCCUCCAAAUGCCUGCCACCAAGUUUUCAACCUGUUGAGCUUGCUGAACUUCGUAUGCAGCAAAGCAAAAUUGAUCACCUUUGGAAUGGAAUAAAGGUAAGACUUUGCAAGCUAUUUCUUUUCAAUCUCAAUAAAUUGUACGGUUCUUGGAAGUUUAUUAAUUUAAUCUACCAUUUUCAUGUUUUGUACAGUACAUGGUGAAGUUGAAAUCUAUUGAUCUUAGUUACUCCGAGAACUUGACAAGGACCCCAGAUUUCACAGGUACUCAGAAUCUUGAGAGGCUGGUUUUUGAAGGUUGUACUAAUCUUGUUAAGAUUCAUCCAUCCAUUGCCUCUCUCAAAAGACUAAGAGUUUUGAAUUUUAAAUACUGUAAAAGCAUUAAGAGUCUCCCAGGCGAAGUAGAACUGGAAUCUCUUGAAACAUUUGAUCUUUCUGGGUGCUCAAAAGUGAAAAAGAUUCCGGAAUUUGUGGGAGAAAUGAAGAAUUUUUCGAAGCUUUCUUUAAACUUCACUGCUGUUGAGCAAAUGCCUUCAUCAAAUAUACAUUCCAUGGCGAGUUUGAAGGAGCUUGAUAUGAGUGGAAUUUCUAUGAGAGAUCCCCCAUCUUCCCUGGUUCCAGUGAAAGAUAUCGAACUGCCUAGAUCAUGGCAUUCUUUCUUCACUUUUGGCUUAUUUCCAAGAAAGAAUCCCCACCCUGUGAGUCUGGUGUUAGCUUCCUUAAAAGAUUUACGCUUUUUGAAGCGUCUAAAUCUGAAUGACUGCAAUCUUUGUGAAGGAGCAAUACCUGAAGAUAUUGGUUUAUUGUCCUCUUUAGAAGAAUUAAAUCUUGAUGGAAACCAUUUUGUUAGCCUUCCUGCAAGCAUCAGUGGGCUUUCUAAUCUUUGGAACAUCACAUUGAAGAAUUGCAAAAGGCUUCAAAAAUUGCCAAGCCUUCAAUUAAACGGACUACUAGAUAUGUGUGUAAACACUGAUAAUUGUACUUCCUUGAAAAUAUUCCCAGAUCCAACAUCGACGUGCAAUGGUUUAAGUUCUAUGUCGAUUAGUUCUUCCAAUUGCUUCAAUUUGAUUGGCCAUCAAGGUUCCAGUUCCAUAAUAUUUUUAAUGCUGAAGAAAUUCCUUCAGGUACUUCUCCUUCUUCCUCCUUCCUCUUCCCUCUUUAGUUGUGUAGUACUAUUUAUAUCCUUCCUUUGGUGCAGGAAAUUCCUCGUUCUUUGGGCAUCAUCGAUAUUAUAAUUCCUGGAAGUGAAAUUCCUGAGUGGUUCAAUAAUCAAAGUGUGGGAGACUCAGUAAUUGAGCCACUACCUUCGGAUUCUAAUAGCACGUGGGUGGGGUUUGCUUUUUGUGCUCUAUUUGUAGCUACUGCUACGAAACAUAAUUCAAUCACUUUUCGUUGCCUUUGUCCAGAAGAGAAGACGUGGGUGAAGGUGAAGAAGUGUGGAGUCCGCGCACUAUACGAACAAGACGCGGAAGAGCUCAACCGAACAAUGAAACAAUAUUCCAACAGAAAGAAUUCUUUUUAUGAGGACGUCACAGAUUGUGAUUUUGACAAAUCAGACAAGGUACAAGGUGCCAUCACUAAGCGAACACGUGAACAGUACUGUACUGAGACAGGACCAAGCGGUACUGGUACCCUUGGCAAAGAAUCACUCUGCAAAAGAAUGAAAGAAGACUAAUCGUAUCCAAAUUUGGUUGGGGGAGGAGAGUUCCGUCAUCCGGAAGCCUAACGGGCGCAUUUUACCGACUGAAGCAUUUAAACAUGGUUGGGAGACAUCUAUGUAUGCUUAAAUUGUUUCUUUCUUAGGCUAAAUCUCACAUGUGCUGUAUAAAUUCAAUACGUUAAUUAGUGAAGCCCUUUUGAGAGAUUGACAUUAACUCCAAUAUGACUUGUGCUGCAAUUCCAGUACUUCAUUUUUCCUUAUACAAAAACUUUUUUUUUUUUUUUUUUCAGGCCUGUUAUAACCCUUUCAAAUGACUCAUCAAAUGUUACAUUCAUCCAAAUAGUGACUUAAUGACAUUCAAAAAUAGUUUCUCAAAUUUAAUUUUGCUUCCAAACUAAUGGUGUCAUGAACUUGAGCUUAAUAUCAUCAACCGACCUUAUUUGCACACAUAUUCAAAGAAAUUAUGUUUAUAUUUUAUUUUUAUUUUUUGGCAUAUGGAGAGAAGAGGAGUUGAACUUAGAACCUUGGAUGUACGGAUUAAUGCUCUUAAAUAAGACAAAAUGGUCAAUAAGAUCUAGCCCAAUGGAAAGGACUUUGACUUUGCUGACCAAUGGUCUCAGUUUUGAACCUCCAUGACACAUUAACAGUAUGUGUGUGAAAACCCUCCACUUCCAAUAUCGCUUGAAUGGAAAAAAAGACAAAAUUAUAAAACGAUGCUUCUACAUUUAUAUAAUUUACAUAGUGGUUUUAAAUUGGCCAAAAUUGAGGUCGUACUUAGUAUAUAUUUAUACCCAAAAAAUAAAAAUCCACAAAAACUAUCUAUCCCCUUGGACGAAAAUUUCCCAAUUACUAUCCCCUUACUAAAGCCACAAAGACUUCAGCCCGUAGACGUUCCCAAUUGAAGGGACCCCCUUUUAUCUUCCAUUAUUUGUUUUAGUUAUUUAUUUAUUUAUUGGUCUUAUUUUAUUUUAUUUUAUUUUCAUAACUCUUAAAAAUUCUGGAUCCGGUGUAGGUGUAGAAGUGUUUUCCUUUGAAACACACUAAGAAACUACCGUUCGUGCAGACACAACAAACGUCAUCCUUCACCGUUGGAUCCCACAAACAGAAUUAGGAUUUGUGUUUCUGAGGAUUCGAAUUAGGGUUUGACGGCAAAUUGCAAAUCGAAUUUAUCCGACACUACAAUCACCACGUUUGUAUCGAUGCUGGUAAAAGGAAGAAAGGUUUCUGGGCGGGGAGAGGCCGUGGCGGCGAACUACGCGUUCGGGCCGCUCGAAGAUGACGUAAUCAUCAAGCACAGACUUCUCACUCGAACCACAACCACAAGAGGCGAACCCCCAUUGAAGAAGCUCCAGAAGAAGUUCACAUCCCUAUUCGUCGAGCUCGACAAGAACGAGGACAACUAUGGCGACUGCGACAAGCUGGCCAAAGCUUUCCUCCAAGAGCUCAGCACCUUCGAGAUUCCGCUCCUCAAGAGCAAAGCGGUUGUGGAUGCGAAUCUCAGAGAGAAGCACAAUUUUGACGAGUUGAGGGAGGAGAUAAAUCGGCAGAUAGUGCAAGCGCAGACCGACAUUGAAUUGCUGAAGAAGCAGCUUGAGGAGAG